rnacentral:lncRNA from 1 species
CAUUACUAGCCCAACGCCGUUGAUUCGAUGUCUCUCCAUACCAGACGUUUACUCUUGGAGGCGUGCUUGAUUCUCCUCUAGUGAAAAUCUUCAAUUUGGGACAACCAAUCACAGAUAGAUCUUGCAAAGAUGGGAAUUUGAAGGUGUAAUUGGCAGAGCAGAAACUUGUGAGGCUGUCUAAAUCACGCAGUUCCAACCUCUUCAAUUUGCGGAAAACAAUCUCUUCUUUUUCAACCCCGUCUUUGUCAUUUAUUACCACCUCUGUCAUUGCUCUGCAUCCGUAUACACAAAGUGAUACGAGUCGCACUAGAGUUUUUGCUGUGGAGGAUGUUACUAAGUGUAUCAAUUUCUUGCAAUCGAAAGCUACAAGUUUUGUUAGGUUCCCAAAAGAUACCGAUGAUGUUGGCAAUAGAAUUAACAGACUUUGACAAUGAUAUACUCUUAGAAUUUCAAGAUACUGAAAAAUGGGGCCAAAUUUGGAGUCUUGUUUGCACAGCUGCUUCAGAUGAUAGUGCCGGUACAGCUCUAAUUCUUUUAUCAUUGCCAACUUCCCCACAUGUUUCUCUAAGCAUCCUUCCAUCGAAAAUACCUCUUCGUGGAAUGAAAAAUAACACAGUACGAGCAUUUCGAGAUUGUGAAAUCUCUCCAGUACAUUCCAGAUUGGAAAACAAGCUGAGUCAUCAGCAGCAAUCCCUAGAUCUCUAAGACUGCCAAAAAGGUGUUGUGGGAAAUCGGCCUGCAAAAUCAUCUUCACGUCUUUUCCGCAUAGUGAUAGUUCCGUCAAGUUGGGUAAGAUCUGAUCAUCAUCAAUCAUAAUAACUAAUAAGGUCAAUUGAUGUUUUCUCAAAUGAUUUUGAGUAAUCCAAUCAUAAGCAGUGAGUUUAUAGUAUUUGUUUUAUAUUAUAUUUUAAAAAAAAUUGUAUUAUUGAUAAAAUUUAUUAAAUGAUUUUUUAUAUGUUAAUUUUAGAGGUAAAAAAGAAAUUAGGGAAAAAAGGUUGAUUUAUACUGACUCGAAAUUAUUUUAUUGCACAAUAAUAAAUUACUAAUUUAUUUUGUAAGUUCUUCUAUAUGGAAAGACUCAAGAUUCUUUUACAAAUGCUAUACCUAAAAAAGUUUAUAUAAUCAUUAAUCUACCACAUUGAUCCCUUAGUCUAGACUAGCAAAGAUUAUUGUAUAAUAAAAGUUUUCAAAUUUAUUGAGCAUUAAUUUAUCAAAGUUAAAAAUAAGCUAUAGAUAAAAAAUCUAGAAAAUGGCUUCAUACCUUUUCCAACGGCAAUAGGGGCUGUUGUGCAGGAAUACCAAGUUGAUCAUUCCCAUUAUUCUGCGAUAAAUCUGCCGCGAAUAUCUUUAAUCUGUCACAACGAUACACUAAAAGAAUUUCUAGGGCGGGCCAUUCCGAAGUAUGCAUUCCAGGGUACAAACAUCUAAGUUUUGGUAGAUCAUGGAGUAUCAAAGUGGUGAGCUGUGGAAAGACAAAAUAAGGGAUCACUUGAUCUGCUCUGUUUUCAGAAAUGAUCUCCUGUAAAUCCUCACAGGAGCGUAUUUCUAGGCGUUGGAGCUGCUUAAGGCUUCCGAUCAUAGACGCUGAAAAUAUGUAUUUUAAUUUGUGACAACCCCACACAAUCAAUCGUGUUAAACUUUGAAAGUGAGGAAACACUGCAGCUGGAAUUUGAUUGUAGUGCCAAAUCUUGUCGACAUUAAUUUCAGAUAUCUCCAAAGCCUCCAAGUUAGGCAACGCAACCUAAAAAGAUAAGAAUUUCUUGUUGAAAAUUUCUCUUUGAUUACAAAUUAAUGCAAGUCAGAAUCAAUUUCCAACUGACAGCUGAGUAUGCAUUCUAAUUCAUACUACUUGUUAAGAGCUCAAUUAGUGAGUGCGUGAGAUUAUUUUUUUCCCCAUUGUUUUCAUUUUCUUUCAAUUCUCUAAAUGAUUUAAUUAUUUUCCACGUUUGACAUAAGAGAACGCAUGAUAGAAUAAACUCUGUUAUAUAUAUAUAUGAAUAAAAUGUUAGCCUACGCACCUUCUCAUUGAAAAGCAAAGUUGAAAUAUCCAAAGUGAUUUCGCUGGAGCAAUACAUAGUCGUCGAUUCCUCUUGCGACACUUGUCUGUUCGGUGAUGCUGAAGGAGUCUCCACCUCACGGCAAAAACUUGUAACCUCUGGAAGAUUCCCCAGACUCAAAGAUCUUAAUUGAGCAAACUCUAUCUUCUCAAUUGCAUUAUCAACUUCUUUCCCAAUUGCAAAAAUCUCUUUCAUCUUGCUGCAAUUAAUAACUGCAAUUCUCUCAAGUCUUGGAAGGCAUUUUGUAGUAGAGAGCCAAAAGAUAUUACUCAACUUAUCACAAUUAUAUACUUCUAUGUUUUUUGAGUUCGUUGAAAGACUCUACUUUGAGCCGAUCAAUACAUAUCCUCUCCAUGUUGAUCAAAUUGUGAAGGGCAAGUGACUCCAAAAGAGGAAAGGCAUCACAAGCGACCAUCUCCCUUGAAUCGACGAUACAAAAGAAGUCAGGAUUAUUUUGAACCCAGAGGACCUUCAAUUGUGAAAAGCCCUCCGUGUCCAAAUUGAAAAGAACAUUCUCGAUGCCUUGCAGCUUGUCCAACCGUAAGUAUUGAACGUUAUUGAUGCCUUGCAAUUUCAUGGAGCAAAUGUCCAUAAAAUCAAGCUUGAGCUUCAAUGCUCUUGAAAUCUUGCGAUUACUGUCGAUCAAAAAGUGCAGCUGACUUUUAAACCAAUGUUGUCCAAAAAGCAUGGGAUGCAUGAAUAACCCAUUUCCAAUAUGUAUUUUGAACCUUUCGAGCUUUCUGGCCAAAAGCCUUCUGGUAACAUACUCUCAUUUUUAACAUCAAUUUCUAGAGUAGUUAGCCGAGGUAAAUGCAUCAAUUCGUCAAGGCUAGCAUUACUUCUUUUGCUGUUGGCUCUUUCAACCUCCCAUUCAAUGAAGCAAUUACCAUAUACAAUUCUUCUAAUCGGAUUAAGCUUGAUAUGACAUUUGGGGCAAUAACUUUCAGACGGAAACAGUGUUAAAUCUAACAGCCUUAGCUUAGUCAGUUGACCCAGUGCUUUAGGCAACUCUACAAUAUCAGAUUGCAAAAAGCUAAGGAUUUCUAGAUUUUCCAACUUUCCAAUAAUGGCUAUGUCUAUGCCUCCGAAAAUGCUUUGAUUAAGACAAAGUGUCUGAAGAUUUACUAGAAGACCAAUUGAAGAUGGCAAUGACAAUAACCGCAUUCUAGUCAAAUCCAAAACCCGAAGCUUUUUCGUCCUUUUGAAGAAGUUCUCGGGAAUAUUAGGCACAGCAAAAGAGUUCUUGGGAGACCAUGAAUAGAAGUUCAAGUUGUAGAGAUUCCGACCCUUCAGGAAUGUCAUUAACAAUACUAUCUUUUAAAAGAAAUUGCAAAAUAUUUUUUAAUUCAUCUGCAUUUUGGCCAUUUCAAUCAUCCUCAUUUUCACCACAAAUGCAUUCAUGUCACGAAAUGCAAUUGAAAUGGCAACAUCGCGAACAACAUCGUGCAUAGAAAUGUAUUUACUGCCACCAUCCUCAAGCAACAAACAAGAGUCUCUUAGUUGAUGGACCCAUGCAUGUAAUUUGUUAUGUGCAUCUUCUAGCUUAUGGACACUUUUAAAUACACCCAAGCCCAUGCUGUAUUUGAACAAAUCCAUAAUUGGUGCUGGCGUAAUAAGACUACACAGUAAAAAAGUUUUCUUGAGUUGCUCACCUCUUAAGUACUUGUAACUCAGCUCAAUUGUUGAGUAUGCCUCUGCUGGUACUCCUUCGUCGAAGCUUGCCUCUGAAGGCGUUUUGGAGUUCUUGCAAGGCAUUCUUCCACACAGGCAGCUCUUUUUUUCUCAGUGCCUUUGCUACUGUGGUUAGGGCAAUAGGCAAACCUCCGCAUGCCUUGGCUACACUUGUUGCUGUAGAUUUUAACUCACGAUUUUCAACAUAAUCACCAGCCAUUAUCUUGAACAAUCUCCAGGCUUCUUGUUCAUUUAAAAUGCCAAUCGAGAAGUUUUUUUCAGAUCCCAUCCUUAACAGCACAUCAAGAUCUCUUGUUGUGAAUAAUAAUUUACAUCCUCUGUGCUCAACUCCAAAAGGAAUGCCAAUAGUCCCCAAAUCAAGAGGAUUCCAGAUGUUAUCGAGAAUCACAAGGAUCUUCUUCUCAUUCUUCAAUCUUUUCAUAUAGUCUACUAGCUCUUCUAGACUCAGCUUCCUCGGACAACUCUAGGCCUAACGUUUCCGCAAUUUCCUCUUGGAUCUUUCUUAUGUCUGGACAUUGGGUAACCUCCGAAAAAACCACCAUAUCGUAAAGCUUGUCUUCAAUGGCUCGCCUUGCAAACUCCUUCACCAGUGUCGUCUUUCCAAUGCCGCCCAUGCCGUACACCCCAAUGAUGCUGACAUCAACAUCGAUCAAAUGCAUUUUGUAUGGCCUUCAAAGUAGAAAGUCUUGAUUCGAAGGCUUCGUAGCCUUUGUGAGACUUGAGCCAUAUAUCCUCCGGGAAUGGUACGGUAGAAAUUCCAUCAACAAAUCUCCCAGCUUCUUCUCGGAGUUUAACAAUGGCCUUCACCUUUGUUUCUGCUUUCUUGCUAAGCUGAUAGCGGGUCUUCAAAUUAGGACACAAGCCCAUGAGACAUCGUUUAUUUGUUGUCUUCUCAUCAUCAAUGAAUUUGGCUGCCUGCUCAAUGAUGAUGUUCGCACUAACCAGCCACUUCUCAACCUUCUCUUCAAUAUUUUCCCCUUUUCUUUCAGCCUCAGAAACCCUGUGCUGAAUGCUUCUCCUUUCAUCCUUGAGCUUGUCUAUUUCUGCCUUGAGUUUCUCAACGUUGGCUUUAUAGUUACGCAAAUAACCAAGUCGGCGUUCUGUUGAGGAGCCAAGCAUUUCACAAAUUCUAAAACAAUAGUAACAAUGCUUUCCACCAUCCUGGAUCCCUUUUCUUUUUUUUCGAAGUUUCUGACAAGAAAAUAAACAAUGAGCGAAACACAGAGAGAGUGAGGAGAAAAAGAAAAAGAAACGCAAAGAUGGACAGUUUAUCUGGUUGUGGAAGCGGAGAAAUGAAGAAAUCGUAAUAGCUGUUAUGGAUCUGCUGAGAAGAUGGAAACAAGGAAAAGGUUUCUAGUUCAACAACUGGAUUGCGAGCGGAGAGACUAAUUAACAAAGACUGGAGAUUACAACAAAGCAGAUGCCAAGAGAAAAGUUGAUCCAGUGAAAUUCAAGAAGUUGACAGCAAAAGGGAGCAAAGAUUAAUAACAAAACAGCAGUGACUACAAUGAACAAAAGCAUAUGCGUUUCUUGAUUGAGAAUGAGUGCAAAGAAUGAUCCUUAAUCAAUAAAAUAUCUAACAAUAUCUUCACCGAAAGUUUGAGACAUGUGAUCCUUAUUCCACUUCGUCAAUUACACUCCAGACCAAUGCUGCCGUCAUUAUCGAACGGUCGAUAUCCAACACUUGCACGAAGAUUCCAAGAAGUUGCGUGGCUGCCGACUUUUAGAUGCAAAGCCUCAUUGUGUCGAUGUUACACGAAAGAGAGCAGUCCGGGUAAUUGCCAAAACUUAGAACUAAACAGUAGCUUAGUCAGAAAAUCAAACGCCCAGUACCGGUAAAAUGACCGAUAAAAUAUAAAAAAAACAAAAAUUUUAAAGUUUUACUUCAUUGCUUUUUUAAUCUUAUUACUAUUUCUCCUUGCACUUCUAAAGAAACCAAAGCUUUAAAAGAAAUCAGCCAAAUCACGAAGAUUGAAAACUAAAUCUAUGGUUUUAGAUUUUUAUUUUAUUUUUUUAGAUAAUAGAUAUUGUUGAGUAAUGAAAAGUACCAGCUCAGCUAUCCCCGCUUCCCUCACCUUGGGGCGAAUCCCCAGAUGAAUGGCACAAGCAGAUUCCUGGUAAUACAUCCUGUACGGGGCAUAUGCCAACUAGAAACGAGUACCGACCAGAUGUACAUACCGACCAAGUACUCAUUAUUCAAAGAAAGAGGACACGAACUCAACAAACUCACGACAAUUUUGUUAUGCCCCCAAACCGUUGGGGAGAACAUGACGCCCCACGUUUACCCACGAUUCGGUGGUUGGAGACCCAUGAAGGUUUGUCAUCACCCGAAAAUGAGGGGCAUGAAUAAGACUCAGAAAACAGGGGAUGAUUGCCUAUAAAAGGCCAAGAAAUCGAUGAAAAAUGGGAGACACAAAUUGAGAGUAAAGGGGAAACUCUGUCAAAUUAUAAUCAGAAAUUCAUAUAUCCAAAUCCUUGAUACAUUUGGUAUUGAGAAUAUUGCAACUAAUAUGUACAACACAAAUCAUUCACUUUUCUCGUAAACACCUUGUACUAACUUAAGUAUCGAAGGGUUUAUGCCCAAAAAACCAUCGGCGUCUCUGAUUUGUUUCUGUGAACGCAGGCCUGGAAGGAAGAAGACGGGUGAUUUGGGUCCCAGAAGCUCGGGAAAUUGCUGAAGCUAAUGGAUCGCAGCCUCUGUUCCUUUGCCAAUACAAGCGUUGGUGAACCAAUCUGGUCGGUCCAAAGGCGACUAGAUUUCAGCAUCAACAGAUAUUAUUUUGAUGAAUUUUUUAAUAUUAGAAUAAUGUUAGGAAUUCCAAUAAUAAAAUUCUAACUUGAGACCCAAUUGUUAUGUGUUAUUUUUUUAUUGAAUAAUGAAUUUCACAACUAAUAAAAUUUAUAUUUCCAUCAUCUAAUAAAUGACUACCAUAUCAGUUGGGACUCAAUUAUUAGGAUCCUUAACAUUGCUCUUAGUAUUAAAUUGGACAUCUUAGCUAAAUCAGAUUAAAAAUCAAAUUAGUUUUUAAGCUUUUAUUCAACAUCUCUUUUUUUUUUUUUGUCUAUUGGAAGUGAACGAAAUAAAAAUACAACAGGGUCAACGACUGGGCAAUUGGUAGUCAAGUAGAAGCAAAUCAAGGCUAAAUGGGAAAGAGAAAUGAUAUUUGUGCAAAAUAAGGAGAAAAUCAGUGUAACAGAAGAGAAUCAAAGUGCUUUUGAGAUAAAAAAUUGAAACAAGAAAAGGGUCGCUUGAUCCAAUGAAAAUGCAAAGAGCUGAUGGCAAAAGGGAACAAAGUUAAAUAAGAAAACAGCUAGCGCUAGCAGCGACCACAAUAAACAGAAAAUUUGAGAUGGAUUUACAAUAUUUCUGCCUUUCUUUAUGCUUUAAAAAAUAUUGCUCUAUCAAAAAAAAUAUUGAACAUUUUUAUUAUUGGAGUCACAAAUGACCUACACAAUAUAGCAAGUGACUAGGAAUAAAUAAGAAUAUAUAACUCUCUCUAAUUCUCACUCUGGCUUUUAAUUGUCACUCAAAACCCAGAAUUCAUCCUUAAAGUGUAGGCAAAUCAAGGAUGACACCGUUUGGUUGUCAUACGUGCCUUUUAGUUUUCGGAUGACAUGGCGUACACUUCUUCUGUAAACCCAACAAGACAUGUCGUACUCUUUUGUUUUGAGAUUCUAUUUCAAACUUUUCAUGCUAUGAAUGAAAGAUAAACUCCAAUCAUCAAAAUAUUUAGUGUUUGUUUGGUAAUGUAAUGUCAUAGUUGUGAAUUGAAAUUAUUUCUAUAAAAUAAAAGGAUUUGGGUCAUUGUUUGUUAUUUUCUGACAACAUUUAUUAAAUAUUAAAAAAUAAAUUUAUAUUUAUUAGGUAUUAAAAAUAAAUAAACAAACAAAAAUAAAAGUAAAAGUUUAUACAUUACGUAAAAUAAUGACAAUAUCAAUAUUUCGCACUCUAUAAUUGAGUGAUGUGUUGUCCAACUGGCAUACAUUGGUCCCAAACGGAGACUUAAAUAUCAAAGUCCAAAGUUAUUAUGAUGAUGACUUAUAAUCGCCAAACUUGACAUACGGGUAAUCAUGCAUUAUAAGGUGCUAAUUUCUUCCGAUCGGAACCUUAUUUUUCAUUUACAAAUAAAUAAAUGAUGUGACUUCACGGUUGGCGGGGUCCUUUGUGUCAUUUGGGCAUUUCACUAAAUGAUUGAUUGUAGCAGGAAGAUUCCUGGAAGUUGCCAUUUGCCAAUGCUACUAACAUUUUCAAACUUGGAAAACCCUUCAAUCAAUCUUUUAGUGGUAGGCUCUGGUAACUUGGUUUGAUUAUGACGUAUAAUUAUUUGAUAAUAAAGUUAGAGGAUGUAUUAAUAUAAAAUUUGUUUAUUGGUGUUGAAGUUAAUUAUCUCAUUAAUAAUAGUAUAAAAAGUUAAUUACUAAGAAACACAUAGCAAUAGUUAAUUGGUGUCAUAUUAUUGGGAUUCUGGGAUAUAAUUUUAUAUCAUAACUUUGUAAGUGUAUACUUACUCAUCAAACUAAUAAAAUUAUUUAAAAAUUUCAGUUGGAAAAAAUAAAUUAUAUUAUUUUCAUUUCAAAUAAUCUAUAAGUUAACUCAAAACAUAAUCAAGCUGAGAAUUAAAAUAAUGCUACUGUAUGAGAGGAUUUUUAUUUUUUCCCGAAGUUUCACUAGGAAAUUAUUGAUACAUAGCUUUAUUCGGAUCAUCUCAGUUCAAACGACAAAUAAUUGAAAGACUAAGCUAAAUAGACCAGCCAACAACUUUGUACAAGAGAGUUCAAAAAUUAAGGUCAUGGUAUUAAGGUGUUCUAUCUUGAAAAGUAUAGAGUAGUAAUAAAAUAAAAACUAAUAGUUUUUGGUAAGAUAUGACAUUUAAAUAAUAAUUUUCACAAAAAUACAAGGAAUAUUUAUAAAUUACUUUUAUAGUGAGGGGACCCUCACUCUGUUAAAGUGAAAAUAUCAAUAAUAUACAAAAGACAUAUAUUUUAACACAUUAAAAAUUGUAUUUUUUUAUCUAUUGGUGUAUUGAAAUAUGUGUUAUUUAGUUUGUUAGUGAUAUCAUUACUUUGUUAAAAUGAGAAUGUCGUUACUAGAGAAUCAUUAUGUAUACAUAUAUAAAGUGCUUCUGUCCAAGACCUAGACUUUAUUAAAAUUUGAGAAAGCAAAUAUAUUUUAUAUGGUAUAAUAGUGUAAUAACAUCACACUAUUAUAUCAUAUAGAGUAAUAGUUUUUCGAACUUUAAUAAAAUUCAAGAUUAUAGAAUGAAUGAUUUUUAUAUAUUAUAAAUUUUUUUAUCAUAAAUGGAGGACAAAAUUAACAUAUUUUCAAAUUAUAAUAAGCAUUUAUCAAAUAAUUUAACAUUGCAAUUUCUCCUAACUAGUAUAGUAAAUAAUACGACCUAGGAGAUACAUUCAAAGCAUUUCAUAAGUUAGUUGUUAAUAAUAAAUUAUAUAUGCAGCUCCAAUCAUCAUUGUACGGUGAGUAAUUUCCAGUUAUAAAUAGAUAUUACUCCCUUCCCAGCAAUUUUUGAUGACUUAAUUUAGUGGGAUCAAAAUCAACAUUGAAUUUUUGACCAGCUGCCAACAACUUGUGAGCAGUUCACAGUGGGUACUGCACAUGAUGCCUGUUUCUCCUUUUGCAUCUAUUUUUGUUGUUAACAUUAAUUUCAAUAGCAGCUCGUUAAUCCCAUUUGUUGAUUUGGGACUAGAUAAGAAUUUAUCUUGGAACUCCAAUUCUCCAAUUAUUUUAGUUGACAAUAUAUUUAACAUUAUUAAUUGCAUAUUAUUUAAUUAUCAGUAUAUAAUAUUCUUUAAUUUUCUAAUUUUAUAGGAUUAGACACAAAAUUGAUUAUGCCUUUUGAAAUUUAAGGGUUAUGUCAAUUGAAUAGAAAACUUGGAGGUAAACUUGUGGAUGUUUUUGUUGAUUAUCAAUUUAUGCAUGAAUUUUUGUACGUUUACUUUGGUUUAUAAUUAUUACUUUUAAACAUUUUUAUUGGUUUGAUUUAGGGUCAAUUUGGUAAUCCUGUAGCUUUAAAAUAAUUACAAUUAGCUAUGCUGUAGAAAUGAUCAAUCGUCAAGAGAAUCAGCUGAGCAUUUAGUAAAAUUUAUUUUUAAAAGUACUUUUAGUUUUAAAAGCGUUGUAUGAAUAAAACUGUUACACUAAAAAAUUAAAUGUAUUGCCCACUUGGGUAAAUAAAGCUAUAUAUUACAACUGUUACACUAAAAUUAAAUGUAUCUUAAACCCAAACUUCUUCUUCUUCUUUUUUGACUAACAAAAUUAAAAACAAUAGUGAACACAUUCUUUAAUAAACAAUAAGUAAUAAAUAAAAUCGUGUUAAAUUUCUUAAAAACUUUCUUUCACGGUUUGCUAAAUAUUUUUAUUAGUAUUUUAAAUAAAUAAAAAUAGUUGAUUUUAAUUUUUUUAAAUAAACUUAUUAGGUUUCAUGUAAAGAUGUUUUUGUUAUUUUAAAAAGUGUAGAAAGUACUCCUAAAAAAAAGCGUAGAAAGUAAAACUUAAUUUUUUAAAUUUAUUAGCUGAGUGCAUAAAUAAUUGAGUGUUCAUAAUGAUUUUUAAAGUAUAGAUAGUCGGACCCUAAUAUUUUUAAUAAAUGGAAAUUUUGCUAAUAUGUUAAUGAGAAUUAAAAAGAUAAUUAAGGGAGGCAAUCGAGACAUUCAGGAUAGUUAGGAUGGGACAUGAUUGUGAGCGGUUAGAUAUUGGUCCUAAUUUUGAUCACAAAUAUAUAAACAGGACGAGUUUAUCUCUACUUACAUUCCAUUUGAUAAUUAAGAUGAGAGUGGAAUUGUCAAAUCCCAAAUCAUCCCGGACCACUGCCACCAAGGGUACUCUCACUAAUAAUAUCUAAAGAAAAAUCUACAUCUAUUUCAUACUUUUUUUAAUGGAAAGAGCCCUCAUGGGGCUUGAAAUGGUAUCCUAAAUAAUAUUGAGAAUAUCAGGUCAUGAUUGGGUUUGUGACAAACAAAUACUACAUAGUUGGGAUACGUAGUUAUAAUGUCCCAAUUUAUGUAGUAUCUAUCAUUUAGCGCACAUAUAAAAUAUUAAUCAGCUUAAUUAAUUUAUAAAAUUUAAAUCUAAUUAAUAAGUGAUACAUAAAUGCCAAGUGCAAUACUGUAUAUGCAAAUCAUGUUUGUGGAUCAUUACAAAAUUGGCUCUUGAAAACAAGCAAGAAAGCUUAAUUAAGAACUUAAAACAAAAGAAUUAGAUUGAGAACAGUCAAGCCUUAUUUUUUCAAGGAUGGAGCUUAUAAAUCUUCAAGUACCAACAUACGCUUGGCCCAAUUGUUGUUAUUAAAAUUUCAAUAUACAUAUAUAAGUAUGAUAUAGCAAAAAUUUGAUGGUACAUAUGUCGGAAUAUACUAGUUCAUGGGUGCAUUUGAUUAUUGUUUCCAUAAAUUUGAACCAGGAAGGACGACACGAUAAAAAUUUGAUUUAUGGUAUGGUUGAUUUCAUAGCUCAUGCACUCAUUUCUUAAGAUAAUCAAAUUUUCUCUGACAUCUUUUUCAACUGUCGAAAUAUCAAUUAUGAUCAAUCAAAACGAUUUCAAAACCUUUCAACGAGACAUAUUUCUAAUACAAUAUUGUGAAAAUUACACUAAAAAAUAAUUUAUUAUAUAUUAUUAUCCAACGAGCACACAAAAAUGAUUUCGUACAAAUCUAAAAUACUAAGCAAUUUUCAAAUAGAAUUUACCAUGUACUACAAGAAAAUAGGGUAUAUGUGACCCCUACUGUGAAUGCAAAAGCAGCCAUUACGCAUAACCCCGAGUUGCUUUUGUUACCCUUUAUGUGACGGCCACACUGCUGUCACAUAUGUUACGACCGCGUGACGGUGAAGAGCCGUUCGGUAUACUAAUAUUUUAGAAUUUUAAAUUUAUUUCCAGUUAGAAAACUAUUCGCUGGACUCCGUGUUGCUGGCCACCAUCGUAAACAUAACUGGUUGCCAGCGAACGGCGUAAAACGCCGGCCAUCUUCUUCUUCAACGUAUUCUCCCUUCAUCUUUGAGGUAAGCUUGUGAUUAUGAGUUUCUUCUCUUACUUAGCUUGUAAUUAUAGAUUUUGAUUUUUUUUAAUUCGUAUUGUAGCCGUUAUUGUCAAUUUUUGUCCCGCCAGCAAUAUUUUUUUAUUCCUACAAGUUGAAACCCCUGUGUUCUUGUUCCAUUGGUGAGUUUGCUCACUCAAAUUAAUUUUGUUCUGCGGAAUUUACAAAGUUCAAAUGGAUUCAUUUGAAUUACUAUUGAAUUUAGCUUUAAUUCCAACAUCCAUUCUAAUGUUUUGCAAUUAGAUUUAAUUUAAUUUUAUGUUUAAAGCUUCUACAAUGAAUAGCGGAGCUUGGGUUUUAGUUUCAUUUUCUGGAUAACUUGUUUUUAGUUUAUCUUGUAUGCUCACCAAAUGCUUGUUAUAUUGUCUGAUAAGUUAUAUACAUUGCUGAUUCUACAUUAAUAAUGUUACGUUGUAUUUUCAGAAAUUAUAAUACAAAAGUUUUUUGCAAUGGCGUGCAUCUACAAACUGAAUUGACUUGUAGAAUAAGAGCUCGGAGUAGUGUUAUGUUCUUGAAUAAUUGAAAGUUCAUAUUGUGUAAGAGCAUUGUAGAUGUAAAGCAUCAUUACCAUUUCUACAAAGUGCUUUCAUUCUGUUCAUAUGCUCUUCUUGAACUUUGAAAGGUGCCUCGUUCAAGUCCUAGCUAUAACUACUAGCUUUGAUUAAUUAAGUUCCUAUACUAGCUGAAACAGAUUUAUUUAAUUAAUUAAUUGUGUAUGUACUAAUUAUAUUGAAAGUAUAUGAAUUUUUUUUUUAACAUGAAUGACUUCUAAAUGACUUAAAAACCUAAAGGGAUGUGUGAAACAAUGCUCAUUUCAUUUGAAUGAGCCCAUUAAUACUUUUAUGUCUAUGAUUUUCAAUAUUGGCUAAAGCAUUUCAGUUAAGUGGUUUACCUAACAGAGAAAAAAAUUUAAUAGAAAACUUCAGAGUUUCUAACAGAAAUAUAGUUCACUAUGCAGAUAUAGUUAUUUUACGGUAUACAAAUCAAGUUGUCCUAAUCUCAAUGUCCUAUGACCGAUUUUAUUUUAUAUAGUCAUUAAUUUUUUUCCUUGGUUUUUUGUGUUUAUGAGUAUGAAAUAGUGGGAUUUGGUGUACCUUAGCAUCUUUUGAAAAUUCUCUUUCAGUGUGGCCAACAGAAAUAUACAUAUAAUCAAGUUCUUAAUCGUGUAUAUUAGUUUUGGGUAUGAAUGUUCUAUUCUAGUUCGAGGCAAAGCUUCUUCGUUUUUGGUCUUCAGAUUUCCAGUAGGUUAAGUUAAUCAACUAUCAUAACUGGCUAGCUAGUUAUUGUCUGCCUUGGCGCCAUUACCAGGCCAUUAUAUUGCAUAGCAUAAGGAAUAGUGAUUAGGGGAUUAUUAGUGAUUUGUUGAGCUUAUUAUCGACCAAACAAACAUAUUCGCCUUUGCCCACAACUUAGUUUGAUUAGUUAUUAGACCAUAAAGAGCCUUGAUCUAUUCAUUGGCUUUAUUAUUUUUAUUUGGUUUUUCUUUCAACAAUAUUGUUGAUUUCUUAUAAAAAUAUUCAUUGGUUUUUAAACACCUAAUCAUUGGCUAUAUGAAGCUAAUUAAAACUGAGGCUUUGGAUCAAUUUCUUCUAACAAGAUACAAAUGAGCAUUAACCUAUCUCCUAUGAGUAAAUUUUUUUAAUAUCCUUGAUUUGUAAGGAUCUGGAGGCCUGAAAUCCUCUAGAUUUUUUUUAACACUGUCAAUGUUCUUUUAUUUCUGAGAAGGAAAUAAAAGGUUUUAUCUUUCAUACCCAAAUAGUAAGCUGGCCUUGUCUUAACAUGGCCUCCGAGGACUUGCAAGAUUCAUAGUGCCCCCACCCCAAAAAAAUAAAAAUAAAAAAACACAAAUAGGAAGAUUUUGCAAGAUUCACCACCAGGUUUUUUUUAAUUUGUUAAUUGUGUGUACGUGCUAGUUAUAUGUUGAAAGAAUAGGAAAGAAGUAUUUCAACAUGAAUGACUUAAAACUUAUUGCUCAGUAAACAUAAUCUGCAUGUAUUUAUCGUUUGUAUUUUUUAUGGUUUUGCUAAAGAAAUGAUAUGUGAAAUAAUGCUACAUUUGCAUCAGGAAUAAAUUGAAGAGAUUUAUGAUAUUUAUGUGUUAUUCAAAUUUCAGAUUCAAUUUUAAACUUUUGAUACGUGCAUUGAAAGCUUAGACUUGUUUAAGAAAUUAUUAAUAGACACAUGUUUUUAUUAGUGUCAUCUUUGGAUGAUAGUGAGGAUCAUAUGUCUAUUAAUAAUUCUUGAAUUGUCCAGGCUUGGACAGUUUGGGAAUGCAUAGUUCACUCUGGUAGCUAGUAGCUGAAGUUUUUUCCCACGUAAAAAUGGGUUUUUCAGUAGCUGCUCCUCGUGUUCUCUGGGUACGUACUAGGUGAAUGGGUGUCAUGUGUUGUUUUGGCAUAACGCAUAAACACUUAUAUAGCUAUGUCGUGUGCUUGGAGAAUUAUAGGGAGAUGGUGCCGAAAUUUUUAUAAACGUGGAAGAAAACUUUAGGUACUUGAGAUUGAAGAAACUUAUGCAUUCUUGAGUGGGAUAUGUAGGAUUACUUACCUUUUGUAAAUAUGAAGGGAAUGUUGGAUAUAUUGGGGAUAGUGUAGGAGCUGAGUUGGAUGAAUGUAAUUGGUGAUGAUUUUUGCUGAGCUGACCUUGGUUUUGAGCUUGUAAUUUUGUUUGUAAAUGGAGUGCUAUCUCCAAUGUUGGUUUAUAAAUAUGUUUCAGGACUUGCUGACCUAAUUUUUUGUUUCUAGGUUACAGGCUUUAUAUAUCUGUAAUUGAUGGCGAAGUGAAGUUCCCAGAACUUGGCGAGGAUGUUUCUUUACAGAAGGUAUUGGAAACUGUUUUUUACAUUAAUUAUUGUUGUAUAUAUACUUUGAUUUUCACAUCUUUUUCUCUGAUUCUUGUGGCUUUGCUUGCUUUCAUAUAUGUAAAUUCUAAUGAAAAUUAACCAUAAAAUUGUUUAAAAUGAUCUUUUUAUUAUAUUGCAAAACUGUGCACACACGAAAAUAUAUUGUUUAGUAGUAGAAAUGAAGAACUAAAAUGAUUUACUUAACUAAUUUUUGUAGCGCAUUAAAAGGAGAUAGUCAUGGACAUGUGUUGGGUUGGUUUGCCAAAUAGAUAUCCAAGUCAUAUACUGAUGGGGAUGAAAAAUUUAUAGAUUUUGCAUUUGAGAAUGUUGUUGGUGGUACAAGAAUUUAAUGUCCUUUUAAGAAGUGUUGUAAUCUAUAUUUCGUUAUAAAGGAAAGUGGCUGAUGAUGAUAUGGUUGGAAUGAUACAAUGCAUCACGUAAUCAAAUGUUCAAGUUACACGGAGCAUUGUUAUGGACUAUCAGUGACUUUCUAGCAUUGCCAACUUGUCUGGGUGGAGUAUUAAAGGUAAAUAAGCAUGUCUUGUUUGCCAACAAAACACUAGAUCUAAUUGGUUGAUACAUAGUAGAAAAUUUUGUCACGUGGGUCACCGUCGAUUUUUACCAACAAAUCAUAGGUUUCGAAAAUAUAGUGUCUUUUGAUAAAACUAGAGAGUAGGGACCAGCACAUUCUCGGUUGUCUGGAUCUGAAGUGAAAAAGCAGUUUAAUAUACUUACUGAGUAUAAGAUUGAAGACUUGAAAAUAGGAGAAUGAAUAAAAUGAGAGAAAUGAUAAGAUUACUUGGAAGAAGAAAAGCAUAUUUUAUGAACUACCGUGUUGGGAGUUCAAUUUGAUUCAUCAUAUCUUGAUCUCAUGGGCUGUUUUGAUUUUUGUUAUGAACUCAGAUCAAAAGUUUAAUGUGAUCAAAAUUUCUUAAAAAUAGUGAAAACGACUCCUAAUAAUAUGGAAGAUGGCUAUAAAAAGAUAAAAGGAAAGGCUUAAAAAGAAAAGCCAUGCCUGUCCAAAAAAAAAAAAAUCAACAAAAAUCAAAACGGUGCGUUUGAGAGUGUAUAAAAUACAUUUAGAGUGGGAGUUGUGUUGUUGCUUGAAGGCAGAAAGAUAUUUGUCGACGAAGCCAAAACCAAAGAUGAAGCCCAUAAAGCUCAAACUCCACCGGAGCAAAUUCAGGACAAUUACGAGGGUUAUGUUUGACAUAGUCAAGGAAGACGGUCCUCUCACCGUUGCCGAAACUUGGGAACGCGUCAAGGUGUGUGUAUCUGUUAAAUUGAAUUUCAACCGUUUGAUCUGUAAUUAUAAUUAAUCCAAUCGAUCUGACAGUGAUCACUGACCAUAAUACUAGUAGUUGUUUUACAUUUUCAGCAGGCUAGAGCGGGUGGAUUGACGGGCAAAAGCUCAGGCUCGUCUGCAAUCACAUGGGCCCUCAUAAGCAAAUCCUGUACACAACUUGGUUCACUAAACCCAACAACUUGAAGCAGCCAAAAUCAGGGAAUGAUCCUUCUCCGUCACAACCCUAGCUGCCUUAACCUUGUAGUGACACGGUGAAGAUGGAAGCCCCUCAGCAUGUAAACUUUUCAACAGCGACAGAGCUCUUAUUCCAGAGGCUGCACAGAAGAGCGACCUGGAAUCCUCUUCAAAACUUUCAAAUUUUUAUCAAGUAAAGCUUUCAAAAUUUCUCAACAAACUGAUUAUUUGGUGUGGUUGCCACAUUUUGUGCAACUGCUAUUCGUCUUCAAGUACAAAUUCCUUGCCUUCUAAGUUAGGGAACAUAGAUGUGGAGCAAACAGGGAAAUAGAUGUGGAGCAAACAGGGAAACAGCAAUGAUGGCAAUUAACAAACUAAUAGCAGUAUUACAUUUGAUUCUUUAGCCCAAUUUUGUUCCUUCUGUCAGCCAUUCUUCAAAAGUUUUUGAAAAUUAGAUGUGAAGCAAAAAAAAAACAAAUUUAGACAACAGAAGCCCUGUGCUCAACAUCAUAUAUAUACCUUGAAUACCUAAUAUACUAAAUUUCACAUAUAAAAUACUAGAGAUUUCAAACAGUACCAGCAAUAGAAUAAUGACAACGACAACAAUAACAGAAAAUUACAAGAUUGCUGACAAAAUUUAUGUGAUUUACUGUGCCUUUAUGCAUGCAAAAUGAAACUGAAGAUAAAAAAUUUAGGGAAAAGGACACAGAGACCCCCAACGUUUGAAUAAGGGACACAAAAUCCCUUAAUGUUUCAAAAAAGACACUCAGACCCCCAUUUGUUAACAUUAAAUUAUAAUUUUACCAUUGUACCCUUAUAGCAUAUUAAAAAAUAAUUAUUCAUUAUCCAAUUUAUUUCUAUAUUAUUAAUAAAAUUACGAAUAUAACUUCAUUACUCAAUUUUUCCAUUUAAUUUUUAUCAAAUUUUAUCUUCAAACUAAAUAAAUUUAAUCCAUUGCUCAAAAAUAAAAAUAAAUUAAAUUGAUUAUUAAUAUAAUAAAAAUAACAAUUCUCCAUAUGUUAUUUCUUAUAAUUUCUUAUAUAUAAAUUAAAUUGAUAAUUUCUUAAAAAUAACAAUUCUCCAUAUAUAAAUUAAAUUUAUUUUAAUUUAAUAUAUGUUAUUUUUAUAUUAAAUAUAUGUUAUUUUUAUUAUAUUAGUAAUCAAUUUAAUUUAUUUUUAUUCUUGAGUAAUGGAUUAAAUUUAUUUAGUUUGAAGAGAAAAUUUGACAAAAAUUAAAUGGAAAAAUUGGAUAAUGAAGUUAUAUUCGUAAUUUUAUUAAUAAUAUAGGAAUAAAUUGAACAAUGAACAAUUAUUUUUUAAUAUGCUAUGAGGGUAUAAUGGUAAAAAUUAUAAUUUACUGUUAACAAAUGGGGGUCUCAGUGUUUUUUUUGAAACAUUAGGGGGUUUUGUGUCCCUUAUUCAAACGUUGGGGGUCUCUGUGUCCUUUUCCCAAAAAUUUAUAAACUAGAAAUUUAUAAUAAUCUAACUUAUUCUCGUUACUAUUAAAAAAUAAGUAAACAUAUCAAUAACAAUAUAGUUUAUUAUGAUUAUAAUUCAUUCAAUUAAAAUAAAUAAUUUAUUCUUAUUUCUAUUCUCUAUUCUAAUUUCAGUAAAUUUUGAUUUUAGUUUAUUUUAAUUAUUGAUUAGUUGUAAACUUAACUGGAAAUUUAUUGCAUAUAUUACGAGAAGCAGUACACACCAAUGGUAAAUUGAUACAUCGUUUUUGAGCUUAAGAUAGUCAAAUGAAAGAAACACAACGUAGGGUUCAUGAAACACUUUCAAAGCUGCUGAUGACUUAAAGUGAAUAACCUCAGCAUGUAAACUUAACUUCAAAGGACGGAGCACAAGUUUCACAGAAAAACAGCUCUUAUUUCUGAUGCUGCGAACACAGAGGAGUGACCUCAAUCUUCUUCAUCACUUGGGAAUUCUGCAAUUAUAGAGCACGACAUUGAGCAUGAACUAGAAAAAAUAUUUAUUUUCUACAAUUUUCAUAUAACCUCACUAACCAAGAUUAAUUUUGUGGUAAUGUAUUGGGUCAUUAAUUCAUAUGUUUUUACUGUCAUCACUUUAGAAAAAACUAAUUUCUCAAUGUGAAAUGGCCCAUAAAAGGUAUUCUCAUUUAAAAACUAAAUUUGACAAACCCUCGAUUAAAGCAGGGGAGAGAAAAGAAAAAAAAAAGAUCUGAAGGCUUUCCACAUGAAAAUGUUGUCACUUUGGAUGAUAUUUUCAAGGGAUUUCAUUCUAAAAAUAAAAUACCUGGGACCUUAUUCUUCAAAUUGACAGCUCGCCCAGUACUAAACGCGUAUGAGAUCAGUACUGGGACAAGUAACGAGACGACCCCUCCAACAGCUGAAAAUAAAAUUCGCAUUCAUCAAUUUAAAUUGAAAUUCAUAUUAUGAAAUUAAAACUAAUGAUUAAUGAAUUUUCAAGGAAUUUAAUAAGAUUCUCAUAUAUAAACGUGAUAAAAAAUUCACUCAUCAAUAACAAAUAUUCUAACAUUUUGUUGAUGUAAUUGUUGUAUGGUUGUGUUAAGGUCAUUAUUAGACCAACGCAGUUUGUCAUCACUCAUUCCGUACCAGACGUUUACUCUCGGAGGCGUGAUUGAUUCUCCUUUGGUGAAAUCUUCAUCUUCGGACAACCAAUCACAGUAAGAUAUUCCAAAGAUGGGAAUUUGAAGGCGUAAUUGCCAGAGGAGAAGCUUGUGAGACUAUCUAAAUCAAACAGGGACAACGUAGUCAGUUUGCUGAAAACAAUCUCUUCUUUUAAAUAUGCUGUUUCAUUUCAAGACUGGCAAAAUUCAUUGUGUAAUCAAAGUUUUCAAUGAUCCAACUAAUAUAUAUAUAUAUGUAUGUAUAUUCCUUCUCUAGUGCAGACAUUCUCAUUUUUUUUUUUCAUGUGGACCAGUUUUUAGAUCCCCUGGUUUAAAAGAGUUAGUUUUUAACUCUUUAAAACCGCAUGGCUUCAUAAUUUAUUUAAAAACUAACUCUCUUAAACCGCACGGUUUAAAAGCGUGUCCACAUUAAAAAAAAAUACGGACCCCCACACCUGAGAAUGAUUAUAUAUAUAUAUAUAUAUAUAUAUAGACACACGCUCUUAAACCGUGGGAUUUGAAAGCUUCUCCGCAUGAAGAAAGUAAAAAAUAAGGGCAUUCCCACUAGAAACAAACUCCAUAUAGGUAUUUAUUAAACCUCCUGAUCUGUGAGUGAGGAACAACAAAUAUAAUUGAUAAAAAAAAUCUAAAAUUUGGUUUCAUACCUUCUUGAACGAGAACAGGGGUUGUUGUGCCGGAAUACCAAAUUGAUCAUUCUCGUUAUUCUGGGACAACGUUAUUUUAUCACAAUUACAGGCCUCCAAUGUUUUUUAGUGCUGGCCAUUCUGAAGUAUGCAUUCCAGGGUAUAAACAUCCGAGUUCUGGUAGACCUUCGAGAUUCAGAGUGGUCACUUGUGGAAAGACAAAAUAUGGGGUCACUUGAUCUGCUCUGUCUUUGGAGAUGAUCUCUUGUAAACCCAUACAUAUCCGUAUCUCCAGGUGUUGGAGGUGCUCAAGGCUUUGGAUCAUAGAAGCUGAAAAUAUGUAUUUUAAUUUGUCACAGCCCCACACUAUCAAUCGUGUCAAACUUUGAAAGCCGCAAGUUGAUUGUCAUGCAAAAUCUCGUCGACAUUAAUAGCAUUCAGCUCCAAAGCCUCCAAAUUUGGCAACACUACCUGAAGAUAAUUUUCUCUUUAGAUCCAAUAUCCGUAUGGAAAGCACUUGUUUUGACACAAUAUCCAUAUAAGAAGCACUUAAUUAAGAGCUUAAUUAGCGAGUGUAUGAGACUUUUUUUUUUUCAAAUGCCAGUGCAUGAUAGAACUAAAAAAAAAAAAGAAGCAUUAGCCUACGUACCUUCUCGUUGAAAGCAGAGUUGACGUUUCCGAACUGAUCUCGUUGGAACUGGCUGUCAAUUCCUCUUGCGACUCUUGUCUGUUUGGUGAUGUGGAAGAAGUCUUCACUUCACCGCAAAACCUUGUAACCUUUGGAAGCUUUCCCAGACUCAAAGAUCUUAAUUGACCAAACUCUAUCUUCCCAUCAACAUCAACAUCAGCUUCUCCUCCAGUUGCAAAAAUCUCUUCCAUGCUGCUGCAAUUGAUAACUGCAAUCCUCUCCAGUCUUGGAAGGCAUUUUGUACUACUAGAGAGCCAGAAGAUAUUACUCAACUCAUCACAAUUUUCUACUUUUAUGGUUUUGAGUUCAUUGAAGGACUCUAUUUUGAGUCGAUCAAUACAUAUCCUCUCCAUAUUGAUCAAAUUUUGAAGAGUAUGGGACUCCAAAAGAGGAAAGGCGACACAUGGUUCUCUCUCCAUUGAAUCGACGAUACACAGGAAGUCUGGAUUAUUUUGAACAUGGAGAUGCUUCAAUUGUGAAAAGCCCUCAGUGUCCAAUUCUAAAACAACAUUCUUGAUUCCUUGCAACUUAUCCAAACAUAAGUAUUCAACGUUAUUGAUGCGCUGCAACUUCUCGGAGCAAAUGGCCAUAGAAUCAAGCUUGAGCUUCAAUGUUCUUAAACUCUCAUGAUUACUGAUCAUAAAGUGCUGCCGACUUUCAAACCAAUCAUUCUCAAUAACCAGGGUAGAGUCGAAUGAUGCAUCUCCUAUUGAUAUAUCAAACCUUUCCAGCUUUUUGGAAAAAAAGCCAUCCGGUAAAAUGCUAUCAUUUUUAACAUCUAUCUAAGGUGGUCAAUCGCCUCAUAUGCAUCAAUUCGUCGAGGGUGGCAUUACUUCUUUCACUAUUGGCCUUUUCAACUUCCCAUUCAAUAGGGGAAUUACCCAUAUACAGUUCUUCCAAUCGAGUGAAGCUUGAUAAGACGUUGGGCACAAUAAAUUUUAGUUGCAAACAAUCUGUUAAAUCUAACAGCCUUAACUUAGUCAGUUGACCUAGUUCGCCAGGCAACCGUACAAUAUCAGAAUUUAAAAAGCUAAGGAUUUCUAGAUUCUUCAACUUUCCAAUUAUGGCUAUGUCUCCCAACAUGCUUUGAUCUAGACAGAGUGUUUGAAGAUUUGCUAGAAGACCGAUUGAAGAUGGCAAUGAAAAUAAUCGCAUUCGUGUCAAAUCUACAACUCGAAGCUUUUUCAGCCCUUUGAAAAUGUUGUCAGGAAUAUUGACCUCAACAAAAGUGUUUUGGGAAAUAUGUAAAAAUUCAAGUUGCAGACAUUCAAAUUCCUCAGAAACUUCAUGAAUGCUACUAUUUAGUAAAGAGAUUGCAUAGCAUUUUUUAAGUGCAUCCUCAUCUGGCCACUCCCACACAGCCUCAUUUCUCACCAAUAAAGCAUGUUGGUCUCGAUUUAAACUUUAACUCAAUUUGAAAAACUGAGCAAGUAUGCGUUACAGGAAAUCAAAAAAGCUCCACAUACCCAGAUCAUGAUCUCACGUUGAAUCCAGGUGGGAGAUAUAUUUAUGAUCAAGCCCAACAUCGAAGGGGCAAAAAAAAAAAAAAAAAAAAAAAUCUACCAGACAUAUGAUCAUAUUGACCACGAGCUUCAUACGCCGUGGAUUUAUUAACAAAAGUGGGAAUUAAUUAAUCAUGAGCAUGUGUUCUAGUUAAGUCAAAAGAGAGACUUAAUUAAGAACGCAUAUAUAAUUCAUAAUCAGCACAUAAAAAGAUCACUAGUGCUUGCCCCUCCUGCCCUUGCCGUGCUUGCCGUGCUUGCCCCUGCCCUUGCUCUUUCCAUGCUGGUAGUAGCCGCCGUGCUUGCCGUGUGUGUAUGCACCGUGAGCUCCAGGAUAUGCGUUAUUAUCUGCAACAAAAUAAGAAAUUAAAUCAUAAGCUUAUAAUUAGCUCGCUCGCUAAGAGUGAUUAAAAUAAUACCGUGCGGAACGGAUGGGCCAGGAUAUCCCGUUGGUGUGUAACCACUGGCGAGUGCUGCUCCUGUAGGCGGGUAGCCGGCACCGGCUGGGCAGCAUGAUCAGCACCUUCCAUGAUUUUGAUGAUCACCUAAUAAAUAAUAACUUGGUCCAAAAUAAACAACAAUAAAUAAUUGUGAUUAAUAAAAAGUAAUAUAUUCUCUAAUUAAAACAUUAAUGAUCAUUGGAGAGCAAGCGAGAAAUACUUACUGAAUGCGAUGGGACAGACAACAUCAUGCAUAGAGAAUUGUUCAUCUUCAACGAAUUUGGCUGCCCGGUCAAUGAUGCCGUUAGCACUAACCAGCCACUUCUCAACCUUCUCUUCAAUCUCUUCCCCUUUUUCUUUUGCCUCUGAAACUCUGCGCCGAAUGCUCGUACGUUCAACCUUCAACUUCUCCAUUUCCGUCUUGAGAUUCUCAAGGUUGGCAUUGUAGUUCCGCUUGCGCAAAUAAACAAGUUGGCGUUCUGUUGGAGGAGCCAAGCAUUUUACAAGUUCCAAAACGAGAGUAACAAUGAUUUCCAGCAUCUUGAAUCCUGACAACAAUGUAGAAGUGAAGAAGGCCAAAGGACAGUCAAAACAGAGAGACAGCGUUACGACAAGCAGUUAUGGAGCUAAAAAUAAAUAACAAACAAACAGAAGCAAAGUGUUUUUCGAAUGAGAAGAAGGAAGCAAGAAAAACUUAAAACUAGUAUAAUAAAUUUAUACUAAAACUAGUAUAGUAAAACAAGAAGUCAAGAACCAGCAACUUUUACACACAAAAUAAAACCUUAAAACUAGUAUAAUAAAUUUAUCAUCAAGUUGCAGCCUUCUUAUUCAACAAUUACAGCAUUAUCUUGAGCUCUGUGUUUCUUUUUUUAAAAAUUAUUCAAAAAAAUCUGCAUUUGUUUUUCAACGAUAAAAAUUAUAUUUUUGUCUCAUAUAAUAUAAAAUUAAAAAAAAAACAAACAUAUAUUAAAGGUCUGUUUGGGAUUAUUUUUAGAGGCUCAAAAGUAAUUUUAAAAAGUUAAAUGCUAAUUUUGGUAUUUAAUAAAAUUUUUAGAAGUCACCUUUGGUAAAAUCAUCAAUCCUACAACAAAUUUUGAAAGCAAAUAGUUUUUCAAAUUUUUAUUUUGAUAAUUAAUUUUAUACUUAAUAUAAUUCCAUAUACAUCCCUACAUAUAUUAAUUAUCCUUAUUAAUUAGAAAAUAAAAUUAUUAACUUUAAAGAUAUUAUCAACAAUUACAUUGAGAUAACAAACUAAAAAAUAAAAUUAAUAAUAUAAAAUAUUUAUUUUAGUAAUCAAUUAUUAUACUUACAAGAUAAAAAAUAUUUUAUUUAAAUGUUUAUAAAUGUACAAAUAAAUUUUAUUUAAUAUUAUAUUCAAUUUAGUCAUUUACAUUGUCAAUAGGACUUCUAAAAAUAAAUUUUCCUAAAUGUUUAACUAAUUCUCUUCAUAGUGAUUAUUUCCAAACAUAACUACCAAAAAUUACUAUAAUAGAUACAACAUUACCAAAAAAAUAUUGAGAUAGAUUUUAAUUAGGUAAUUGACUUAAUUAUGAAUCAAUUUAUUAUUUCCAUAUGUGUUAUCAAAACCAGCUCAAUAAUGAGAUCACUCUUUUUCUUAAAUAAAAAUAUUUGUGCCAAACAAUUGUUGCAAAAUUUCAAAUAUAAAUUACAAACAACAAAAUUUUUCUAAAAUCAUAACAAUAAUUUAUGUUGUGAAUACAUGUAACUAAACCACAUUGAAAUUUUAUUGUUAGUAAAAUUGUUUUUCACGCAAAUGCAGUGACGGAUUCAGUUUCAUGUUUCACCCUCAAUAACUUAAUUUUCAUAUCUAACAAAUCAUCCAUAUUAUUAACAAUAUCAUCACCAAACAUAAUCUACCUAAACAUAAACUAAACAUAACACAUACAUAUAACUAUAUACAUACCGAAUCAGGAAAACAAUGAAAGCUACACGUAUCCGGCUCUACAAUUCCUUCUUGAUACCCUUGUGCUUCUGAAAUAAUCAACCAAUUAUAAAAAUUAGCUUAGGCGCAACUUUACCCCUUUUUUGGAAAACUUAACGAUAAAUAAAGUAUACAAAUCUCUAAAUUAACUUCGUCCCCAUGAAAUUCAGCAUAAAUAGAAAUAGAAUUAUAGAAACCUUACUACCUUUUAUGAGAAAUCCAACUUAUAUAUUUGAGACCUCUCUCUCUAAACACGCGCUUCCUCUCUCUGUACACUUUCCACCUUUGAAUUUUCCUUCACUAAGUCUACCUAAAUGAAUUUAGCAUUCUUCCAGUUUCUUUAGCAUUUUUUCUCCGUGAAAAUAGGUGAAAAAGAGAAAGUGGUUUGAUUAUUUUAAUGUAUGACAGAUCUGGUUUCCAUCUCUGUAAUUUAAGUUUGUCAAACGAGAUAAUCAACUCUUUGUCGAGUCAGUCAAAUAUAAAAGACAAAUUACUAAACCAAGCAGAGCCCAAAAAAAAAAUAUUUCCAAUUAAAUAAUCAUCAAGUCUUUUUCAAUUAAAUUAGGGAGUGCAGAACAACUGUCGAGAGAUAAUCAUUGUUUAUGGAGCCAUAUUAUAUUUUCGAUUAAAAUAGUUGCGCGUGAACAAUUGGCAGAAUUCGUAUAAAUUGUUGUCAGGUCUAUUAUAAUUAACAAGCGGAAUGGCCAAUGGAUGAAGAACCACUGUAAUUUCGUUUAUGAAUUCAAAAUGCUAAAGAAACUGGACAUCAACGCUAAAUGUCAGCCUGCGGCCCUUGCCUCAGUGUCUUUCAGGCGUUACUCUGGGUAGUUGAUAUACUGACCGUCCCUUUAUCAAUUAAUAAUCGAAAUAGGUUAAAAAUAUGAAUGGAUUGAAUGGUAUGACUUGGAAUUAAAAUAUGGAAUGACGAUUAGAUUAAUUAAUUUAUUUAAAUUGAGAAAUUAGAAUCAUAAUAAAUUAUAUUGUUAUUGAUGUAUUUGUUUUAUCUUAAAAUUGCGAUGAGUUGUUACAAAUUACUAAUAUGCCUUUGAUUUUGUAUUAUGAUAAUUAUUAUUUAUUAUAACAUUUGUCAUAUAAUAAUAAUAAUAAUAACAACAACAACAAUUAAUAUUGAAAAAUUUUUAUUGUUAAUAAUAAAUAGGCAAUUAUCCACCGAUCAUGUGAUCUUUUGGACGUUUUAAAAAAUAUACAAACACUUUUUUCUUUGCAGAAAUCCACCUGAAAUUUACAAGUGUUUCAAUUGUUCACUGUUCAUCUAAAUUUUGUUAGAAUUUUCUUGACGUUGUAAGGAUAAAAUUGUUAUUUUUACCUUGACUUCCAAAGAGGAUGUCUUUCAAACAUGAUGAAAAUAAAAAAAAAGGAUAAAAAAUUAUCUGUAAACUAUCUGAUCUUUUAGCCAUUAUACAAAAUAUUAAAAAAAUAUACGAACAUUUUUUAUUUUUUUCAACAAUCCAUCUGAUAGUUAUGAAGUGCAUUAGUGCUCCACUACUAUCAUAACCCUUUAAAAAUAUCGCUUAAACACGAGAACCUAUUGCCUAAAAUUAUUUUUCAAGAAAUGUAACUACAGAUUUGGUUUUGAUCUUCAUGACUUUUAAGUGUACAAGAACAAGAUGAACGAACCUUUGUCGAGUUGAUGAAUUAAGAUAAAUCAAUUACAAAUCGAGAACAAACUUACGGGUGACAUUUUAGUAUUAAGCAAACUAUAAUUGAUCAUCCAAUGAUAGGCUUAUUUUCAAUUAAAUUAGAGUAAAGAUAGACAUUCCAAAUUUUUCUCUCAAAUUUAAUCUAGAUAAUGUGUUAUUAAUUGAGUGCUUGGUAAUUCUUUCAAGAUCUAAGUGAAUUAAUUAUAUUAUCUCUCCAACCAAUUGAUGAAUAUUAUAUUAUUUGAGAUAAUUUUUUUUUAUCUCAAAUCCCAGCAAAGAAAACAGAACAAACGGAGCAAAAAUAUUUUUAGAAACCUAAAAUAACAAAAAAAAACUUUUUCUUGUUUUUCUUAUUUUCCACUGUUAAACUUCAAAAUGAACAACUUUAUUCUACCAUCUCUCAAAUAAUAAUAAUAACAACAAUGUCAUCAUCAUCAAUAAUAAUAAUAAUAUAUUAACUUUGUAGGAUGGAGCUCUCGCAAAUCUUCAAGACACAAAAUGUGCUUGACCCCAUUGUUGUUAUUAUAAUUUCAAAAUCAUCUGUAUUAUAUAAUAUUAGGGAAUAUGACAUAGCAAAAUUGAUGGUACAUAUGUUGCAAUAUACUUGUUCAUGUGGCGACACAUUGAAGUAAAGCACAAGCAAAACAACGAAAAAUGUAACGGGAGAGCUCUCAUUAUGUAGAUUUUCAAUAGAAGUAAUGCAAAUUUCACAAGGAAUGGCCUUAUUUCGAAUGCUGCACCUGAGGAAUGACUUGAAUCUUCUUUAGAACUCAAGCAUUCUGUAAUCAUAGGGUAUAACAUUUCAACAAAAAUAUUAUAUAGGUCGUUCCUUUAUAUAUUUUCUGGGUACACAUACAGAAAUAUUAUUUUAGGUACAUUUCUCACAAUAAAGCCUGCCCAAUCUAGCAUUUUCGUAGUUGGGUUUCUUAUUUACAUGUUUUUUCCAUUGGUUAAUUAUCACAAACCUCCACUGAGAUUUAGCAUGUUUUUAGUUUGAUAGAUUGUAUUCGCGUAUUCUCAAAUACCUUUUAGUUUACCACUUCGUAUAAAUUAAGUUGGUGAGGAUAAAAUCAUAAAAGUACACAUUAAUGAUAAAAAAAUUCAAGUAAACUUGAAAUUUUCAAGGGGUAAUUUUUCGGGACCUCCCCUGAGGUUCGGUGUAUUAAAAGUCUCAUAGAAAGUAUUCAUGUAAUUAUAAGAACCUCCCCUGACGUUAGUACACAGUUAACUUGACUGUUAGUGGACUGAUAAAAAGUCAAAAAUGCCAUUGGCUACAAAAAUGAGUGCAACAAUUUGGAGUUAAAUAGUAAACACCACAUUGGAGCACUAAAAAGUCUAUAAUAAUCAUGGAAAAAAAUCAUUGACAUUUACAUAAUAUAAAAAAAAAAAGUAAAAUAUAAAUUAAGAAAAUCAACAAAAUUGUCAACGUAUAGAAUAUUUACAGCAGCAGUGGCUAUAAAUACAACCGUCGUCAAAUUAAAAUAUCACCAUUAGUAAACUACUUCAAUAAGACAAUAAACCAUGAUUCACUCUUCAAAGCAUUCAAAAUACACAACCCGCACAAUAGAAUCACAUACGCACACCUGCUAAUGAAAUAUAAGAACAAACAGGAAAUUGAACUGACAUGGCUAAGAUACUCCUUCCCCAUAGCUAUUAGAAAGAUAAUGAGCGAUUUAUGAAUCAUGAUGCUUGCUUUACUUUCUGGCAGUGUUAGCUUCAAAUUCAAUGAUAGUAAAUGAACAAUGGUUCAUUCAUUAUGAAAGUAAGUGUAAAGCUAGGAAUUUAUAAUAUUCAGAUGUUGGAAUUGGAAAAAUAUUCCUUAAUCGUUUCAAUUGAAGCCAAGGAAGAAAAGAAAUGAGUCUUCUUUUUUCAGGAGACAAGCCAUAUGAAGAAGGCAGACCAGAGCAUAAGAACGAAUGCUACUGCCACAGUAAAAGCCUGGAUCAAUGGGUAAUGGUACCUGCCAUGUCAAUUUCAAGACAAACAAAAAUCAAUUAUCAUCCCCAGACCACAACACCACCAAACCAACCUUUUGAAUCUAAAAUAACAAGUUAAUAAAUCAAAGAUUUCAAUUCAUUUAAGUUUGAAAUCAACUAAAAUAGAAAAAAAAAACCCAAUUUCUUUUUUGUUCAAUAUAACUCAUUCAGCAUCUUCUUCAACACAUUUUUUAUCAUUCUUCAUCAUCCACAACAAUAAAAAGAAAAAAAAAAACAUUGAGUCCAACAUGCAAGUUUUUUUUUUGGAAAACUAACCGUUUUUAGGUUCCAAUUUCUAGUAGUCUUAAACAGUAGCCGCCGACGAAAUUCGCUUGGCGACACCCUUUUGCCACCAUUGCAGCUUGUCAUGUUCAUACUCAGCUUAAAAUUACUUGAAGGCAGCAGGGAUUUUAUAGUUACAAAAGUUUCUUCAGAGCUUUUCAAGCUUGAAAAUGGCUGAGAGUUUCAUUUCAUGAGAGAGAAAAUGGAGUUUUCAUUCAUCUUAGAUAAAUUGAAGAUAAUUUGCAUUGUGGUAAUAAAUUGAUUGUCAGUGCCUAAAUUUGGGUCAUUCGACACAACUUGGAAUUUUUUUUAUUUUUUCUUUGAUUUUUAUUAUGAAACUACUAAUUUACCCUCAUAUACUAACAUAUAUGAAAUGGCAUACUAACGUCAGUUAUGUCAAGCAGCUCCCUGUAAUUACGUGAAUAUUUUUCAUGAGACUGUCAAUACACAAAAUCUCAGGGGAAAUCCCUAAACAUUACCUAAUUUUUAAGUUGUGUUCUGAAAUUGGUCUCAACUUUGUAAUGUGUAAUGCCCACAAAAAAAGAAAAGGAAAAAUGGUCAUCUCUUUCCUCCAUUCGAACUGAAGCCAUGAAACGCAAUAUCCCUUUCAUCUUCUCUCUAAUGCUUUGAUUAAAAAACUUGCUUACGAACGGGAGACCAUGACACUGAAUCCGAAGACAGAAAUACCUGAGAUGACUGAUUCACGCCGGCGAUGUGGAAGAAUACCGACCAGUGACUUUCGCCGUCGACCCACAAACAAUCCCAGUGUUUUCGAGCCGCGAAUGAGGUAUGAAUAAGAUUAUUUCCGUGCGUGUCAGUUUUGUAAGGAGAUUUGAUUAAAAAAAGAAUAAUGGGUCUCGAAAAUUUUUGAGUAUUUCUGUUGCUUAAAUUUUUUCCAUCGAUUAAUGUUAGUUGUAGGUGAAUGAUUGUUGCAAACGCAUGUUCGCUUGUGAUUGAUUGAAAAUGACUUGUUAUUUGUUAUGCUGCCAUGUGACUCAUUGAAAAUGCCUCUGAAAUUUUUUUAUUUGUUUAAGGUACUGAUUCUGAUUAUUGAACAGGGAUUCAUGCUAGUUUUUAUUAAAUUAAAGAUGAGAUUAUUUUUUAAGAGAUCUACCAAACCUUCUCUACUAUAGAUUUGGCUUCUGACAUACCUGGUUCGCUGGAGAUAAUUGUUUAUAUAGUCAUUGCUGCUCGUAUUAAUCAGGAACAUUGAUUAGCAAUGUACUGGAAUAGAGAUUGGUAUAAUUUUGGAAAAUUAGUCGUAGAUGCAACCUGAUUAUGGUCUCAAAUAGUGUGAUCUGUCAAUUCCGUUUGCUCUAGCCUAACAACCUUGAAUCUGAGCUAUGCCACUAUACAAAGUCCUGACCUAAUCAAGCUUGUUAGCCAAUGUCCAAAAUUGCAGUGUCUUUAGAUAAGCCCUGUCUUACUUGUUUGAGUUAUAAAUGAAAAUUGAAGUGUCUUUGGAUAAUCACGCUGAAUGUUCAAGUUAUUGAAGAGAAGGGACCCCAGAUUCAAGGCCGGAGCUCCCUGUUGAGAAGCUUUACAUAUAUGGGAUUGUCGCUGGGCGGAGGAUCGAUAUGCCCGGUUUUGUUUGGAAUAGGGAUGAAGAUUUUGCAUUGAGGCUUUCUUGAUAGAUCAUUCUGCAAAUCAAGCUCCAUGUACCUAUCUUCAGACUCUUGGAUAUGUAUAAAGCAGGUGCAUGCUCUAUAUGUUACUCAUUGUAUCACGAUUAUUUUUCUAUUGCUUAAAAUAAUUGCAGUCCUUGAUGUAGUUGGAGACAACUUAUGGAGGGUAUACAGAGGCUCGAGAGUUUGAUUGCCAUUCAUUUGACACUUGGCUGAGCUACAGCAUACCAACUAGUGAUUAAUAAAGAGAAGGUAUGAAGGUCCUGUUGCUGGUGGUAUUAUCAAUCAGAAUUGUUAUUUUACUUAGUCAUAGUUACCAUGUAUAAGAUUCGUAGACUUUUUGCAUGUUUAUGCAUUCGCAUCAUCUUUUUGUUAAGCUAGAGAUGGUUGAUUUGUGUACUCAUUUGUAUCACUUGUAGCCCUUGAGGAAUAAAAUUUAAAAUUUUGUUGCAUCUCCUGUACUAAAUACUAAUUUUGUUUGCUUUAUGUAUGGGAAAUGGUUCAUUAUCUUAUUUCUUUGAUGUGUAUAGUGUUACACUGUCUAAAGUUGAAAAGUAUUUCUAUCACUUGUGUAAAAAACAAACAAUUUUUUUUUCACUCUUCUUAUAUUGAAUAAAAGAAGGACACCAAGAUCUUCACCAAGAUUGAACGAAAUUUGAUGCAGAAAGCAUAGCAAUUAGGCCAGUGCAAAAUAGCUUCCUUCUGAUUCUCUGAUAUUUGACUUAAAUCUUUUGUUUGUUUCAUUCAUCAAAGUCAUUUUGGAAAGUAGCAGGCGUGAUUUGAUAUUUUCAUUGUAUUCACAUCCGUUGGCACCAAAACAAACAUGCUGGUACUAACCAACAAUUUUUUAUUUUUAGUGUACAAAUUAUUAUUUUUAAGACAAAUAAGCUGGUACUAACCAACAAUAUUUAUUUUCAGUAUACAAAUUAUUAUUUUUUUUUCUAAAUUAGGGGUAUUAAGAAAAGGUAUGCUAGCACCAGGGGAGGUAUUUGAAAAUAUACAAAUACAAUCUAUCAAACUGAGAAUACACCGAACCGGCAGGUUUCUGAUAAAUCCUUUUUUUCUUUUUCCUCCAUUCACUAUAGGUUCAAUUUAGACGCUGUUGACCAAACAGAAGGUUUGGGUUGGUAAACGCACUGGUGUUAAUGCCAACAACCCAAGGGGCUUCAUGGUCCUCUGGGCCGAAAUAGCGUAAUUAUUAAUUCUCCUCCAGUGAAAAUCUUCAUCUUGGGACAAAUAAUUACGAAUUGACAUUAUAGCUGUGGAAAUUUGGAGGUGUAAUAACCGGAAAAGUAAAAAUCUUAAGAGACUUUUUAAAUAAAAAAGAUACAACACCUUCAAUUUGCUAAAAGUAAUGGUAUCAUUUCUUGUACGGAUAAUGGAUGAUUAGAUUUUGUUUUUGUUAUCCGACGAAGGAUAUUCAGUUGUUCUUUAUGUGUUCACAGGCAAGAGCAUGAGCAUAUUCAUGGUUUCAUAUAUGCUUCUUGCAUUUUCUAAUUAAGUACUCUCUUUCCUUGCCUUCUUAGUUUUGAAAGAAAGAUGUGAAGCAAAGCAAACCAGUGAAAUAUACAGAGAAACAGAACCAUCAGAGGAAAAACUAAAUAACAGAACCACAAUUGAACCAAACAAAAUCAAAUAAACCGAGGCAACGGAUACCCUGAAUCAGGCAUCCCUUUUUCUCGAAAGAAAAUAUGUUUGCAUGGGUGGGAACCUAAUAAUUACUCAAGAGUUGGAGUUGGAAAGAUUUGGUAUUCAUAUCUUCACAAUUCAUAAGCUUUAAUGCAGAAUCGACAGCUUUAUAUUAAUUUAUUCAACCAAAAACGAUAAAGUAGGAAAACCACAAUAAUCCACCAACUUUUGCUACUUUUAGGAAUAAUUUUUAGUCAACUUUCAAAAAGUGAGAUGACGAUCUUUGAGUUGAUAAAUCUUGGCCUGCUGCUUAGUACCCUUCCAACAUAUAAAGUACUAGAUGUUUAGCUGAGAAAAUGACGAGAUCAUUUAUCAAAUUUCUUGCGCAUAUAUACAUAUAUAUACAAGAAAUAAGAAUCAGAGUGAUUAUAAGACCUUGCAAUGAGGCAAUAAUACAUCAUCAAAUCUAAAAAUACACAAGAAAUUCGUGACGUAUAUAACAAUAGACCUCUCAUUGAGUCAUACAUAUUGAGAAUAAAAUGUCAAAAUGCAUACAAAGAGCUUAUACAGAAAAUGAAUUUACACACAUUUAGAAUAAACUGUCUUUGAACUUCCGAUGGNNNNNNNNNNNNNNNNNNNNNNNNNNNNNNNNNNNNNNNNNNNNNNNNNNNNNNNNNNNNNNNNNNNNNNNNNNNNNNNNNNNNNNNNNNNNNNNNNNNNNNNNNNNNNNNNNNNNNNNNNNNNNNNNNNNNNNNNNNNNNNNNNNNNNNNNNNNNNNNNNNNNNNNNNNNNNNNNNNNNNNNNNNNNNNNNNNNNNNNNNNNNNNNNNNNNNNNNNNNNNNNNNNNNNNNNNNNNNNNNNNNNNNNNNNNNNNNNNNNNNNNNNNNNNNNNNNNNNNNNNNNNNNNNNNNNNNNNNNNNNNNNNNNNNNNNNNNNNNNNNNNNNNNNNNNNNNNNNNNNNNNNNNNNNNNNNNNNNNNNNNNNNNNNNNNNNNNNNNNNNNNNNNNNNNNNNNNNNNNNNNNNNNNNNNNNNNNNNNNNNNNNNNNNNNNNNNNNNNNNNNNNNNNNNNNNNNNNNNNNNNNNNNNNNNNNNNNNNNNNNNNNNNNNNNNNNNNNNNNNNNNNNNNNNNNNNNNNNNNNNNNNNNNNNNNNNNNNNNNNNNNNNNNNNNNNNNNNNNNNNNNNNNNNNNNNNNNNNNNNNNNNNNNNNNNNNNNNNNNNNNNNNNNNNNNNNNNNNNNNNNNNNNNNNNNNNNNNNNNNNNNNNNNNNNNNNNNNNNNNNNNNNNNNNNNNNNNNNNNNNNNNNNNNNNNNNNNNNNNNNNNNNNNNNNNNNNNNNNNNNNNNNNNNNNNNNNNNNNNNNNNNNNNNNNNNNNNNNNNNNNNNNNNNNNNNNNNNNNNNNNNNNNNNNNNNNNNNNNNNNNNNNNNNNNNNNNNNNNNNNNNNNNNNNNNNNNNNNNNNNNNNNNNNNNNNNNNNNNNNNNNNNNNNNNNNNNNNNNNNNNNNNNNNNNNNNNNNNNNNNNNNNNNNNNNNNNNNNNNNNNNNNNNNNNNNNNNNNNNNNNNNNNNNNNNNNNNNNNNNNNNNNNNNNNNNNNNNNNNNNNNNNNNNNNNNNNNNNNNNNNNNNNNNNNNNNNNNNNNNNNNNNNNNNNNNNNNNNNNNNNNNNNNNNNNNNNNNNNNNNNNNNNNNNNNNNNNNNNNNNNNNNNNNNNNNNNNNNNNNNNNNNNNNNNNNNNNNNNNNNNNNNNNNNNNNNNNNNNNNNNNNNNNNNNNNNNNNNNNNNNNNNNNNNNNNNNNNNNNNNNNNNNNNNNNNNNNNNNNNNNNNNNNNNNNNNNNNNNNNNNNNNNNNNNNNNNNNNNNNNNNNNNNNNNNNNNNNNNNNNNNNNNNNNNNNNNNNNNNNNNNNNNNNNNNNNNNNNNNNNNNNNNNNNNNNNNNNNNNNNNNNNNNNNNNNNNNNNNNNNNNNNNNNNNNNNNNNNNNNNNNNNNNNNNNNNNNNNNNNNNNNNNNNNNNNNNNNNNNNNNNNNNNNNNNNNNNNNNNNNNNNNNNNNNNNNNNNNNNNNNNNNNNNNNNNNNNNNNNNNNNNNNNNNNNNNNNNNNNNNNNNNNNNNNNNNNNNNNNNNNNNNNNNNNNNNNNNNNNNNNNNNNNNNNNNNNNNNNNNNNNNNNNNNNNNNNNNNNNNNNNNNNNNNNNNNNNNNNNNNNNNNNNNNNNNNNNNNNNNNNNNNNNNNNNNNNNNNNNNNNNNNNNNNNNNNNNNNNNNNNNNNNNNNNNNNNNNNNNNNNNNNNNNNNNNNNNNNNNNNNNNNNNNNNNNNNNNNNNNNNNNNNNNNNNNNNNNNNNNNNNNNNNNNNNNNNNNNNNNNNNNNNNNACAAUUUUGUUAUGCCCCAAACCGUUGGGAGAAACAUGACGCCCCACGUUUACCCACGAUUCGGUGGUUGGAGACCCAUGAAGGUUUGUCAUCACCCGAAAAUGAGGGGCAUGAAUAAGACUCAGAAAACAGGGAUGAUUGCCUAUAAAAGGCCAAGAAAUCGAUGAAAAAUGGGAGACACAAAUUGAGAGUAAAGGGGAAACUCUGUCAAAUUAUAAUCAGAAAUUCAUAUAUCCAAAUCCUUGAUACAUUUGGUAUUGAGAAUAUUGCAACUAAUAUGUACAACACAAAUCAUUCACUUUUCUCGUAAACACCUUGUACUAACUUAAGUAUCGAAGGGUUUAUGCCCAAAAAACCAUCGGCGUCUCUGAUUUGUUUCUGUGAACGCAGGCCUGGAAGGAAGAAGACGGGUGAUUUGGGUCCAGAAGCUCGGGAAAUUGCUGAAGCUAAUGGAUCGCAGCCUCUGUUCCUUUGCCAAUACAAGCGUUGGUGAACCAAUCUGGUCGGUCCAAAGGCGACUAGAUUUCAGCAUCAACAGAUAUUAUUUUGAUGAAUUUUUUAAUAUUAGAAUAAUGUUAGGAAUUCCAAUAAUAAAAUUCUAACUUGAGACCCAAUUGUUAUGUGUUAUUUUUUAUUGAAUAAUGAAUUUCACAACUAAUAAAAUUUAUAUUUCCAUCAUCUAAUAAAUGACUACCAUAUCAGUUGGGACUCAAUUAUUAGGAUCCUUAACAUUGCUCUUAGUAUUAAAUUGGACAUCUUAGCUAAAUCAGAUUAAAAAUCAAAUUAGUUUUUAGGCUUUUAUUCAACAUCUCUUUUUUUUUUUUUUUUGUCUAUUGGAAGUGAACGAAUAAAAAUACAACAGGGUCAACGACUGGGCAAUUGGUAGUCAAGUAGAAGCAAAUCAAGGCUAAAUGGGAAAGAGAAAUGAUAUUUGUGCAAAAUAAGGAGAAAAUCAGUGUAACAGAAGAGAAUCAAAGUGCUUUUGAGAUAAAAAAUUGAAACAAGAAAAGGGUCGCUUGAUCCAAUGAAAAUGCAAAGAGCUGAUGGCAAAAGGGAACAAAGUUAAAUAAGAAAACAGCUAGCGCUAGCAGCGACCACAAUAAACAGAAAAUUUGAGAUGGAUUUACAAUAUUUCUGCCUUUCUUUAUGCUUUAAAAAUAUUGCUCUAUCAAAAAAAAAAUAUUGAACAUUUUUAUUAUUGGAGUCACAAAUGACCUACACAAUAUAGCAAGUGACUAGGAAUAAUAAGAAUAUAUAACUCUCUCUAAUUCUCACUCUGGCUUUUAAUUGUCACUCAAAACCCAGAAUUCAUCCUUAAAGUGUAGGCAAAUCAAGGAUGACACCGUUUGGUUGUCAUACGUGCCUUUUAGUUUUCGGAUGACAUGGCGUACACUUCUUCUGUAAACCCAACAAGACAUGUCGUACUCUUUUGUUUUGAGAUUCUAUUUCAAACUUUUCAUGCUAUGAAUGAAAGAUAAACUCCAAUCAUCAAAAUAUUUAGUGUUUGGUAAUGUAAUGUCAUAGUUGUGAAUUGAAAUUAUUUCUAUAAAAAUAAAGGAUUUGGGUCAUUGUUUGUUAUUUUCUGACAACAUUUAUUAAAUAUUAAAAAUAAAUUUAUAUUUAUUAGGUAUUAAAAAUAAAUAAACAAACAAAAAUAAAAGUAAAAGUUUAUACAUUACGUAAAAAUAAUGACAAUAUCAAUAUUUCGCACUCUAUAAUGAGUGAUGUGUGUCCAACUGGCAUACAUUGUCCCAAACGGAGACUUAAAUAUCAAAGUCCAAAGUUAUUAUGAUGAUGACUUAUAAUCGCCAAACUUGACAUACGGGUAAUCAUGCAUUAUAAGGUGCUAAUUUCUUCCGAUCGGAACCUUAUUUUCAUUUACAAAUAAAUAAAUGAUGUGACUUCACGGUUGGCGGGGUCCUUUGUGUCAUUUGGGCAUUUCACUAAAUGAUUGAUUGUAGCAGGAAGAUUCCUGGAAGUUGCCAUUUGCCAAUGCUACUAACAUUUUCAAACUUGGAAAACCCUUCAAUCAAUCUUUAGUGGAGGCUCUGGUAACUUGGUUUGAUUAUGACGUUAAUAUUUGAUAAUAAAGUUAGAGGAUGUAUUAAUAUAAAAUUUGUUUAUUGGUGUUGAAGUUAAUUAUCUCAUUAAUUAUAGUAUAAAAAGUUAAUUACUAAGAAACACAUAGCAAUAGUUAAUGGUGUCAUAUUAUUGGGAUUCUGGGAUACAAUUUAUAUCAUAACUUGUAAGUGUAUACUUACUCAUCAAACUAAUAAAAUUAUUUAAAAAUUUCAGUUGGAAAAAUAAAUUAUAUUAUUUUCAUUUCAAAUAAUCUAUAAGUUAACUCAAAACAUAAUCAAGCUGAGAAUUAAAAUAAUGCUACUGUAUGAGAGGAUUUUUAUUUUUUCCCGGAAGUUUCACUAGGAAAUUAUUGAUACAUAGCUUAUUCGGAUCAUUCUCAGUUCAAACGACAAAUAAUUGAAAGACUAAGCUAAAUAGACCAGCCAACAACUUUGUACAAGAGAGUUCAAAAAUUAAGGUCAUGGUAUUAAGGUGUUCUAUCUUGAAAAGUAUAGAGUAGUAAUAAAAUAAAAACUAAUAUUUUUGGUAAGAUAUGACAUUUAAAUAAUAAUUUCACAAAAUACAAAGGAAUAUUUAUAAAUUACUUUUAUAGUGAGGGGACCUCACUCUGUUAAAGUGAAAAUAUCAAUAAUAUACAAAAGACAUAUAUUUUAACACAUUAAAAAUUGUAUUUUUUUUAUCUAUUGUUAUUGAAAUAUGUGUUAUUUAGUUUGUUAGUGAUAUCAUUACUUUGUUAAAAUGAGAAUGUCGUUACUAGAGAAUCAUUAUGUAUACAUAUAUAAAGUGCUUCUGUCCAAGAACUAGACUUUAUUAAAAUUUGAGAAAGCAAAUAUAUUUUAUAUGGUAUAAUAGUGUAAUAACAUCACACUAUUAUAUCAUAUAGAGUAAUAGUUUUUCGAACUUUAAUAAAAUUCAAGAUUAUAGAAUGAAUGAUUUUUAUAUAUUAUAAAUUUUUUUAUCAUAAAUGGAGGACAAAAUUAACAUAUUUCAAAUUAUAAUAAGCAUUUAUCAAAUAAUUUAACAUUGCAAUUUCUCCUAACUAGUAUAGUAAAUAAUACGACCUAGGAGAUACAUUCAAAGCAUUUCAUAAGUUAGUUGUUUAAUAAUAAAUUAUAUAUGCAGCUCCAAUCAUCAUUGUACGGUGAGUAAUUUCCAGUUAUAAAUAGAUAUUACUCCCUUCCCAGCAAUUUUUGAUGACUUAAUUUAGUGGAUCAAAAUCACAUUGAAUUUUUGACCAGCUGCACAACUUGUGAGCAGUUCACAGUGGGUACUGCACAUGAUGCCUGUUUCUCCUUUUGCAUCUAUUUUGUUGUUAACAUUAAUUUCAAUAGCAGCUCGUUAAUCCCAUUUGUUGAUUUGGGACUAGAUAAGAAUUUAUCUUGGAACUCCAAUUCUCCAAUUAUUUUAGUUGACAAUAUAUUUAACAUUAUUAAUUGCAUAUUAUUUAAUUAUCAGUAUAUAAUAUUCUUUAAUUUUCUAAUUUUAUAGGAUUAGACACAAAAUUGAUUAUGCCUUUUGAAAUUUAAGGGUUAUGUCAAUUGAAUAGAAAACUUGGAGGUAAACUUGUGGAUGUUUUGUUGAUUAUCAAUUUAUGCAUGAAUUUUUGUACGUUUACUUUGGUUUAUAAUUAUUACUUUUAAACAUUUUUAUUGGUUUGAUUUAGGGUCAAUUUGGUAAUCCUGUAGCUUUUAAAAUAAUUACAAUUAGCUAUGCUGUAGAAAAUUGAUCAAUCGUCAAGAGAAUCAGCUGAGCAUUUAGUAAAAUUUAUUUUUUAAAAGUACUUUUAGUUUUAAAAGCGUUGUAUGAAUAAAACUGUUACACUAAAAAUUAAAUGUAUUGCCACUUGGGUAAAUAAAGCUAUAUAUUACAACUGUUACACUAAAAAUUAAAUGUAUCUUAAACCCAAACUUCUUCUUCUUCUUUUUUUGACUAACAAAAUUAAAAACAAUAGUGAACACAUUCUUUAAUAAACAAUAAGUAAUAAAUAAAAUCGUGUUAAAUUUCUUAAAAACUUUCUUUCACGGUUUGCUAAAUAUUUUUAUUAGUAUUUUAAAUAAAUAAAAUAGUUGAUUUAAUUUUUUAAAUAAACUUAUUAGGUUCAUGUAAAGAUGUUUUUGUUAUUUUAAAAAGUGUAGAAAGUACUCCUAAAAAAAAGCGUAGAAAGUAAAACUUAAUUUUUUAAAUUUAUUAGCUGAGUGCAUAAAUAAUUGAGUGUUCAUAAUGAUUUUAAAGUAUAGAUAGUCGGACCCUAAUAUUUUUAAUAAAUGGAAAUUUUGCUAAUAUGUUAAUGAGAAUUAAAAAGAUAAUUAAGGGAGGCAAUCGAGACAUUCAGGAUAGUUAGGAUGGGACAUGAUUGUGAGCGGUUAGAUAUUGGUCCUAAUUUUGAUCACAAAUAUAUAAACAGGACGAGUUUAUCUCUACUUACAUUCCAUUUGAUAAUUUAAGAUGAGAGUGGAAUUGUCAAAUCCCAAUCAUCCCGGACCACUGCCACAAGGGGUACUCUCACUAAUAAUAUCUAAAGAAAAAUCUACAUCUAUUUCAUACUUUUUUUUAAUGGAAAGAGCCCUCAUGGGGCUUGAAUGGUAUCCUAAAUAAUAUUGAGAAUAUCAGGUCAUGAUUGGGUUUGUGACAAACAAAUACUACAUAGUUGGGAUACGUAGUUAUAAUGUCCCAAUUUAUGUAGUAUCUAUCAUUUAGCGCACAUAUAAAAUAUUAAUCAGCUUAAUUAAUUUAUAAAAUUUAAAUCUAAUUAAUAAGUGAUACAUAAUGCCAAGUGCAAUACUGUAUAUGCAAAUCAUGUUUGUGGAUCAUUACAAAAUUGGCUCUUGAAAACAAGCAAGAAAGCUUAAUUAAGAACUUAAAACAAAAGAAUUAGAUUGAGAACAGUCAAGCCUUAUUUUUUCAAGGAUGGAGCUUAUAAAUCUUCAAGUACCAACAUACGCUUGGCCCAAUUGUUGUUAUUAAAAUUUCAAUAUACAUAUAUAAGUAUGAUAUAGCAAAAAUUUGAUGGUACAUAUGUCGGAAUAUACUAGUUCAUGGGUGCAUUUGAUUAUUGUUUCCAUAAUUUUGAACCAGGAAGGACGACACGAUUAAAAUUUGAUUUUAUGGUAUGGUUGAUUUCAUAGCUCAUGCACUCAUUUCUUAAGAUAAUCAAAUUUUCUCUGACAUCUUUUUCAACUGUCGAAAUAUCAAUUAUGAUCAAUCAAAACGAUUUCAAAACCUUUCAACGAGACAUAUUUCUAAUACAAUAUUGUGAAAAUUACACUAAAAAAUUAAUUUAUUAUAUAUUAUUAUCCAACGAGCACACAAAAUGAUUUCGUACAAAUCUAAAAUACUAAGCAAUUUUCAAAUAGAAUUUACCAUGUACUACAAGAAAAUAGGGUAUAUGUGACCCCUACUGUGAAUGCAAAAGCAGCCAUUACGCAUAACCCCGAGUUGCUUUUGUUACCCUUUAUGUGACGGCCACACUGCUGUCACAUAUGUUACGAACCGCGUGACGGUGAAGAGCCGUUCGGUUAUACUAAUAUUUUAGAAUUUUAAAUUUAUUUCCAGUUAGAAAACUAUUCGCUGGACUCCGUGUUGCUGGCCACCAUCGUAAACAUAACUGGUUGCCAGCGAACGGCGUAAAACGCCGGCCAUCUUCUUCUUCAACGUAUUCUCCCUUCAUCUUUUGAGGUAAGCUUGUGAUUAUGAGUUUCUUCUCUUACUUAGCUUGUAAUUAUAGAUUUUGAUUUUUUUUAAUUCGUAUUGUAGCCGUUAUUGUCAAUUUUUGUCCCGCCAGCAAUAUUUUUUUAUUCCUACAAGUUGAACCCCUGUGUUCUUGUUCCAUUGGUGAGUUUGCUCACUCAAAUUAAUUUUGUUCUGCGGAAUUUACAAAGUUCAAAUGGAUUCAUUUGAAUUACUAUUGAAUUUAGCUUUAAUUCCAACAUCCAUUCUAAUGUUUUGCAAUUAGAUUUAAUUUAAUUUUAUGUUUAAAGCUUCUACAAUGAAUAGCGGAGCUUGGGUUUUAGUUUCAUUUUCUGGAUAACUUGUUUUAGUUUAUCUUGUAUGCUCACCAAAUGCUUGUUAUAUUGUCUGAUAAGUUAUAUACAUUGCUGAUUCUACAUUAAUAAUGUUACGUUGUAUUUUCAGAAAUUAUAAUACAAAAGUUUUUGCAAUGGCGUGCAUCUACAAACUGAAUUGACUUGUAGAAUAAGAGCUCGGAGUAGUGUUAUGUUCUUGAAUAAUUGAAAGUUCAUAUUGUGUAAGAGCAUGUAGAUGUAAAGCAUCAUUACCAUUUCUACAAAGUGCUUUCAUUCUGUUCAUAUGCUCUUCUUGAACUUUGAAAGGUGCCUCGUUCAAGUCCUAGCUAUAACUACUAGCUUUGAUUAAUUAAGUUCCUAUACUAGCUGAAACAGAUUUAUUUAAUUAAUUAAUUGUGUAUGUACUAAUUAUAUUGAAAGUAUAUGAAUUUUUUUUUAACAUGAAUGACUUCUAAAUGACUUAAAAACCUAAAGGAUGUGUGAAACAAUGCUCAUUUCAUUUGAAUGAGCCCAUUAAUACUUUUAUGUCUAUGAUUUUCAAUAUUGGCUAAAGCAUUUCAGUUAAGUGGUUUACCUAACAGAGAAAAAAAUUUAAUAGAAAACUUCAGAGUUCUAACAGAAAUAUAGUUCACUAUGCAGAUAUAGUUAUUUUACGGUAUACAAAUCAAGUUGUCCUAAUCUCAAUGUCCUAUGACCGAUUUUAUUUUAUAUAGUCAUUAAUUUUUUCCUUGGUUUUUUGUGUUUAUGAGUAUGAAAUAGUGGGAUUUGGUGUACCUUAGCAUCUUUUGAAAAUUCUCUUUCAGUGUGGCCAACAGAAAUAUACAUAUAAUCAAGUUUCUUAAUCGUGUAUAUUAGUUUUGGGUAUGAAUGUUCCUAUUCUAGUUCGAGGCAAAGCUUCUUCGUUUUGGUCUUCAGAUUUCCAGUAGGUUAAGUUAAUCAACUAUCAUAACUGGCUAGCUAGUUAUUGUCUGCCUUGGCGCCAUUACCCAGGCCAUUAUAUUGCAUAGCAUAAGGAAUAGUGAUUAGGGGAUUAUUAGUGAUUUGUUGAGCUUAUUAUCGACCAAACAAACAUAUUCGCCUUUGCCCACAACUUAGUUUGAUUAGUUAUUAGACCAUAAAGAGCCUUGAUCUAUUCAUUGGCUUUAUUAUUUUUAUUUGGUUUUUCUUUCAACAAUAUUGUUGAUUUCUUAUAAAAAUAUUCAUUGGUUUUUAAAACACCUAAUCAUUGGCUAUAUGAAGCUAAUUAAAACUGAGGCUUUGGAUCAAUUUCUUCUAACAAGAUACAAAUGAGCAUUAACCUAUCUCCUAUGAGUAAAUUUUUUUAAUAUCCUUGAUUUGUAAGGAUCUGGAGGCCUGAAAUCCUCUAGAUUUUUUUUAACACUGUCAAUGUUCUUUUUAUUCUGAGAAGGAAAUAAAAGGUUUUAUCUUUCAUACCCAAAUAGUAAGCUGGCCUUGUCUUAACAUGGCCUCCGAGGACUUGCAAGAUUCAUAGUGCCCCCCACCCCAAAAAAUAAAAAAUAAAAAACACAAAUAGGAAGAUUUUGCAAGAUUCACCACCAGGUUUUUUUUUAAUUUGUUAAUUGUGUGUACGUGCUAGUUAUAUGUUGAAAGAAUAGGAAGAAGUAUUUCAACAUGAAUGACUUAAAACUUAUUGCUCAGUAAACAUAAUCUGCAUGUAUUUAUCGUUUGUAUUUUUUAUGGUUUUGCUAAAGAAAUGAUAUGUGAAAUAAUGCUACAUUGCAUCAGGAAUAAAUUGAAGAGAUUUAUGAUAUUUAUGUGUUAUUCAAAUUUCAGAUUCAAUUUUAAACUUUUGAUACGUGCAUUGAAAGCUUAGACUUGUUUAAGAAAUUAUUAAUAGACACAUGUUUUUAUUAGUGUCAUCUUUGGAUGAUAGUGAGGAUCAUAUGUCUAUUAAUAAUUCUUGAAUUGUCCAGGCUUGGACAGUUUGGGAAUGCAUAGUUCACUCUGGUAGCUAGUAGCUGAAGUUUUUUCCCACGUAAAAAUGGGUUUUUCAGUAGCUGCUCCUCGUGUUCUCUGGGUACGUACUAGGUGAAUGGGUGUCAUGUGUUGUUUUGGCAUAACGCAUAAACACUUAUAUAGCUAUGUCGUGUGCUUGGAGAAUUAUAGGGAGAUGGUGCCGAAAUUUUUAUAAACGUGGAAGAAAACUUUAGGUACUUGAGAUUGAAGAAACUUAUGCAUUCUUGAGUGGGAUAUGUAGGAUUACUUACCUUUUGUAAAUAUGAAGGGAAUGUUGGAUAUAUUGGGGAUAGUGUAGGAGCUGAGUUGGAUGAAUGUAAUUGGUGAUGAUUUUGCUGAGCUGACCUUGGUUUUGAGCUUGUAAUUUGUUGUAAAUGGAGUGCUAUCUCCAAUGUUGGUUUAUAAAUAUGUUUCAGGACUUGCUGACCUAAUUUUUUGUUUCUAGGUUACAGGCUUUAUAUAUCUGUAAUUGAUGGCGAAGUGAAGUUCCCAGAACUUGGCGAGGAUGUUUCUUUACAGAAGGUAUUGGAAACUGUUUUUUACAUUAAUUAUUGUUGUAUAUAUACUUUGAUUUUCACAUCUUUUUCUCUGAUUCUUGUGGCUUUGCUUGCUUUCAUAUAUGUAAAUUCUAAUGAAAUUAACCAUAAAAUUGUAAAAUGAUCUUUUUAUUAUAUUGCAAAACUGUGCACACACGAAAAUAUAUUGUUUAGUAGUAGAAAUGAAGAACUAAAAUGAUUUACUUAACUAAUUUUUGUAGCGCAUUAAAAGGAGAUAGUCAUGGACAUGUGUUGGGUUGGUUUGCCAAAUAGAUAUCCAAGUCAUAUACUGAUGGGGAUGAAAAAUUUAUAGAUUUUGCAUUUGAGAAUGUUGUUGGUGGUACAAGAAUUUAAUGUCCUUUUAAGAAGUGUUGUAAUCUAUAUUUCGUUAUAAGGAAAGUGGCUGAUGAUGAUAUGGUUGGAAUGAUACAAUGCAUCACGUAAUCAAAUGUUCAAGUUACACGGAGCAUUGUUAUGGACUAUCAGUGACUUUCUAGCAUUGCCAACUUGUCUGGGUGGAGUAUUAAAGGUAAAUAAGCAUGUCUUGUUUGCCAACAAAACACUAGAUCUAAUUGGUUGAUACAUAGUAGAAAAUUUUGUCACGUGGGUCACCGUCGAUUUUUACCAACAAAUCAUAGGUUUCGAAAAUAUAGUGUCUUUUGAUAAAACUAGAGAGUAGGGACCAGCACAUUCUCGGUUGUCUGGAUCUGAAGUGAAAAAGCAGUUUAAUAUACUUACUGAGUAUAAGAUUGAAGACUUGAAAAUAGGAGAAUGAAUAAAAUGAGAGAAAUGAUAAGAUUACUUGGAAGAAGAAAAGCAUAUUUUAUGAACUACCGUGUUGGGAGUUCAAUUUGAUUCAUCAUAAUCUUGAUCUCAUGGGCUGUUUUGAUUUUUGUUAUGAACUCAGAUCAAAAGUUUAAUGUGAUCAAAAUUUCUUAAAAAUAGUGAAAAACGACUCCUAAUAAUAUGGAAGAUGGCUAUAAAAGAUAAAAGGAAAGGCUUAAAAAGAAAAGCCAUGCCUGUCCAAAAAAAAAAAAAAAUCAACAAAAAUCAAAACGGUGCGUUUGAGAGUGUAUAAAAUACAUUUAGAGUGGGAGUUGUGUUGUUGCUUGAAGGCAGAAAGAUAUUUGUCGACGAAGCCAAAACCAAAGAUGAAGCCCAUAAAGCUCAAAACUCCACCGGAGCAAAUUCAGACAAUUACGAGGGUUAUGUUUGACAUAGUCAAGGAAGACGGUCCUCUCACCGUUGCCGAAACUUGGGAACGCGUCAAGGUGUGUGUAUCUGUUAAAUUGAAUUUCAACCGUUUGAUCUGUAAUUAUAAUUAAUCCAAUCGAUCUGACAGUGAUCACUGACCAUAAUACUAGUAGUUGUUUUACAUUUUCAGCAGGCUAGAGCGGGUGGAUUGACGGGCAAAAGCUCAGGCUCGUCUGCAAUCACAUGGGCCCUCAUAAGCAAAUCCUGUACACAACUUGGUUCACUAAACCCAACAACUUGAAGCAGCCAAAAUCAGGGAAUGAUCCUUCUCCGUCACAACCCUAGCUGCCUUAACCUUGUAGUGACACGGUGAAGAUGGAAGCCCCUCAGCAUGUAAACUUUUCAACAGCGACAGAGCUCUUAUUCCAGAGGCUGCACAGAAGAGCGACCUGAAUCCUCUUCAAAACUUUCAAAUUUUUAUCAAGUAAAGCUUUCAAAAUUUCUCAACAAACUGAUUAUUUGGUGUGGUUGCCACAUUUUGUGCAACUGCUAUUCGUCUUCAAGUACAAAUUCCUUGCCUUCUAAGUUAGGGAACAUAGAUGUGGAGCAAACAGGGAAAUAGAUGUGGAGCAAACAGGGAAACAGCAAUGAUGGCAAUUAACAAACUAAUAGCAGUAUUACAUUUGAUUCUUUAGCCCAAUUUUGUUCCUUCUGUCAGCCAUUCUUCAAAAGUUUUUGAAAAUUAGAUGUGAAGCAAAAAAAAAACAAAUUUAGACAACAGAAGCCCUGUGCUCAACAUCAUAUAUAUACCUUGAAUACCUAAUAUACUAAAUUUCACAUAUAAAAUACUAGAGAUUUCAAACAGUACCAGCAAUAGAAUAAUGACAACGACAACAAUAACAGAAAAUUACAAGAUUGCUGACAAAAUUUAUGUGAUUUACUGUGCCUUUAUGCAUGCAAAAUGAAACUGAAGAUAAAAAAUUUAGGGAAAAGGACACAGAGACCCCCAACGUUUGAAUAAGGGACACAAAAUCCCUUAAUGUUUCAAAAAAGACACUCAGACCCCCAUUUGUUAACAUUAAAUUAUAAUUUUACCAUUGUACCCUUAUAGCAUAUUAAAAAAUAAUUAUUCAUUAUCCAAUUUAUUUCUAUAUUAUUAAUAAAAUUACGAAUAUAACUUCAUUACUCAAUUUUUCCAUUUAAUUUUUAUCAAAUUUUAUCUUCAAACUAAAUAAAUUUAAUCCAUUGCUCAAAAAUAAAAAUAAAUUAAAUUGAUUAUUAAUAUAAUAAAAAUAACAAUUCUCCAUAUGUUAUUUCUUAUAAUUUCUUAUAUAUAAAUUAAAUUGAUAAUUUCUUAAAAAUAACAAUUCUCCAUAUAUAAAUUAAAUUUAUUUUAAUUUAAUAUAUGUUAUUUUUAUAUUAAAUAUAUGUUAUUUUUAUUAUAUUAGUAAUCAAUUUAAUUUAUUUUUAUUCUUGAGUAAUGGAUUAAAUUUAUUUAGUUUGAAGAGAAAAUUUGACAAAAAUUAAAUGGAAAAAUUGGAUAAUGAAGUUAUAUUCGUAAUUUUAUUAAUAAUAUAGGAAUAAAUUGAACAAUGAACAAUUAUUUUUUAAUAUGCUAUGAGGGUAUAAUGGUAAAAUUAUAAUUUACUGUUAACAAAUGGGGGUCUCAGUGUUUUUUUUGAAACAUUAGGGGGUUUUGUGUCCCUUAUUCAAACGUUGGGGGUCUCUGUGUCCUUUUCCCAAAAAUUUAUAAACUAGAAAUUUAUAAUAAUCUAACUUAUUCUCGUUACUAUUAAAAAAUAAGUAAACAUAUCAAUAACAAUAUAGUUUAUUAUGAUUAUAAUUCAUUCAAUUAAAAUAAAUAAUUUAUUCUUAUUUCUAUUCUCUAUUCUAAUUUCAGUAAAUUUUGAUUUUAGUUUAUUUUAAUUAUUGAUUAGUUGUAAACUUAACUGGAAAUUUAUUGCAUAUAUUACGAGAAGCAGUACACACCAAUGGUAAAUUGAUACAUCGUUUUUGAGCUUAAGAUAGUCAAAUGAAAGAAACACAACGUAGGGUUCAUGAAACACUUUCAAAGCUGCUGAUGACUUAAAGUGAAUAACCUCAGCAUGUAAACUUAACUUCAAAGGACGGAGCACAAGUUUCACAGAAAAACAGCUCUUAUUUCUGAUGCUGCGAACACAGAGGAGUGACCUCAAUCUUCUUCAUCACUUGGGAAUUCUGCAAUUAUAGAGCACGACAUUGAGCAUGAACUAGAAAAAAUAUUUAUUUUCUACAAUUUUCAUAUAACCUCACUAACCAAGAUUAAUUUUGUGGUAAUGUAUUGGGUCAUUAAUUCAUAUGUUUUUACUGUCAUCACUUUAGAAAAAACUAAUUUCUCAAUGUGAAAUGGCCCAUAAAAGGUAUUCUCAUUUAAAAACUAAAUUUGACAAACCCCUCGAUUAAAGCAGGGGAGAGAAAAGAAAAAAAAAAAGAUCUGAAGGCUUUCCACAUGAAAAUGUUGUCACUUUGGAUGAUAUUUUCAAGGGAUUUCAUUCUAAAAAUAAAAUACCUGGGACCUUAUUCUUCAAAUUGACAGCUCGCCCAGUACUAAACGCGUAUGAGAUCAGUACUGGGACAAGUAACGAGACGACCCCUCCAACAGCUGAAAAUAAAAUUCGCAUUCAUCAAUUUAAAUUGAAAUUCAUAUUAUGAAAUUAAAACUAAUGAUUAAUGAAUUUUCAAGGAAUUUAAUAAGAUUCUCAUAUAUAAACGUGAUAAAAAAUUCACUCAUCAAUAACAAAUAUUCUAACAUUUUGUUGAUGUAAUUGUUGUAUGGUUGUGUUAAGGUCAUUAUUAGACCAACGCAGUUUGUCAUCACUCAUUCCGUACCAGACGUUUACUCUCGGAGGCGUGAUUGAUUCUCCUUUGGUGAAAUCUUCAUCUUCGGACAACCAAUCACAGUAAGAUAUUCCAAAGAUGGGAAUUUGAAGGCGUAAUUGCCAGAGGAGAAGCUUGUGAGACUAUCUAAAUCAAACAGGGACAACGUAGUCAGUUUGCUGAAAACAAUCUCUUCUUUUAAAUAUGCUGUUUCAUUUCAAGACUGGCAAAAUUCAUUGUGUAAUCAAAGUUUUCAAUGAUCCAACUAAUAUAUAUAUAUAUGUAUGUAUAUUCCUUCUCUAGUGCAGACAUUCUCAUUUUUUUUUUUCAUGUGGACCAGUUUUUAGAUCCCCUGGUUUAAAAGAGUUAGUUUUUAACUCUUUAAAACCGCAUGGCUUCAUAAUUUAUUUAAAAACUAACUCUCUUAAACCGCACGGUUUAAAAGCGUGUCCACAUUAAAAAAAAAUACGGACCCCCACACCUGAGAAUGAUUAUAUAUAUAUAUAUAUAUAUAUAUAGACACACGCUCUUAAACCGUGGGAUUUGAAAGCUUCUCCGCAUGAAGAAAGUAAAAAAUAAGGGCAUUCCCACUAGAAACAAACUCCAUAUAGGUAUUUAUUAAACCUCCUGAUCUGUGAGUGAGGAACAACAAAUAUAAUUGAUAAAAAAAAUCUAAAAUUUGGUUUCAUACCUUCUUGAACGAGAACAGGGGUUGUUGUGCCGGAAUACCAAAUUGAUCAUUCUCGUUAUUCUGGGACAACGUUAUUUUAUCACAAUUACAGGCCUCCAAUGUUUUUUAGUGCUGGCCAUUCUGAAGUAUGCAUUCCAGGGUAUAAACAUCCGAGUUCUGGUAGACCUUCGAGAUUCAGAGUGGUCACUUGUGGAAAGACAAAAUAUGGGGUCACUUGAUCUGCUCUGUCUUUGGAGAUGAUCUCUUGUAAACCCAUACAUAUCCGUAUCUCCAGGUGUUGGAGGUGCUCAAGGCUUUGGAUCAUAGAAGCUGAAAAUAUGUAUUUUAAUUUGUCACAGCCCCACACUAUCAAUCGUGUCAAACUUUGAAAGCCGCAAGUUGAUUGUCAUGCAAAAUCUCGUCGACAUUAAUAGCAUUCAGCUCCAAAGCCUCCAAAUUUGGCAACACUACCUGAAGAUAAUUUUCUCUUUAGAUCCAAUAUCCGUAUGGAAAGCACUUGUUUUGACACAAUAUCCAUAUAAGAAGCACUUAAUUAAGAGCUUAAUUAGCGAGUGUAUGAGACUUUUUUUUUUUCAAAUGCCAGUGCAUGAUAGAACUAAAAAAAAAAAAGAAGCAUUAGCCUACGUACCUUCUCGUUGAAAAGCAGAGUUGACGUUUCCGAACUGAUCUCGUUGGAACUGGCUGUCAAUUCCUCUUGCGACUCUUGUCUGUUUGGUGAUGUGGAAGAAGUCUUCACUUCACCGCAAAACCUUGUAACCUUUGGAAGCUUUCCCAGACUCAAAGAUCUUAAUUGACCAAACUCUAUCUUCCCAUCAACAUCAACAUCAGCUUCUCCUCCAGUUGCAAAAAUCUCUUCCAUGCUGCUGCAAUUGAUAACUGCAAUCCUCUCCAGUCUUGGAAGGCAUUUUGUACUACUAGAGAGCCAGAAGAUAUUACUCAACUCAUCACAAUUUUCUACUUUUAUGGUUUUGAGUUCAUUGAAGGACUCUAUUUUGAGUCGAUCAAUACAUAUCCUCUCCAUAUUGAUCAAAUUUUGAAGAGUAUGGGACUCCAAAAGAGGAAAGGCGACACAUGGUUCUCUCUCCAUUGAAUCGACGAUACACAGGAAGUCUGGAUUAUUUUGAACAUGGAGAUGCUUCAAUUGUGAAAAGCCCUCAGUGUCCAAUUCUAAAACAACAUUCUUGAUUCCUUGCAACUUAUCCAAACAUAAGUAUUCAACGUUAUUGAUGCGCUGCAACUUCUCGGAGCAAAUGGCCAUAGAAUCAAGCUUGAGCUUCAAUGUUCUUAAACUCUCAUGAUUACUGAUCAUAAAGUGCUGCCGACUUUCAAACCAAUCAUUCUCAAUAACCAGGGUAGAGUCGAAUGAUGCAUCUCCUAUUGAUAUAUCAAACCUUUCCAGCUUUUUGGAAAAAAAGCCAUCCGGUAAAAUGCUAUCAUUUUUAACAUCUAUCUAAGGUGGUCAAUCGCCUCAUAUGCAUCAAUUCGUCGAGGGUGGCAUUACUUCUUUCACUAUUGGCCUUUUCAACUUCCCAUUCAAUAGGGGAAUUACCCAUAUACAGUUCUUCCAAUCGAGUGAAGCUUGAUAAGACGUUGGGCACAAUAAAUUUUAGUUGCAAACAAUCUGUUAAAUCUAACAGCCUUAACUUAGUCAGUUGACCUAGUUCGCCAGGCAACCGUACAAUAUCAGAAUUUAAAAAGCUAAGGAUUUCUAGAUUCUUCAACUUUCCAAUUAUGGCUAUGUCUCCCAACAUGCUUUGAUCUAGACAGAGUGUUUGAAGAUUUGCUAGAAGACCGAUUGAAGAUGGCAAUGAAAAUAAUCGCAUUCGUGUCAAAUCUACAACUCGAAGCUUUUUCAGCCCUUUGAAAAUGUUGUCAGGAAUAUUGACCUCAACAAAAGUGUUUUGGGAAAUAUGUAAAAAUUCAAGUUGCAGACAUUCAAAUUCCUCAGAAACUUCAUGAAUGCUACUAUUUAGUAAAGAGAUUGCAUAGCAUUUUUUAAGUGCAUCCUCAUCUGGCCACUCCCACACAGCCUCAUUUCUCACCAAUAAAGCAUGUUGGUCUCGAUUUAAACUUUAACUCAAUUUGAAAAACUGAGCAAGUAUGCGUUACAGGAAAUCAAAAAAGCUCCACAUACCCAGAUCAUGAUCUCACGUUGAAUCCAGGUGGGAGAUAUAUUUAUGAUCAAGCCCAACAUCGAAGGGGGCAAAAAAAAAAAAAAAAAAAAAAAAAUCUACCAGACAUAUGAUCAUAUUGACCACGAGCUUCAUACGCCGUGGAUUUAUUAACAAAAGUGGGAAUUAAUUAAUCAUGAGCAUGUGUUCUAGUUAAGUCAAAAGAGAGACUUAAUUAAGAACGCAUAUAUAAUUCAUAAUCAGCACAUAAAAAGAUCACUAGUGCUUGCCCCUCCUGCCCUUGCCGUGCUUGCCGUGCUUGCCCCUGCCCUUGCUCUUUCCAUGCUGGUAGUAGCCGCCGUGCUUGCCGUGUGUGUAUGCACCGUGAGCUCCAGGAUAUGCGUUAUUAUCUGCAACAAAAUAAGAAAUUAAAUCAUAAGCUUAUAAUUAGCUCGCUCGCUAAGAGUGAUUAAAAUAAUACCGUGCGGAACGGAUGGGCCAGGAUAUCCCGUUGGUGUGUAACCACUGGCGAGUGCUGCUCCUGUAGGCGGGUAGCCGGCACCGGCUGGGGCAGCAUGAUCAGCACCUUCCAUGAUUUUGAUGAUCACCUAAUAAAUAAUAACUUGGUCCAAAAUAAACAACAAUAAAUAAUUGUGAUUAAUAAAAAGUAAUAUAUUCUCUAAUUAAAACAUUAAUGAUCAUUGGAGAGCAAGCGAGAAAUACUUACUGAAUGCGAUGGGACAGACAACAUCAUGCAUAGAGAAUUGUUCAUCUUCAACGAAUUUGGCUGCCCGGUCAAUGAUGCCGUUAGCACUAACCAGCCACUUCUCAACCUUCUCUUCAAUCUCUUCCCCUUUUUCUUUUGCCUCUGAAACUCUGCGCCGAAUGCUCGUACGUUCAACCUUCAACUUCUCCAUUUCCGUCUUGAGAUUCUCAAGGUUGGCAUUGUAGUUCCGCUUGCGCAAAUAAACAAGUUGGCGUUCUGUUGGAGGAGCCAAGCAUUUUACAAGUUCCAAAACGAGAGUAACAAUGAUUUCCAGCAUCUUGAAUCCUGACAACAAUGUAGAAGUGAAGAAGGCCAAAGGACAGUCAAAACAGAGAGACAGCGUUACGACAAGCAGUUAUGGAGCUAAAAAUAAAUAACAAACAAACAGAAGCAAAGUGUUUUUCGAAUGAGAAGAAGGAAGCAAGAAAAACUUAAAACUAGUAUAAUAAAUUUAUACUAAAACUAGUAUAGUAAAACAAGAAGUCAAGAACCAGCAACUUUUACACACAAAAUAAAACCUUAAAACUAGUAUAAUAAAUUUAUCAUCAAGUUGCAGCCUUCUUAUUCAACAAUUACAGCAUUAUCUUGAGCUCUGUGUUUCUUUUUUUAAAAAUUAUUCAAAAAAAUCUGCAUUUGUUUUUCAACGAUAAAAAUUAUAUUUUUGUCUCAUAUAAUAUAAAAUUAAAAAAAAAACAAACAUAUAUUAAAGGUCUGUUUGGGAUUAUUUUUAGAGGCUCAAAAGUAAUUUUAAAAAGUUAAAUGCUAAUUUUGGUAUUUAAUAAAAUUUUUAGAAGUCACCUUUGGUAAAAUCAUCAAUCCUACAACAAAUUUUGAAAGCAAAUAGUUUUUCAAAUUUUUAUUUUGAUAAUUAAUUUUAUACUUAAUAUAAUUCCAUAUACAUCCCUACAUAUAUUAAUUAUCCUUAUUAAUUAGAAAAUAAAAUUAUUAACUUUAAAGAUAUUAUCAACAAUUACAUUGAGAUAACAAACUAAAAAUAAAAUUAAUAAUAUAAAAUAUUUAUUUUAGUAAUCAAUUAUUAUACUUACAAGAUAAAAAAUAUUUUAUUUAAAUGUUUAUAAAUGUACAAAUAAAUUUUAUUUAAUAUUAUAUUCAAUUUAGUCAUUUACAUUGUCAAUAGGACUUCUAAAAAUAAAUUUUCCUAAAUGUUUAACUAAUUCUCUUCAUAGUGAUUAUUUCCAAACAUAACUACCAAAAAUUACUAUAAUAGAUACAACAUUACCAAAAAAAUAUUGAGAUAGAUUUUAAUUAGGUAAUUGACUUAAUUAUGAAUCAAUUUAUUAUUUCCAUAUGUGUUAUCAAAACCAGCUCAAUAAUGAGAUCACUCUUUUUCUUAAAUAAAAAUAUUUGUGCCAAACAAUUGUUGCAAAAUUUCAAAUAUAAAUUACAAACAACAAAAUUUUCUAAAAUCAUAACAAUAAUUUAUGUUGUGAAUACAUGUAACUAAACCACAUUGAAAUUUUAUUGUUAGUAAAAUUGUUUUUCACGCAAAUGCAGUGACGGAUUCAGUUUCAUGUUUCACCCUCAAUAACUUAAUUUUCAUAUCUAACAAAUCAUCCAUAUUAUUAACAAUAUCAUCACCAAACAUAAUCUACCUAAACAUAAACUAAACAUAACACAUACAUAUAACUAUAUACAUACCGAAUCAGGAAAACAAUGAAAGCUACACGUAUCCGGCUCUACAAUUCCUUCUUGAUACCCUUGUGCUUCUAAAAUAAUCAACCAAUUAUAAAAAUUAGCUUAGGUGCAACUUUACCCCUUUUUUUGGGAAACUUAACUAUAAAUAAAGUAUACAAAUCUCUAAAUUAACUUCGUCCCCAUGAAAUUCGGCAUAAAUAGAAAUAGAAUUAUAGAAACCUUACUACCUUUUAUGAGAAAUCCAACUUAUAUAUUUGAGACCUCUCUCUCUAAGCACGCGCUUCCUCUCUCUGCACACUUUCCACCUUUAAAUUCUCCUUCACUAAGUUUACCUAAAAGAAUUUAGCGUUCUCCCAGUUUCUUUCGCAUUUUUCUCCGUGAAAAUUGGUGAAAAAGAGAAAGUGAUUUGAUUAUUUUAAUGUGCGACAGAUAUGGUUUCCAUCUCUGUAAUAUAAGUGUAUCAAAACGAGGUGAACAACUCUUUGUCGAGUCAGUCAAAUAUAAAAGACAAAUUACGAAACCAAGCAGAGCCAAAAAAAAAAAAAAAAAUUUCCAAUUAAAUAAUCAUCAAGUCUUUUUCAAUUAAAAUCGGAGGUGCAGAACAACUGUCAGGAGAUAAUCAUUGUUUAUGGAGCCAUAUUAUAUUUUCGAUUAAAAUAGUUGCGCGUGAACAAUUGGCAGAAUUCGUAUAAAUUGUUUUAAGGUCUAUUAUAAUUAACAUUUAACAAGUGGAAUGGCCAAUGGAUGAAGAACCACUAUAAUUAGGGGGGUUUUGUGUCCCUUAUUCAAACGUUGGGGGUCUCUGUGUCUUUUUCCCAUAAAUUUAAAAUGCUAAAGAAACUGGGGAAAUUUACAAAAAUAACCAUAAAAUUUUUGUUAUUUUUACAAUUAACCCUCUCAACUUUUUUCUAUCAACAUUAGCCAAACACGUGCUUUUCUCCCCAAAUUACCCUUCUUUACAAACCAAAAGCAACAUUCUUUCUCCCCUUUCGUCAAACAAAGGCAGCUUCCACUCUUGAAUCAUCAACCAACGACAACGGCAAAAGGCAACGAUAAAAAGUGAAAUCCGAUCAUAAUUUAUUCGGAUCCAACACUAAUCGGCAUCACAUAGUGGUAUGAGUUAUUUUCUUGCUCGUGAGUUUGCCUGUCGCACCAAAAGCCAGAUUCAUUAUAAUUAACUAUUAAUUUGAUAGGGCUGAAAUAAUUUAUUUUUUUAUAAUUUCAGGCUUAAUGGAUUCAGUUGUACUUGAAUUGUGUUACGAUGGUUGUUGGGAGACAUUAGAGGAUGGGCGUAUGGAGUAUGUCAAUGGUAAAAAUAGAGCUUUUUUGGUUGGAAAAAAUUGUCUUUUUGAUCAGUUAUUGGCAAGAGUAUACGAUGUGUUACAAAUUAAUCCUAAUGAAUAUAGUAUCACAAUGAAGACAACUUUGAGGUCUAGUAACACAUUAUAUCGUGUAUGUGCACUGCCCAUGGAUAUAUUUGAUGAUGAAAUGGUGAGGGUUGUGUUACAUAUGGCAUCCGACGUAGCUAAUUUUGGAUGCAUUCCUAUAUUUGUUACCACAUCACCUCGAGUUCCGAGUGGAGGUAUUGAGCCACAUGUCGAUACAGAAACUUCGUUUAGAGCAAAUAUGUCUAGCCUCGAUAAUGAAGAAGAGGUGUUGCCAAGGACAAUAUCACUGCAGCAAUAUUACUCUCCAAUCCACGACAAUUAUGACAACAUUGAUGAUGACGGCGUUACGUUACAGGAUGUUGGAGCAACGGUAUUUCCAAUAACGACGUCGUUGGAGCAACGGUAUUCUCCGUAUCACAAUAAUGAUUUUCGGGACAAUGAUGAUUUUCAUGAUGAGACAGAGGGGGAUAAUGUUUGUGCAGAACCUUCUAAUAAUAUGAGGGGCACUCAUUUCAAUAAUGAUGGUGAUGAUGGAGGAGCCGGUCCUUCGAAUGUUCCGUCGUUUCAGCAUGAGGAUGAGUGUGAAGACAAUACUCCUGCGAAUAAUAGAGGCAAUAGACCUAUUCUAGCAAUGGUUCGAUCGAGAAGGAGAAUUGACCCUCUCACAAGUCUUGCUCCAACUUUGCCUUCGAACAUGGUUGCUCCAAGUUUUGUUAGCAGUUGUGACUCAGAUGAUAUCAGUGUCGGUAAGCUAUUUGCUGAGAAGAAUGAGUUUAUAUUACAACUACGCAAGGUUGCCUUUCAGGAUAAGUUUGAUUUCAAGAUUGCACGGUCUACUACGACACGUUUCGAGGCUCACUGUAGUUCAGAAUCAUGUAAAUGGCGUAUUCGAGCAACUAGAUGUUCGAACGAGGAAAAUGUUCCUUGGGUGGUGCGGAGAAUUGAUAAUGUACACACUUGUCAUAAUGAGGUGUUGGUUGCUGGAUGUCAUCAAGUCAGGAGCCGGGUUGUCAGUCAUAUUAUCGCAGAUAAAUAUAUUCAAGUCAAGAGAAUUUAUACUCCGAAUGACAUAAGAGCAUAUAUGCAACAAGAAUACGGUGUUCAGUUAACAUACCAGCAGGCAUAUCGGGCAAGAGAAGUUGGUCUUGAAAUAGUUCGAGGCAACCCUGCAGAGUCAUACAACUUGCUCCCUAAAUACUCUCGCGUACUAACUGCAGCGAAUGAGGAUACAGUCACUCACAUCGAGCUGGUGCGACAGCCGCGCCUGUUACACCAAAAAAUUGGUGCGACAGGCGCGCGCUGUCGCACUUGAUCUGGUGCGACAGUGGGGCACGCAUGGGCGCGCGCGCGCGCCCUGCCCCCCUCCCUCUCCACCCCCAAAAUUAAGCCACAACACUUUAAAAUCGAAAAACAAUACUCCCAAACACCACCAACCACCACAAACACCACCACUACCACCAUUAUUCUCAAGCUAUAACUAUUAUUAUUCUAAAAUCUCAUUUUAAAUUAAUGAAAAUAAGAAAAAUGACUAACCUAGGUUUUGUUGAAGGUUGUAGAUCGUAGAUCGGAUGCCGGUGAGAGAUGGAGCCACCGCCGACGAGGGUUGAUGUUGCCGCCGAUGAUGGGAGUUGGAUCGGUUUGGGAGAGAUGAGUGAAAGGGAGUGUUGGGGAAGAGAUGAGGGAGGGGUAUUUUGGUCUCAAAAGUUGUUUAAUGGCUAAUGUUGAUAGAAAUAUUUUUGGGGGGUUAAGAUGAAAAAAAUCAAAACUUUUAUGGUUAUUGUUGUAAAUUUCCCAAGAAACUGACAUCAACGCUAAACGUGAAUCUGCAGCCCUUGCCUCAGUGUCUUUCAGGCGUUACUCGGGGUAGUUGAUAUACUGACGAGCCCUUUAUCAAUUAAUAAUCGAAAUAGAUUAAAAUAUGAAUGGAUUAGAAUAGAAUGAGUUGGAAUUAAAAUACGAAAUCACAAUCAGAUUAAUUUAUUUUUUUAAAUUGAGGAAUUAGAAUUGGAAUAAAUUAUAUAGUUAUUGAUGUGUUUAUUUUAUUUUAAAAUUACAAGAGUUGUUGUAAAUUACUAAUAUGCCCUUAAUUUUUUAUUAUAAUUAUAAUUAUUUAUUACUACAUUUGUCAUAUUAUUAAUAUUAUAAUAAUAAUGAUGAUAAUAAUAAUAAUAAUGAUUGUAACAAUUAAUAUUGAAAAAAAUUUAUUGUUAAUAAUAGUAAAUAAAAUAAGAAUAAAUAGGCAAUUAUUCACUGACCACGUGAUCUUUCGGACUCUUUCAAAAAUACACAAAUACUUUUUUCUUUGCAGAAAUCCUCCUGAAGUUUACAAAGUGUUUCAAUUGUUCACUGUCAUCUUAACUCUAUUAGAAUCUUGUUGAUGUUGUCAGGAUAAAAUUGUCAUUUUACCUAAACAUCCAAAAGGAAGUAUAAGAUGAAGCUCAACUUGGAGAAGUGUGCUUUCGGGGUUGGAUUCGGCAAAUUCCUUGGGUUCAUGGUGAGUGAUAACUCUAUGAAAUGAGAGUUAUCAUGAAAUUUUUAAGUUUAAAUCAAGACUACUCAGAGAGUAAUUGAUAUGUUUUAGUGCACUUUAAUGAUAGUUUGCAUUACAUUCAUUUUAAUUUAAGUUUAAUAAAGUUUAUGUGAUUUCUGAAUAAUUGUAUGCUUAGAACAUAUGUUUAAUUGUAGGUCAAUGGAAACUUGAAUUUCAUGGAAAAGAUGCUUUUGCAAUGGACUUAUAAAGAGGACAAACGAGCAUGGCUAUAGUAGAAUUGGAGCAAGUUUGGAACAGUGGAGUUGCUGUAGCCAUUACUGUAGCAACCAUUGAUGUAGCAAUCCUCGAGCAUUGCGAUCUGCAGUUUCCUAAUCUGAAGAAAAAGUGGCAUAAGAGAGAGAGCCAUCAAUUAAGAUCAAAAACAGAAAAGAACCAAGGAAGUAACAGAAUUCCUGAGCAGAAUUCAAGGCUGAGCCAGUUGAAGAAAUUUGCAGAGUCAAUUGGAAUUCACUCUUUCUCAUUCUUUUCUUAUUUACUUGUUAUUUAUUGAUUAUGAAGAUGUACUAAAUGGCUAGAAUUUGGUUGUUUAAUCUCCUUUCACAAAUUAUGAACUAAAUUCAUUUGUGGUUGAGUAUUAAACUAUCUUGAUGGUUAAUUGACUAAAUAUAGGUGUUGCUAUAUGUUUGCUACAACAUUUUGCUUUAAUAACAUUUAUUUACAUUCAUUAUUUCGGUUGACCACCCAUUUAAUGAUACAAGUUAAGAAAGAGCUGUAAAAAGGGUCUAUCUUAUUGAAACAUAUUAGAGUAAUACUUGGUCUUAAAUUGGGUUUCCUAGAUUGAGUUUAACUUGAGACCAAAAAGGGUUGUACUUAAUUUAAGAUUAGUAAUGAACUAGAUAUAGGGAUUUGCCUUGUAGGGUAAAAAGAACAUAAAUGUGUAAUACUAUAUCUUACGUUGACAUAGUAACUGGUCACUGUUAGGUUGUAUAAAGAUAUAAAACAUUCGAACAUGCUACCGUUGAGGAUAAAGAUGGUUUCUGCCCAGUGCUGUAGCAGAUGCUGCAGCAACUGAGCUUGACAUGAAUAACACAGUCAACACCAUCAAGAGAGUUUAAUCACUCAACUACUCUAUUCUAAUUAAAUUUAAUUUCAUGUUUAAUGUAAAAAAUUUAUUUAUUACAUUUUUAAUUAUUGUGAUUUUAUUUUACCUAGUCAUUUAGUUGUAUUAGUUGCAUUGAUUUAAUUGAUAACAUAGGUUGCUCUGUGAAAUUACUGUAGCAAGUCUAAUAGCAUCAAUCCCUAUGGAGACGAUCUUGGAUACUUAUCCUUAUAUUACUUAUUGUGUACACUUGUGCAUUGACACUAAUAGCAAUGGAGUUAAAAUUAGCAACAAAUUUUUUGUGCUAUUGCUGGGGUUUGAUUGUUUACUUUUCAGUUGUGAAAUCAAUUUUGACGGUGCUAAUCUUUGAUUUUAUUUUGAAUUGUUUACUUUGUUAACAGAUCACUCUUGCAUGUGAAAAUACAAACUUGUUGAAUUUCAAUUUGAUCCAGAGAUUGAAAGAACUACAAGGAGAUUGAGAAGAGAGCAAAGAAAUUCAAAAGCUGCUGUAGCAAUAGAUGACUUGCAAAACUUAGGAAACUUAGACCCUCACGGACCAAUAUAACCUGUUAAUGCUCAAGAAAGUCAGAAUGGGAAAAUUAAUCAGAGACCAUCAGGGAAUAACAAUAUUAGCUACAUGGAAAAUGAUAGAGACAGGGCCAUUAGAGAUUAUGCUUUGUUAGCCCCUUAAGUUAUACAUCCUGACAUUGUCAGACCUGAGGUAAAAGAUGCCAAUUUUGAACUCAAACCAGUGAUAUUUCAAUUAUUACAAACAGUGAGGUAAUUUAAUGGAUUACCAUCAAGAGGUGAGUGAUGCUUUUAAAAUUAUUGGAGCAUCACAAGAUGCAUUGAGACUCAGAUUCUUUCCUUACUCCCUAAGAGACCGAGCAAGAGUAUGGUUGAACUCUUUACCACCAGACUCCAUUACAACAUGGAAUGACUUAGCUGAUAAGUUUAUGAUGAAGUACUUCACACCAACCAAAAAUACAAAAUUAUGUAAUGAGAUUACUUCUUUUCGUCAACUAGAAGAUGAAAACUUAUAUGAGGCUUGGGAAAGAUUCAAUGAGUUAUUCAGGAGAUGUCUUCAUCAUGGCAUUCCUUACUGCAUACAAUUUGAAACCUUCUAUAAUGGGUUGAACCCAAGCACUAGAUUGAUGGUCGAUACUUCAACAAAUGGGGCUUUGUUAUCUAAAUCUUACAAUGAAGCCUAUGAAAUUUUAGAGAGAAUUGCUAAUAACAAUUAUCAGUGGCCAUCACCUAGACAAAUUGUAUCAAGAGGAGCAGCAGGUAUACAUAAUGUGGAUGCAUUUACAGCAUUAUCAGCCCAAGUAACAUCAUUGACCAAUAUGGUGAAAGCUAUGACUACUGCUCUAUCGAAUGACAAUCAAGUUGCCGAUGUUUCUUGUCUGUAUUGUAGAGAGGGGCAUUUAUUUGAUAAUUGCCUAAGGAAGUCAACGUCAGUCAAUUAUGUGGGCAACUCCAAUAGAUAGAACCAGAACAAUCCAUAUUCCAGUACCUACAAUCCUAGAUAGAGGCAGCACCCAGUGGACAGAACAGACCUACUCAGCCAGUUGAUUUUCAUCAGCAAAAUCAAGGGUAAAAAAACACCAGCAAUGAUCAAUUCAGUUCUUUGGAGACCCUAAUUAAGGAGUACAAUGUGAAUAAUGAAGUAAUUGUCCAAAGUCAGGCUGUACCAUUGAGAAAUUUAGAAAAUUAAAUUGGACAGCUUGCCACAUUAUUAAGUAACAGACCUUAGGGGAGUUUACCCAGCAACACAGAAGAUCCAAGGAGAGAAGGUAAGGAAUAUUGAAAGGUGAUCAAAUAUUGCACAAACUAGAAGCCUCAGGUCGGCUGGUGAAAUGGGCAAUAGAGUUGAGUAAAUUCUAUAUAAGCUACAAACCCCGAGCAACAAUCAAAGCCCAUGCAAUGGUGAACUUCGUGGAAGAAUUUACAGAAUCACAUGUGGAACCUAGCCACAUUGAUAUUGCUAUAGGCAACAACAAAGGUCAAAUCUGGCAGAUGACAGUGGAUGGAUCUUCAGGUGAGCAAAGUACUAGAGCGGGGUGGUCCUGGAGAGUCCAGAUGGAGAGGAAAUCUCUUACGCUGUUAGACUGGAGUUCAAGGCCACAAAAAAUCAGGCUGAAUAUGAGGCUCUAAUUGCAGGGCUAGAGUUAGCUAAGGCGGUGCAGGCAAAUAAGGUGAAAAUUCGGACAGAUUCACAGCUAGUCGCCAACCAUAUUAGUGAAAUGUUCUAACCUAAAGACGAAAAGAUGGGGCAAUACCUGAGGAGGGUCAGGCAGAUGAUCAAAAAGUUCGAGUCGAUGGAUAUUGUGCAAAUUCCAAGGAGUGAAAACUAUCGAGCUAAUAUCCUAGUUGGAAUGGCUGCUACAGCGGACUAAAAAAUGCCAAAAUCAGUCCCUAUGGAAGUCAAGUCCUCCCCCCAGCAUUGUGUAAAGUCUGGAGAUGAUGCAGAUAGAGCAAAAAGGCUCAUGGAUAGACCCAAUAAUCUCAUAUAUACUGGAUAGAGUGUUACCAGCAGAUAAAACGCAAGCAUGAAAAAUCAAGGGCCAGCGUCUAGGUGUACACUAAUUGAUGGGGUGUUAUACCGACGAGGGUACACCUUGUCGCUCUGCGGUGUCUGGACAAAGACGACGCGAACUACGUUAUAAUGGAAGUACAUGAAGGGGUUUGUGAAAAUGAAUCUAGAGUUAGAUCUCUUGCCUACAAAGCCUUAAGACAAGGUACUUAUGGCCGACGAUAUACUAAGAUGCUCAAGAGAAAACCAGGAGUUACAGAAGUUGCCAGAACUUUGCUAGUUUCCCUACACAGCAAUAAAAAAUACUUACUACUAUGACUUCACCAUGGCCGUUUACUCAAUAGGGAAUCAACCUAAUCGAGUCUUUGCCAAAAUGAUGAAGAGCAGUUACACAUGCUAUCGUGGCAAUAGAUUAUUUCACAAAAUGGGUCAAGGUAAAAGCACUCAGAAGAAUCACAGAGAAUGAUAUAACUGAUUUCAUGUGGAGAAACCUUGUCAACCGGUAUGGAAUCCCAUACGCCUUGAUAGCGGACAACAACUAACAAUUUGACAAUCACAACUUUAGGGAGUUUUGUCAGAACUUUGACAUAGAGCUAAGUUCUGCUCCCCUGCCCACCCUUAGUCCAAUGGACAGGUGAAAGUGGCCAACAAGGUUAACAAAAAAACUCCUGAAGACCAAACUAUGAGAGAAGAAGUGUGCAUGGGUUGAUGAGCUUCUAGGAGUGUUGUAGGUAUAUAGGACUUCUCAUAAAACCGCCACCGAUGAGACACCCUUUGCUGUAGCCUUUGGGCAUAAAGCAGUCUUGCAUGCAGAGAUAGGGGUAACCACGCACCAAACUGAGCACUUUGAUGAGAGUGAGAAAGGUGAAUCAGAGUACCAAAGAUUCGACCCAUGGUGUGUAUCCGGAUCAAGAGCCUACAAGCUUGCUCUCGCGAAUGGACAUGAGCUGAAACAACCAUGGAACGUAACACAUCUAAAAAAAUACUUCCAAUAAGGCCCAUUGGUAGCGAGUUAGAGUUAUUUCUGUUCAUUUCUGUUGUUGUUUAAACUUUAUGAUCAGUCAAUUUCAUGUAUGUCGUAUGCCAUGAUUAAUAAAGUUUGGAGGAAGUUCAUUCAAUUAAUUUAAAGAAAAAAAAAGUUCGUAAGGUAAAUAAAUGCCUCAAAGUCUCAAAGCCUGCUCGAUGGUGAGACCAGAAGCCAGAUUUUCCAGACUCUGCUCUACCGAACGAUGACGAGCAGACAAUCAAAUAUUUCAAAAAGUUUCUAAGGCAGACAAAAGCUUCAAAGUCUCAAAGCCUACUCGAUGGCGAGACUAGAGGCCAAGUUUGCCAAACUCUGCUCGACCGAAUGAUGGCGAGCAGACGAUCAAAUAUUCCAAAAAAUUUCCUAAGGGAAAUAAAGGCUUCAAAGUCUCAAAUCCUACUCGAUAGCAAGAUUAGAAACCAAGUCUGCGAGACUUUGCUCGAGCAGGCUACAAGAAAAACCAAGUUAUUCGUUAAUAAUCUAGUGACAAUGACAACUAGCCUCAAAACUUGGCAUACAACGUUUACAAAAGAAAAUUAUGGUACAUUCACGAGGAUGAAGGAUCUAUAAGUAGAGCAGCUUUUGUUGGAUUUUCAAGCAGUAGAGAAUGAGGGGUCUGGCCAAUUCUGCCCGAGGGAGUGCUUGCUUCGAUCGGGGUUUUGCCUUUCAAGACCGGCAAUGAUGCAUCGACAGAAGUGCCUGAGCCCUUCGUUAAAUUGUCAUCAACUUCCUUUUCCAAGUUCUCAAUCUGAGUCUGGUGUGAAGCACAAAGUGAUUCCAACUAAGACUCGUAGGAAGCUUUUUAUGUCUCCAAAUUCUUAUUGACCUUGCUCAGCUACUCCUCAAGGGUGAUCACAUUGGCCUGUGCAAGAGAUGUCUGCUCCACUAAUUUCAAGUUCUCGAGGGUGAGGUCUCUUGCUUUCUUCUCAGUAGCAUCAACUUCGUUUUUAGUUGAUUGAAUAUUAUACUUCAUCUUGUGGUCAUAACGGCCAACUUUCACCUUGUAGUAGGUAGUCAUGCAACAUAGGUGGAAAACACUGAAUUGCAUAGCCCUAACUAGCUCACGAGGGUAAUGCCGUCAAAGUCCUCUAAAUCGUUUUUUUUCACGAGCCUAGAAAACUCACUUAUGUAAGGGCCAUAUGCUCUGGUCGAUCCUCAGGCAAUUGCGGUUCGGAUCUUGGUGGAGGAGGAGUGGUAACAAGACCAGUGCCGCUCGCAGCUCCACCAACUUCACCUGCCUUAGGACGGGGAGGAGGAUGUGGCAGCAUCUUCAGAGGGGAAGCUUUCCCUACAAUAUUGACCCACUUCUCAAGGGAGCAUAGUUGCUGCAACCCCCCUUUACACCACGAAAGCGAGGGCGUUUUCUGUUCAAAGCCCCAAUCACAGCAUCCUCUAUAGCAAUUCACCUUCGAUGCGGUAUUAGACACUCCAGGAACUUGCAACAUAGGCAGAGACUCUGUUAGAAAUUACUCAAUCACUUGAUCAGCUGGUGGUGUAAAACAACUUAAAUAAGCAGGCAACCUGGAACUAAGAAACGGAUGGGGACAUGGACAUUCUCAUCAUCAGUCGGCCACUUGACCCUAAGGACCCCCAGCAAAAAAGAAACUGCUUUUCUAAUUCUCACCACCUGUUAGGAGGCCAGUUAUAGGUUUCCUAGUCUUGGUACUUGACAUAAAAUAGUACCAACUAACAUCUUUAAGGCUACUCUUUAAUUGGUAUAAGUGUUUAACCUCAUCAAUUAUAGGCUCACUCUGACCACAUCUGUCCCAAAGUACGAGUACACCAGAAAGUACCCUCUAUCCAUUAGGGUUAAGCUGACCAUGAGCUAAGUGUAAUCUACCAAGCAUCUGGACGAAGUAAAGCGGCAAAGGAAGCCUCAUCCCUUGUUUAAAACUCUCUAAAAAUAUAGCAACAUACCCCCUGGAAGGUCGAUUAGGGGUAUCUUUUUUCUUAAGAACCCUAAGGUUUAUGUCAUCAGAAAUCUUGUAAGUAUUUUGGAGGGGUUUAAAGUCAUCUACUGUGGUCCUACAAGUCAUGAGGUCAAUAGGGUAGUUUUCGGCCGGAGUCCUACCACCUAAUUUCCUCCUCUUUGCUGGUCUUACUACCUUUAGUGAGGAUGCUUCACCAAACUCUUCAUCUGGGUACCCGCUUAGGGUCUCCUCUGAGCUAGAAGAUUCGUCAUUGUUACUUUUGCUAGAUGAGGUAGAAACCUCAGGAGACAUCCUCCUAGCACUACUUCUAACACUAGAAUGGCCUACAAGCUCUAAGGGGAUCCUAGGGUCGAAAAUGGGCUCUGUGAGCAAACCAGGUAGGAAAUCCAGUUCGUCAUCAUCAAUCUCAAUUUCUUUUUCCUUGCCUUUUGACAUUUUCUAAGCGAUAUCCAAGAAGAUACAACUAAAUCCCUCUUAACCCUAGAAAAAAAUGACAAAUAUCUAAGACAAGAGAGAAGAAGACCGUACCUAAAGCAGCGGCACCUCAAAAUCAAAAUGGAGGAAGUGACUUGAUAUUCGAUGGAGGAAAUAGCUGAGUCACCAAAGGGCGAAAGAAAAGCCGGAAAAAAACUUUCUUGUGAAGAUUAGGGUUCCCCAAGAGACACGGAGACCCCUAAUUUAUUACCAUUUAACGACACGCACUCCGAGGGUUCUUAACAGGCAGUUAAAAAUUUAAAUGAACGAGUGGAUUCCUGCCACAUCACCUGCUUUUAAUUAUGACGUGACUCUUUGGAUAAACAGCUAAUAGUAGCUUAAAGGAUCAAGUGGAUAAGGUGACCAGUCCUCAUUUCAAUGCCAAGAAGCCAAAGUGUGUUUUGAGCAAGAUAAGACUACCAAGUUUCUAGUGUUGAUCCAUUGCAUUAUCAGCACCAGAAACUGAGGGACUAGUAUUUGAGGCGUAUAACGACGCGACCAGCUACACUCGAGCGAGGAUUUCCUUUUUGUGGGCGAUGGGCUAUAUAGUGUCCGUGAGCAGAAGUGCUCUAUUCGACACCGAGGAGUUUUCUGCUAAACACCGAGGAUAUCUCCUGAUGGGGCCAAGGUCGGAAGACCCAGUCUAUGGCAGUUGUUAGAACAUGUGUCGCUCUCCGAGAAUCCAGGCACGAGGCCUAUUCAGCCACGAUCACAACGCCCGAGCAUCCAUGACCGGGAACUAAGGUAGAGUGGCAAACGUGGGUCAUGGUGACUAAAUUCUCAGGAGGGCUAUAAAAGGGGCUUGCAAAGAAGGUAAAGGGUUUAGACAUUUUUAAACUAAAAAUUAACCUAAGAGAAUUGGGGGGUGCAUCUUUAUUGGCGAGAAUUGGGAAAAUUUUUGAGAUUUUUCCAGUGUUUGAGAAAUUAUUACAGAGCCACGAGAUUAGUGGCAGGGUUUUUUCACAAUAAGCCCAGAUUGCUGACUUGAGCGUCGGAGGGUUUACGUCGGGAAAACCCUCAGCGUUCUUUGACCAAUUUCUGUGUGUACAGGAAUUCACAGAGGAGGAACGGUGAGCCUCAUAGUUCUGCUUAUCAAACAGGAGCAGAGUAAAGUUAUCCCCUACCACUACAAAUUUAAGUGUUGAAGAGAGAUCAUGGUCUCGAACGAGCAGAUGCAAAAUCCCGUAUCAAUAAUAACAACAACAACAACAACAACAUCAUCAAUAAUAAUAAUAAUAAUAAUAAUAUAUUAACUUUGUAGGAUGGAGCUCUCGCAAAUCUUCAAGACACAAAAUGUGUUUGACCCCAUUGUUGUUAUUAUAAUUUCAAAAUCAUUUGUAUAUAUAAUAUUAGGGAAUAUGACAUAGAAAAAUUGAUGGUACAUAUGUUGCAAUAUUCUUGUUCAUGUGGCGGCACACUGAAGUAAAGCAUAAGCAGAGCAACAACAAAUGUAAUGAGAGAGCUCUCAUUAUGUAGAUUUUCAAUAGAAGUAAUGCAUAUUUCACAAAGGCAAUGGCCUUAUUUUGAAUGCUGCACCUGAGGGUUGACUUGAAUCUUCUAUAGAACUCAGGCAUUCUGUAAUCAUAGAGUAUAGCAUUUCAACAAAAAUAUUAUACAGGUCGUUCCUUUAUAUAUUUUCUGGGUACACAUACAGAAAUAUUAUUUUGGGUACAUUUCUUGCAGUAAAACCUGCCCAGUCUAGCGUUCUCGUAAGUUGGGUUUCUCAUUUGCAUGUUUUUUCCAUUGGUUAAUUAUCACAAACCUCCACUAACAUUUAGCAUAUUCUUAGUUUAAUAGAUUAUAUUGGCGUAUUCUCAAAUAUAAAUUAAGCUGGUGAGGAUAAAAUCGUAAAAGCACCAUUAAUGAUAAAAAGAAACCAAGUAAACUUGAAAUUUUCAAGUUGUGUUUUGAAAUUGGUCUCAACUUUGUAAAUGUCCAUUGGGUAAAGAAGUAAAGAACAGAAGCAAGCUGUUCCCAGCACACAUAAGCAAGCUUUACGCAGCACAAAUUAACACCCACAAAAAAUGAAAAGGAAAAAUGGUCAUCUCUUUCCUCCAUUCGAAUUGAAGCCAUGAAACACAACAUCCCUUUCAUCUUCUCUCUAAUGCUUUGAUUAGAAAACUUGCUUACAAACGGGAGACCAUGACACUGAAUCCUGAGACGGCAAUACCAGAGACGACUGAUUUACGCCAACGGUGUGGAAGAAUACCAACCAGUGACUUUCGCUGUCGACCCACAAACAAUCCCAGUGUUUUCUAGCUGCGAAUGAGGUAUGAAUCAGAUUAUUUCCGUGCAUUUCAAUUUUGUCAGCUGACAUUAGGAGAUUUGGUUAAAAAAAAAAGAAUAAUGGGUCUCGAAAAUUUUUUGAGAGUGUUUUUGUUGCUUACAUUAUUUUCCAUCGAUUAAUGUUAGUUGUAGGUGAAUGAUUGUUGCAAAUGCAUGUUCGCUUGUGAUUGAUUGAAAAUGGCUUGUGAUUUGUUAUGCUGCCGUGUGACUGAUUAAAAAUGGCUCUGAAAAUUUUUCAUUUGUUUAAGGUACUGCUGUUGAUUAUUGAACCAGGAUUCAUGCUAGUUUUUGUUAAAUUGAAGAUGAGAUUACUUUUUAAGAGAUCUGCAAAACCUUCUCUACUAUAGAUUUGGCUUCUGGCAUACCUGGUUGGCUGGAGAUAAUUGUUUAUAUAGUCAUUGCUGCCCAUAUUAAUCAGGAAUAUUGAUUAGCAAUGUACUGGAUUAGUGAUUGGUAUAAUUUUGGAAAAUCAGUCGUAGAUGCAACCUGGUUAUGGUCUCAAAUAGUGUGAUCUGUCAAUUCCGUUUGCUCUGGCCUAACAACCUUGAAUCUGAGCUAUGCCACUAUACAAUGUCCUGACCCAAUCAAGCUUGUUAGCCAACGUCCAAAAUUGCAAUGUCUUUAGAUAAGUCCCGUCUUAUUUGUUUGAGUUAUAAAUGAAAAUUGCAGUGUCUUUGGAUAAUCACGCUGAUGUUCACGUUAUUGACGAGAGGAACCUCCAGAUUCAAGGCCGGAGCUCCUUGUUGAGAAACUUUGCAUAUAUAGGAUUGUUGCCGAGUGGAGGAUCGAUAUGACUGGUCUUGUUUAGAAUAGGGAUGGAGAUUUUGCAUUAAGGCUUUCUUAACAGAUCAUUCUGCAAAUCAAGGUCCAUGUACAUCUCUUUAAACUCUUUGAUAUGUAUAAAGCAGGUGCAUGCUCUAUAUGUUACUUAUUGUAUCACAAUUAUUUUUCUAUUGCUUAAUAUAAUUGCAGUCCUUGAUGAAGUUGAAGACAACUUAUGGAGGGUAUACAAAGGCUCAAGAGCUUGAUCGCCAUUCAUUUUACACUUGGCUGAGCUACAGCAUACCAACUAGUGAUUAAUAAAGAGAAGGUAUGAAGGUCCUGUUGCUGGUGGUAUUAUCAAUCAGAAUUGUUAUUUUACUUAGUCAUAGUUACCAUGUAUAAGAUUCGUAGACUUUUUGCAUGCUUAUGCAUUCGCAUCAUCUUUUUGUUAAGCUAGAAAUGGUUGAUUUGUGUACUCAUUUGUAUCACUUGUAGCCCUUCAGGAAUAAAAUUUAAAAUUCUGUUGCAUCUCAUGUACUAAAUACUAAUUUUGUUGGCUUUAUGUAUGGGAAAUGGUUCAUUAUCUUAUUUCUUUGAUGCGUAUAGUGUGACAAUGUCUAAAGGUGAAAAGUAUUUAUAUCACUUGUGUAACACUGUCUAAAGUCAAAAAGUGUUUCUAUCACUUGUGUGAAAAACAACCUACUUUUUUUUCACUCUUCUUAUAUUGAAUAAAAGACAGACGCCAAGAUUGAACGAAAUUUGAUGCAGAAAGCAUAGCAAUUAGGCCAGUGCAAAACAACUUCCUUCUGAUUCUCUGAUAUUUGACUUAAAUCUUUUGUCUGUUUCAUUCAUCAAAGUCAUUUUGGAAAGUAGCAGGGGUGAUGUGAUAUUUUCAUUGUAUUCACAUCCCUGGCACCAAAAACAAACAUGCUGGUACUAACCAACAAUUUUUUAUUUUCAGUAUACAAAUUUUUUUUUUUCUAAAUUAGGGGUAUUAAGAAAAGGUAUACUAGCACCAGAGGAGGUAUUUGAGAAUACACAAAUACAAUCUAUCAAAUUGAGAAUACGCCAAAUCUCAGGAGUGGUUUUUGAUAAAUCCUUUUUUUCUUUUUCCUCCAUUCACUAUAGGUUCAAUUUAGGGUGGUUGUUAAGUUAUAUCAUUGUGUAAUAUAGAUCAAUUCAACAGUUGUUAUCAGUAACACAAAAGUAUAACGAACAAAAACUAAUUGUGUGUUACUGAUAGUAACUAUUAAAUUGAUGUAUGUUACAUAAUUAUGUAACUUAACAAGUUCUUCAAUUUAGACACGGUUGACCAAACUGAAGGUUUAGGUUGGUAAACGCACUAGUUUUAAUGUCAACAACCCAAGGGGCUUCAUGGUCCUCUGGGUCGAAAUCGCGUAAUUAUUAAUUCUCCAACACUGAAAGUCUUUAUCAUCUUGGGACAAAUAAUUACAAAUUGACAUUAUAGCCGUGGAAAUUUGGAGGUGUAAUAACCGGAAAAAUAAAAAUCUCAAGAGACUUUUUAAAUAAAAAAGAUAACACCUUCAAUUUGCUAAAAGUAAUGGUAUCAUUUCUUGUAUGGAUAAUGGAUGAUUAGAUUUUGUUUUUGGUUAUCUGACGAAGGAUAUUCAGUUGUUCUUUAUGUGUUCAUAGGCAAGAGCAUGAGCAUAUGCAUGAUUUGAUAUAUGGUUCUUGCAUUUUCUAAUUAAGUGCUCUUUUUCCUUGCCUUCUUAGUUUUGAAAGAAAGAUGUGAAGCAAAGCAAACCCAGUGAAAUGUACAGAGAAACAGAACCAUCAGAGGAAAAACUAAAUAACAGAACUACAAUUGAACCAAACAAAAUCAAAUAAACGGACGCAACAGAUGCCCUGAACCUAGUAAUUACUCAAGAGUUGAGGAGUUGGAAUGAUUUGGUAUUCAUAUCUUCACAAAUCAUAUGCUUUAAUGCAGAAUCGACAGCUUUAUAUUAUUUUAUUCAAAAAACGAUAAAGCAGGAAAACCACAAUAAUCCACCAACUUUUGAUACUUGUAGGAAUUUUUUUUAGUCAAAUUAAGUUUCAUGAUGAAACAAGUGGCUCGUCCACACACUUGCACUUGCUUGAAUAUUUGUGCCGACAUUUUCAUAUGUGAUGGUACUUCUUAGCCAGUAGAUAUGUUGAAGUACUACAAAACAGAGUAUUUGAUGAAGUUUUGCUACAUUCGUAUCCCCUUUUUUUGUUGCAUAACUAAAUUCUUUAUAAACACAAAUUAGAAAGAUACAAAUAAUACAGUAGCUUGAAUUUAUAUGCUUUUAUGGUUAUUUGAUAAUCUAGUGCUGAUCAUAUGUGAUGAUAAACUUAGCUAGUAGUUUUAUAUUUGUUUUCGCAGUUUCCUUAGCGUUCACAUUUUGAUGAGUAAAUUAAGGAUUUCCAGAUGAAGUACAUAAUUAGAUGAAUGCUAAGGAACUGAAGUUUAAUUAAUUGAAAACAAAAAUAAUAAUGAACGUAAUUACGAAAAUGAACAAUGCAGAAGUAGUCCCUAUAGUAUUUCUAAAUUUUCUCUUGGGAUUUCUUAGUAUUCCUCAAUAUUUUAAAAAAAUGACAUGACGAUCUUUGAGUGGACAAAUCUUGGCCUGCUGCUUAGUACCCUUCCAACAUAUAAAGUACUAGAUGUUUUACUGAGAAAAUGACAAGAUCAUUUAUCAAAUUUCUUGCGCAUAUAUACGUAUGUAUAAGAGAAAUGAGAAUCAGUGAUUAUAAGACCUUGCAAUGAGACAAUAAUACAUCAUCAAAUCUAAAAAUACACAAGAAAUUCGGGACAUAUAUAUAACAAAAGACCUCUCAUUGAGUCAUACAUAUUGAGAAUGAAAUGUCAAAAUGCAGACAAAGAGCUUAUACAGAAAAUGAAUAAACUGUCUUUGAACUUCUGAUGGUCAAACAAAGGAAACAGGCAGGAUAUAACACACACUAUCAUAGAUGUAGCGACACGAUGAAGUAAAUCACAUGAAGAUGGAAAGGGGAACCCCUCACAGCAUAAAAUUUGAAUAGAGAGGGGAAAAAGGCUUCAUUUCAAAUGUUGCACAGAAGAAGAGUGACUUGAAUCUCCAUCAGUAUCCAGACAUUCUGCAAACACAGUGCUGAGAAUUUUAACAAGAAUAACAGACAAAAUAUUGUGCUUCUAUACUUGUCACAAAACUAGACCAAAUUAGUCCCCUUUUUGGUUUGUGAAAACUUGAUAUUUUUGAAAAUUCUAUCCAAUGCUUUCAAACAAUAUUUCCAUAAUAUAGUUGUUCAUAGCUAACCUUUGAUGGUGUAAGGAUUUGUUGUAGGCAUAAUGGGCUAAUUAUAUAUAUAUAUAUAUAUAUUUUACCCCCUGAAUGAUAUUCAGCUUCUUAAUUAUGUGUUCAUAGGCAAGAGCAUUUUCUUAAGUACUUUCGUUGCCUUCCAAGUUUCCAAUGAACAAACAGAGCACAAACAAAUUUAACGGAACAGUAACGAUGACAAUAAAUAAUUGGCAAGGAAAGAAAGAAAAAAGUUUGCAUGAUUUCAAGGAAUUAUAAAAUCUGAACACUUUCAACAUGCAAGUGUUGCCCCUUUUGAUGAAAUUUCAUCAUAAAAUGCUUGCAAAGAAUUAUAAAAUUUUAGAGAACAAGCGAACUCUCAAACAAAAUACUCAAAUUAAAUUAAAUUAGACCAAAAGACACUCAAUGACGCAAAAUCUGCCAUUCUAAAUAAUUGAGAUGAAAUUGUGAAACAACCCACGAGAUCAAAUAAAUAAAAUAAGAAUUAAUUACCAGCUUUGACUUUCUUCUCCAAAUUCGCAACUCGAAGACAUAAGAAGCCAAUGAAAUUAGUCGUAACCCAUAAAGUACGACGACGACCCCGCCAAUAGCUGAAAAUAAAAUACUUAUUCAUCAAUUUAAACUAACUUUAUAACAAAUAUCUUAUCGAUAUUUUAUUUAAAAAAAGCAAAUUUGUAGAAUUUUUCCAUGGGAGGUAGAGAGUAAUAUGUAUAUCCGUACCUUUUCAGUAUGUAAUUGUUGUAUGGUUGUGUUAAGAUCAUUAUUUGCCCAACGCCGUUGAUCCUCUGACUCUCCAUACGAGACGUUUACUCUCGGAGGCGUGUUUGAUUCUCCUGAAGUGAAAGUCUUCAUCUUGGGACAACCAAUCACUUCCAGAUAUUCCAGAGAUGGGAAUUUGAAGGUGUAAUUGGCAGAGCAGAAACUUGUGAGACUGUCUAAAUCACACAGAAUCAACGCCUUCAAUUUGCUGAAAACAAUCUCUUCUAUGUCAACUCCUUCUUUGUCAUUUAUUACCACCUCUGUCAUUGCUCUGCAUCCAUAUACUUGCACUGUUACGAGUCGCACCAGAGUUUUUGCUGUGGAGGAUGUUACUAAGUGUAUCAAUUCCUUGCAACCGACAGCUACCAGUUUUGCUAGGUUCCGAAAAGAUACCGAUGAUGAUGGCAAUAGACUUAACAGAUUUUGACAAUGAUAUACUUUUAGAAUUUCAAGAUAUUGAAAAAUGGAGUCAAGUUUGGAGUCUUGUUUACAUAGCUGCUUCAGAUGAUUAAGGUGGCCCAGCUCUAUACAUUUUAUCAUUGCCAACUUCCUCAAACGGUUCUCUAAGCAUCCUUCCGUUGAAAAUACCUCUUCGUAUGAACAAUGAUACAGUAAGAGUAAUUCGAGAUUGUGAAAUCUCUCAAGUACAUUCCUGAUUGGAAAACAAGCCGAGUCAUCAUAAGUUAUGUCUAGUUUUUUAAGACUGCCAAAAAGGUGUUGUGGGAAAUCGGCGUCCAAAAUCAUCUUCACAUCUUUUCCGCUUAACGCCAGUGACUCCAAGUUGGGUAAGAUCUGAUCAUCGUCAAUCACGUAGUAACUAAUCAGGUCAGUUGAUGUUCUCUCCAAUAAUUUUACCUUAGAGUACUUGUUGUAGAUUAUAUAUAUUUUACCAAAAAAAAAAAAGAAAAGAAAGGAAAAAUUGAAUUAGUGAUAAAAUUCAUUCUAGGAUUUUUGUAUGUUAAUUUGAGAGAUAAGAGAGAAAUUAGAAAAAAAAAAGGAUGAUUUAUACUGGCAUAAAAAUAUUUUAUUGCACAAUAAUAAAUUAUUAAUUUAUAUUGUAAGUGAUUAUAUAUGAGAAAACUGAGGAUUCUUUUUUAAUGCUAUACCUAAAAUAAUUCAUCUAACUAUUAAUUUAGUACAUUGAUCCCUUAGUCCAGACUAGCAAAAAUAUUAAUUUUGUACUAAAAGUUUUCAAUUUAUUGAGUAUUAAUUUAUUGAUGUUUAGUUAUAUUUUACAAAGUCAAAAGUCGCUAAUGAUCUAAUUGAUAAGAAAUCUAGAAAGCGGCUUCAUACCUUUUUGAACAAGAAUAGGGGCCGUUGUGCAGGAAUACCAAGUUGAUCAUCCUCAUUAUUCUGUGAUGAAUCUGCAGCGAAUGUCUUCAAUUUGUCACAACCAGACACCACUAAAAUUUUUAGUGCAGGCCAUUCCGAAGUAUGCAUUCCAUGGUAUAAACAUUUAAGUUCCGGUAGCUCUUGGAGUAUAAGAGUGGUCACCCGUUGAAAGACAAAAUGAGGGGUCACAUGAUCUACUCUGUCUUCCGAAAUGAUCUCUUGCAAACCCCUACAAUUCACUAUCUCUACUUGUUGGAGAUGCUCAAAGCUUUGAAUCAUAGAAACUAAAAAUAUGUAUUUUAAUUUGUUACAGUGGCACACAAUCAAUCGUGUUAAACUUUGAAAGCGAGGAAGCAUGACCGGACGAUGAUUGUAAUGCCAAAUCUUGUCGACAUUAAUUUCAGAUAUCUCCAAAGCCUCCAAAUUAGGCAACCCUACCUAAAAAAAUAUUAAUUUCUUGUUAGAUCCAACACCCAUAUGAGAAGGACUUAUUGAAAUUUUCUUCUUUGAUUACAGAUUAAUAAUUCAAGUCAAAAUCAAUUUCCAACUGACAGCUGAGUAUGCAUUCUAAUUCGUAUUACUUGUUAAGAGCUCAAUUAGUGAGUGCGUGAGAUUCUUUUUAUCCUUUUUUUUUCACUUUCUUUCAAUUCUUUAAAUGAUUUAAUUAUUUUCCACGUAUGACAUCAAAAGAGAAUGCACAAUAGCAUAAAGAAAGUGUUAGCCUACGCACCUUGCCGUUGAAAAGCAGUGUUUCCAAAUUGAUUUCGUUGGAGCAAGAACUUGUCAAUUCCUCUUGCAGCCCUUGUCUGUUUGGUGAUGCUGAAGGAGUCUUCAAAUUACGGAAAAAAGUUGUAACCUCUGGAAGAUUUCCCAAACUCAAAGAUCUUAAUUGAGCCAACUCUAUCUUCUCAGCAGCAUUAUUGUUGUCAACAUCAGCAUCUCCCCCAGUAGCAAAAAUCUCUUUCAUCUUGCUGCAAUUAAUAACUGCAAUUCUCUCAAGUCUUGGAAGGCAUUUUGCAGUGGAGAGCCAGAAGAUAUUACUCAACUCAUUACAAUUUUCUACUUUUAUUGUUUUGAGUUUAUUGAAAGACUCUACUUUGAGUCGAUCAAUGCAUAUCCUCUCCAUGUUGAUCAAAUUGUGAAGAGUCAGUGACUCCAAAAGAGGAAAGGCAUCACAAGCGACCAUCUCCAUUGAGUCGACAAUACAAAAGAAGUCAGGAUUAUUUUGAACCCAGAGAAGCUUCAAUUGUGGAAAGCCCUUUGUGUCCAAAUCGAAAAGAACAUUUUUGACACCUUGUAGCUUGUCCAACCAUACGUAUUCAACGUUAUUGAUGGCCUGCAAUUUCAUGGAGCAAAUGUCCGUAAAAUCAGGCUUGAGCUUCAAUUCUCUUAAACGCUCAUGAUUAUGGUUGAUCAAAAAGUGCGACCGACUGCGAAACCAAUCUUUUGUAACAGGCAAGGAAGCCAUGAAUGACUCAUUUCCAAUAGAUAUUUUGAACCUUUCGAGCUUUCUGGCCAAAAAGCCUUCCUGUAAAAUACUGUCAUUUUUAACAUCAAUUUCUAGAGUGGUUAGCCAAGGUAAAAGCAUCAAUUCAUCAAGGCUUGCAUUACUUCUUUCAGUGUUGGCUCUUUCAACCUCCCAUUCAACGGAGCAAUUACCCAUACACAAUUCUUCUAAUCGGAUUAAGCUCGAUAUGACAUUUGGGGCAAUAACUUUUAGAUGGAAACAGUCUCUUAAAUCUAACAGCCUUAGCUUAGUCACUUGCCCUAGUGCUUUUGGUAACUCUACAAUAUCAGACCACACAAAGCUAAGGAUUUCUAGAUUUUCCAACUUUCCAAUAAUGGCUAUGUCCAUGUCUCCCAAAAUGCUUUGAUCAAGACAAAGCGUCGGAAGAUUUACUAGAAGAUCAAUUGAAGAUGGCAAUGACAAUAACCGCAUUCUAGUCAAAUCCAAAACCCGAAGCUUUUUUGUCCUUUCGAAGAAGUUCUCAGGAACAUUAGGCGCAACAAAAGAGUUCUUGGGAGACAUGAAUAAAAAUUCCAAGUUGUGGAGAUUCCAACACUUCGGGAAUGUCAUUAAUAAUACUAUCUUUAAAAAAAUUGCAGGAUAUUUUUUUAAUGCAUCUGCAUCUGGCCAUUUCCACACAUCCUCAUUUCUCACCGCAAAUGCAAUUUUGUCACGACGUGCAAUUGAAAUGGCAACAUCGCGAACAACAUCAUGCAUGGAAAAGAAUUUACUGCCACCAUCCUCAAGCAACAAACAAGAGUCUCUUAGUUGAUGGACCCAUGCAUGUAAUUUGUUAUGUGCAUCUUCUAGCUUAUAGACACUUUCAAAUGCACCCAAGCCCACGCUAUAUUUGAACAAGUCCAUAAUUGAAGUUGGUGUAAUUAGACUACACAGUAAAAAAGUUUUCUUGAGUUGCUCACCUCUUAAAUACUUGUAACUUAGCUCAAUUGUUGAGUAUGCCUCUACUGGUACUCCUUCAUCGAAGCUUGCCUCUGAAGGCGUUUGGAGUUCUUGUAAGACGUUCUUCCACACAGGCAGCUCUUUGUUUCUCAGUGCCUUUGCUACUGUGGUUAGGGCAAUAGGCAAACCUCCACAUGCCUUGGCUACAUUUGUUGCUGUAGAUUUUAACUCACGAUUUUCAACAUAAUUACCAGCCAUUAUCUUGAACAACCUCCAAGCUUCUUGCUCAUUUAGAAUGCCAAUCAAGAAGUUUUUUUCAGAUCCCAUACUUAACAAAACAUUACGAUCCCUUGAUGUUAAUAAUAACUUGCAUCCUCUAUGAUCAACGCCAAAAGGAAUUCCGACUGUCUCUAAAUCAAGAUAUUUCCAGAUGUUAUCCAGAAUCACAAGGAUCAUCUUCUCUUUCUUCAAUCGUUCAUAAAGUCUACUAGCUCUUCUAGAUUCAGCCUCCUCGGACAACUCCAGACCUAGUUUCUCUGCAAUUUCCCCUUGAAUCUUUUUUAUGUCUGGAGUUUGGGAAACCUCUGAAAAAACCACCUGAUCAAAGAGUUUCUCUUCACUGGCUUGCCUUGCAAACUCCUUCACCAGUGUUGUCUUUCCAAUGCCGCCCUUUCCGUAUACCCCAACGAUGCUGACAUUGACAUCAGUCAAUGCAUCUUGUAUAGACUUCAGAGUAGAAAGUCUUAAUUUAAAGGCCUCGUAACCUUUGUUAGACUUUAGCCAUACCUCCUCCGCAAUGGUACGGUAGAAAAUUCUAUCAUCAAAUCUCCUAGCUUCUUCUUUGAGUUCAACAAGGGCCUUCACCUCUGUUUCUGCUUUCUUGCUAAGCUGAUAGCGGGUCUUCAAAUUAGGACACAAGCCCUUGAAACAUCGCUUACUUGUUGUCUCCCCAUCUUCAAUGAAUUUGGCUGCCUGCUCAAUGGUGUUGUUCGCACUAACCAGCCAGUUCUCAACCUUCUCUUCAAUCUUUUCUCCUUUUCUUUCAGCCUCAGAAACUCUGUGCUGAAUGCUCUUACUUUCAUCCUUGAGCUUGUCUAUUUCUGCCUUGAGAUUCUCAAAGUUGGCUUUAUAGUUUCGCAAAUAACCAAGUUGGCGUUCUGUUGGAGGAGCGAAGCAUUUCACAACUUCUAACAGAACAGUAACAAUGCUUUCCACCAUCUUCGAUCCUCUUUUUUUCAAAGUUCCGAAAUGAAAAUAAACGACGAGCGAAAAACAGAGAGAAAGAGAGGCAAAAAAAAAAAAAAAAAAAGAAAAAGAAAAAAAAGAAAAUGAAACAACAAAGAUGACAAGUGUAUCUGUUUGUGGAAGCGGAGAAAUCAAAGAAAGCUUAAAAACUGUUGUGAAUCUGGUGAGAAGAUGGAAACAAGGAAAAGGUUUCUAGUUCAAAACUGAUUGAAUUGAUAUAAGGAAUGAUUUAGAUAAUAGAGGAAAAUUGAAUCAGUCAAAAUAACUUAAGUAUUGACCAGAAGAAAGAUGCAAACAAUAUUAGAGACAACAACCGCGCUAUUGACUGGUAAUAGAGAUGGAGAAAAAGAAAAUAUCUUCACACGGUGGAAGUACAAAGGGUAGAUAUGGAACCAAACAGAGACAACAACAGGCCACAACUAGAUUGGGAAUGGAGAGAAACAAAUUAACAAAGACUGGAGAUUACAACAGAACAGAUGCCAAGAGAAAAGGGUUUCUUCAUCCAGUGAAAUUCAAGAGAGUUGACAGCAAAAGGGAGCACAUGUGUUUCUUGAUUGAGAACGAGUGCAAAGGAUGACUUUUUAAUGAGGUUCUGAAGCUGACGAAUAACGAUUUGCUAAAAUUUUGAGAAAGUUAUAUAUUCCGUAACUUCAACAAGUGAAGAAUAAAAGAAUAAUAGUUCGUCAUCUUCACAAUGAAGAUCAUGGACGAGAUUAAAAGCUAAAACUAGUCCAUUUGAAAAGCCAAAGUUCAAGUUCCUUGGCUAAGUUCAGAAGUGAAGCAAAGAAUAAAUAAAUAAAGAUCAAGGGAUGGGAAUAAAGUCACCCCCAGACAGUUGCAGAAAGAUUAUUAUUUGGUAAGCGUAGUUGAUUAUUAGUACAAAACAGAGUAGGUGAAACACAUCCUUUCUAUUUAGACUGAUCAGCAUCUAAAAUUUUAUGAAUUAUGAGUUGCAUUUUAUUUUGUACAUUCUGUUAACACAUUUUAAUUUAGCCAAUUUUGCAAUAAAUGUUAUUGAUGUAUUAAAUUGCAACAACAAAACACAAUUAUUGGUAUUAAAGAAUGAAAAAAAAUAAAAAUAGAAAAUGAAUUGAAUUCCACUCAUCGUCAUCUUGGGAAAUCAAGUCAAAAAAUAAAAAUCCAUAUGCUUUUGUUAAAGUUAAAAGCUACAUAAAUAAUAUCACAGAAGCUUCUGCUAAGGUUCAUGUGAAGUCACAGCUUUGAUACUUGUACUACAAGGAGCACGGAGAAACCAUAAACUUCAGUUUAGGUAUGUACAUUGCUUGUCUUUCAAACUUGAAUUGAUAAGGGGGAAAAAAAUAAUACUAAAGCAAACAGAAGGAUCAUUUAGUUGACAAAAUUAUUAUUAUUUUGAAAUUCGGGUCAUUCAGUUACUUUCAUUUCAGUUUCACUUCUGAUUCAAUUUAACCAGUUAACGUUGACAAAAAUAAAAUGCAAAUAUAAGGCUAAGGCUGCUAAUUUGAUGAACUAAUUAUCUCAGGAACCAAAGCAUCUAUAAGCAUGCAUGGGUGGCAACACCAUAAUUACUCAAGACUGGAGGAGUAAAAAGAUUGAAGAUGAUAAACAUUAAAUUUUAGGAAAAUCAUUCACAAAUAUGCUUUUAUAAAAGUAUUGUUGGUAAAGUUCGAGAAAUGCAUACAUGUCAAAUUUCCAUUUCUUGUGAGCAUUUCACCAAAUAGCUGAUAUGCAUUAAUAACUCCUAUCCUAUACUAUUGGCCAGUAGGUUGUUGCUGCUUCCCCAUUUUUAAUGAUGCGAACGUCUCAUACUUAGAAAUAAGGGCGGAGCCUGGAGAUUGAUGUAUAAGAUAAUCUUUUGAAUAAAAAUAAAAACAAUUACAGAUUUCAAAUGUGAGAAAAAUAAAAUUGCGUUAUAAAAUUAAUCCCACUAAGAAAGUCGUCUACGAAAUUGCCACAUUAAAAGAAAUUUUUUCCAUAAAUUAAAAUAAAAUUAAAUGAAAACUAUUUUUCAGUAAAGUCAAUUGCCCACGCUAGGCUAAGGCGUUUGUUUAUUUGUUUGUUUGUUUUUAUAAUCUGAAUAGGUAUAAAUUUUUCGUAAGCAUGAAUGAGCUGAGUACAAAUAUAUGAAUGAUAUAUUUAUUUUUCUUUUUCUUAAUACCCAAAUAUAAGUGACAUCUUAUUUAUCUUAAAUAUGGUUAUUUGAUAUUUAUAUUUUUACAAAUAAAAAUAAAAAAAGUAGUUAGAUUUUAUAGUUUAAGAAAUAAAUAUAUUUUAUAAAAAUAUUUUUAGAAUAUAUAUUUAAUUCUUAUUUAGACUUUUUUCUAUUCAAUAAAAGUCACAAAAGGUACUUUUUCUAUUCAAAUGUAAAUGCUUAAAAAUCAGAUAUAAGUUACAAAAAAAAUAAAUUUUAGAAAAAGUCAUAAAUUAAUAAAAUUUCAUAUAUUUAACUCCCAAUGCAGAUCCACCCCUAUCAGUGUGAGGAAAUUGACUGGUGAAGUAGGUUCACAGCUAAAAUGAAAUUGGAAGAAAAUGAAGAACAAGCACAUAGAGGACACCAAAAAUUACAUGGUUCGACUUUUAGCCUACGUCUACGGGUAAAGACAAAAGGAUAAAACUUUACUGGUGAAAUGAGGAUUACUAGUAUUAUAAUAUUUUGUUUCACUUCCCAGAACCCCAAUCCACUCAAUCUCUUAAAAUACUAAUCACUCAAGAGCAUUAAAACUCUUAGUCUCUCACUCUAGAAUUGAAGAAGAAAAGAAUGAAAUGCGGGGGUGAACCCCUCAUUUAUAGUUAAAAAUUUGGGCACUAUUUAUAUUUUUAUAUAUUUUUUUAAAUUAAAAGUUUGAACUUGACAUUCAAACUUUGAAUAUCAAAAGGUAUUGGUCACUCUUCUAGAAAAGUGACAUUGACUUUGACAUUCUCCCACUUAGAAAUUUGAUUGAGAAUCAAUCAAUCUCCACACCAUCCUUUCUGCUUCGCCGCUAUCAUGUUGCUUAUGUCUCUACUAGGCCAUAAAAUGAUCUACUCCAAACAAAUUUAUCAGCAUUGAUAGGCUUGGGCAAAACAUUUGUUAAGUUCUCCUUGGUAUCCACUCUUGUAUCUUUCACUACUUCACGAAGAAGUGAUAUUGUACUCCUAUAUUCUUUGUCCUAAAAUAAAAGGUUGGAUUCCUUGCAUUCUAACUAUCACAAACCAUAAAAAUUUUAUGCCCAAGCUCCUUCAGUAACCUUUGUAUCCAAAUAGCCCUUCCAAGCUUGUGUAGCUGCUAUGUAAUCUGCUUCUAUUGUUGAUAAAGCCACAAUGGUCUGCAAUUUUGAAAUCCAACUAACAAUUUCGCCUUCUGGUGUAAAUACUUAGCCAGUAGUGGGUUUCCUUUUAUUAAGAUUUUCUGCAAAAUCUGAAUGCACAAAGCCCUUGACAGUAAAUUCUAAUCCUUCGUAGCAUAAUGCAACAUCUGAUGUUCCUCUGAUAUUUCUCAGAAUCCUCUUAAUAGUCUUCCAAUGUUCUUUGCAAGGAUUCGCUAUGUAUCGACUAACUGCUCCCACUACUUGUACAAAUCAUAGCGAACCUUAAAUUUUCCACUGCUGAUGCAUACAGUUCUCAAGACAUCUCUUCUUCUCUACUUCAUUACUAUAUGAAUACUUAAGAAUAACUUGAAAUUAAUAGGAGGCGGGGUAGAAAGCCAAAUCUUCUUGCUAUUACUAUCUCGGUGAAUUUGCAUCCCUAAAAUCUUGUUUGUUGGUUCUAAGUCUUUUAUUUCAAACUCCCUAGUUAACUGUGCCUUCAGUUCUUGGACUCGAUCUUUGUUGGGGCUUGCUACCAAUAUGUCAUCCACAUACCACAGUAGAAUGAUGAAAUCAUUAUUAUCAAACUUGUUGUAAUAUGUACAAUAGUCUGAACUGAUUCUAUUGUAUCCAAGGUUUAUGAUGAAGGGAUCAAUUCUCUUAUAUCAACAUCUCGGUGCAUGUUUGAGAUCGUAUAGAGAUUUGUUCAACUUGCAAACCAAGUGUCCCUUUUUAGUAAAACCUUCUAGUUAGAGCAUAUAAAUCUUUCCUUCAAGUUCUCCAUGAAGAAAUGAAAAUUUCACAUCUAACUGCUCCAAAUAUAGGUCAAAUGUAGCACACAUCGACAAGAACACUCUAACUGUCCUGGGUCAAAUCACUGGAGAAAAUAUCUCAUUGAAGUUAAUACAUUCUUUCACCACCAAUCUUUCACGAUACCGCUCCACUAGGUUAUUACCAUCAUGUUUGAUCUUGUGAACCCAUUUGCAACCAAUGGUUUUUUUUUUAUAUGGUAGUAGUACGAGUUCCUAUGUCAUAAUCUUGUGUAGAGCCUUAAUUUCUUCCUGCACUGCUAUCAUUUACAAAGUAACAUCUAAGCUGUUUAAAAUUUCAUAGAAAGUUGAUGGCUUUCCAUUCUCUAUUAAAAGACAGUAUGCAAAAUUGAUAUCUGUGACAUAAUCCAAAUGCCACACAUACAGUUAUCUAUCACGAGUUGACCAACAAACUUUUAGGGCCUCAGACUCGAUUGGUUCUUGUUCUCAUACUUUAGUGCUGCUUCAAAAAAAUCUGAAUCUUCAUUUUCCAGAUUAUUUUCAAACAUAUAUUAGCACAAUCUCUAAAUUUUAAUAGUGCUAUCAUCCAUAUCUCUCUUUUGCAUUUGAUCUUCUACAAAGAUAAUAUCUCUGCUAAUAACGAUUUUGUGGGCAUUGAGGUCCCACAGAUAAUACCCUUUCACUCCAUCAAUAUAUCCUAAGAAGAUACAUCUCUUGGAUUUUGGAUCCAUCUUUAAUCUCACUUGGGUAUCGUAUAUCACGUAAAAGGACAUCAAAAUGCCUGAGAUGAGAGUAAUCAGUUGGCUUUCCUGUCCAUUUUUCCAUUGGAAUCUUCAACCCGAUUGCCUUGAAUGAUGACCCACUUACCACAUAAUAAGUAGUUUUUGCUACUUCCGCCUAGAAUGAGUUGGUAGACCAGCAGUUCUCAACAUAAUUCUUAUUUUUUCUAUAAGAGUCAUGUUCUUUCACUCCACUACUCUAUUUUAUUGAGGAGUGUAUGCCACUGUGAACUAUCUCUAGAUACUUUCUUACUUACAUAUGCAAGAAACAUGCUAUAUGUAUACUCUCCACCAUUGUCUGUCCUCAGGCACUUGAUCCCUUGCCCUGAUUUAAGUUCAAUCUAUGCUUUGAAUUCUUUGAACAAUGGAAAUACAUUUGACCUUUUCUUGAUUAGAUACACUAAAUAUCUCCUAGAAUAAUCAUCAAUAAAAGUCACCAAAUACUUUGCACCUCUCAUAGAUAUAUCAAUUGAUUCCCAAACAUUAGAAUGAAUCAAGUCUAAAAUACAUUUACUUUUGAAAGUGGAUCUGCUAAACUUUCAUCUAUGUUGCUUCAUUGUUUCGACAUGUGGCUAAGCUUAAGAUGCCACAUCAUCGCUGAAUUUUCUCUAUUUGAUGUGACACACACAAAAGCUUUCUGUAGUGUUUCCAUUUAAUUAUGAAUAGAUUAGCACCGAUCUUUUCCACCUUCAUUAAUGCAAGUGUGCCUUUGACUAUCUUUAUGAUCCCAUUUUCUACAUGAGUUUUGUGCACAAGGCUAUCUAUUUGUCCUAAAGACAAGAGAUAUUUUUCAAGUUUUUGACAUGUCUUACCUUCUCAAUUGUGCGAACCGUACCAUUAAACAUAUUUAUUUUGACAGUACCAAUAUCAAUGAUCUCAAAGGCAUGAUUAUCGCCUAUGUAUACAGAUUCUCUUGAAAUAGGUUCAUAUUUGUGAAAUCAUUCUCUUGGAGAGAUCAUGUGCCAGGCAACUAUUAAGUCUAUAAGCCAGACGUCAUAUAGUGGUUUUCUGCCUUCUGAAGCAGUUGUUGCCUUACUGUAGAGAAUUUUGCCAUCAUACGAGGUACUUACUACAUACCCUUGAGCAUUUGAUGACUCAGGAUCUUUACCCUCUCUUCUCUUCUAGUUGUUCCAAUACUCUUCCUUGACAUACUCUUUCUUGCCACAGUUGUUGCAUUCAACAUUCUUAUUACUUCUUGAUUUCGAUCUACUGUGAUUGUGGCUCUCACUAGGGCCACGUUCCAUGGAUCUUCCUUUCAUCAUCAAUAGUGUUUCUACUUGCUGCGAACUUGUCUGUCUAUCUUUUUUAUUUUUUGCUACUCUCCUCAUUUAAUACGGAGGCUGCCAUAUUGUCAAAGACUAACUUGUCUGCUCGAUUGUUAUUAGUUAGAUUAAUGACGAAUUGAUCAUACGAAUCUGGUAAACCUUGAAGUAAAAGCUCUACAUGAUCAUUUUCCUCUAUUUUAUGACCCAAUGUUGUAAGUUAUGAAAAUAAAGUCUUUAAAGUGUUGAUAUGGUCGAUCACUGAUGUAGAUUCCGUCAUUCGAAGAGUAUAAAGCCUCCUCUUUAAAAAGAUUUUAUUUUGUAGUGAUUUGACCUCGUAUAGUCUUGUGAGAGUAAACCAUAUUUCCUUUGCUCUCUUUUACUCUACUACAUUGAAUAAUACCUUAUUUGAAAGUGGUAUGUGUAGAUUUGCAAUGGCAUUAUUGUCUAUCUCAUUCCACUUGUCAUCAUCAGUUAUCUUUGUGAGCCUCUCUUCAAUUGCUGCCAAGCAAUUACUCUUCCUCAAUACAACCUUCAUCUUCAUUUUUCAUGACGAAAAAUUAUUUUUGUUGAACUUCUAAAUUUUGUAUUUUUCUGCCAUCACUGUUCACCACGAGCUACCUUUGCUAAGAUUGAUUCCUACCAUUUCACAUGAGCAGUAACUGUAUAUAUGAAUAAAGUGUUGUAUACAGAAACAAUAUCAUAGACAUGAACAGUACAAUAUAUGUAAACAGUAUCUCGACCCCAAAAAAUACAACCCGACUCUAAUACCACUAUUAGAAAAUUAAUUGGUGAAGUAGGGCCGCGACUAAAAUAAAAUUGGAAGAAAAUGAAGAACAAGCACACUGAGGACACCAUAAAUUAUUUGGUUCGACUUUUAACUUAUGCCCAUAGGUAAGGACAAAAGGAUAAAACUUUACUAGUGAAAUGAAGAUUAUAAGUAUUUUAGUAUUUUGUUUCACUUCUCAAAACCUUAAUACACCCAAUCUCUCCAAACACUAGUCACUCAAGAGUAUAAAACUCUUAAUCUCUCAUUAUAGAACUAAAGAAGAAAAUAAUAGAAUGAAUGAAAUGAGGGGGUGAACCCCUCUAUUUAUAGCUAAAAAUUUGGGCACUUUUUAUAUUUAUUAUUAUUUCAAAAUUUAAAGUUUGAACUUGAUAUUCAAACUUUGAAUAUCAAAAGAUACGGGUUGUUCUUCUAGAAGAACCGCACCAACAUUGACUCUUAGGCAGACCUUUAGAGCUUUAAAUAAAGAAAAAGCUUUUAAAAAUGCCAUGUGUACUUGAUUAUACAAUAAUCUCCACCACAUAGAAUGAUUUGAUAAAAGAAAUUUUUAAUUUUUAAUUUUACUUUUAUCAGGCACGGUGUAUUUCCCCUUGGGCUCAUAUGUAAGGAUGUCAAUAAGAUGGGAAGGAGAGGGGAUUGAUUUCCCCAUACUCAUCUUUAAUACUCUGUGUAUCUCUUUGUACUCUAGACAGUUCCUUCAAAAUUACUUGAAACGAGGGGAUGGAUGUUUCUAAAUAAUACAAAGGGAUCUCUUAUGGCAUCCGAUCUCUGAUUAUUUAAUUUCUUUUUUUUUUCUUAAUUUAAUCAUCUUAAAGUAAAAAUAUAAAAUCAUAUUAACACAAAAAAUAUCAAAUUAACUAAAGUGAUUAAAAUCAUUUCCAUCAAAUUAAGUCAAUGUCAUCAAAUUAGAAGAUAAUCUUUGAACUAAUUAAGCAAAAGUAAAUCUUCAAAGUUGAACUCAUCCAUAAAUGUCAUAUAGUAUAAACCAUCAAUUAAAUUAUCUUUGUCAAUUUUAAAGUGUUUAUAUUUACUUUAUAUUGGCUGUUAUUUAUAUUAUUUUUAUAAAUGUAUUAUGAUAUUUUUUAUUUACAUCACACUAUUACAAUUGAAAUUUUAAAUGUAUUUACUAUAAAUUUGAAAAAAAUGAAUUAAAAAUAGAAACUAAAGAUAGAAAUAAAAAAAUGUGGAGCCAAAUAAAAUAUUAGGGCAAACACUAAGUUAUAAUUCAAGUAACUUACACCCACACAUAUUAAUUUAUCACAGCCUUGUCUCCACAUAGAAAAAUUAGAUCUAAAAUUAUCAAACUCCCGAAUGAGGAAGAUCCCUCGGGGCCAUCGUCCCUGUGGAAAUUUCUGCAUCCCUGCAGUCUACAACGCCUAAUAAUGAAUUGAACGGUUGAAAUCCCUCUAAAUUUUUUAUAAUUUCUAAUCGCCCCUCCAUAUUUGAUUGAACAUCAAAACUAUGGAGUCCAAAUUUAUAACUUUGAUUUAUCUUCCAUUCCAUAGUUUUCAAGUUCUCUCUCUCUCUCUCUCUCUCUCUCUCUUUUAACCCUUUUUACUGCAACCACCAUCAAAGCCUAGUAGUUAAUAUGUAUGCUGCUUUGCUUUCAAAAUCGGACACUACUGGUAUUUAUGGUUUUUAUUCUUUAUUUGACACAAAAUUUGGCGAUAUCUCCGAGGAAAAACACUACUGGUGUAUUCAAUUUUAUCCGGUAAUGAUUAAAUUGAUUAUUACAUGAACCGUAACUUCGCCGAGCCCAAAAUACAUAUUAAGUUAUAAAGCGUUCGCACUCAUUAUUUUUCGCAAAAAGUUUCGCCCAAAAUACAUAUAUUUUUUUAAUUUUUUCUGUGAAAAAAACUACUGUUAUAUUCAAUUUUAUCAUUAAAGUUGUUAGUUACAUGAACCUUAAAUUAACACAAACCGUAACUUAGCCAAGCCCAUAAUACAUAUUUCAUAUUUGUAUGAAAUUUAAAGUUUUUCCACUUAUUAUUUUUCGCUAAAAGUUUCUAAAUUGUAUUGUAGUUUGAACUUGCCCAUCAUUCAAUUUUUUAACUCCACAAUUAUUUGACCUUACCAAGCUUGAAAAUAUCCUUCCAUACAUAUUUAAUUUUCUCCAAGUAUGAUGAAGAUUUAAUCAAGAGCCUCCGGGAUCUUAAAGUGCAAGAAAGGUCCGGAAAAUUUUUAAAACCCCACUGUUUAAAGUUUUUUUGGACUUUCUUGCACUUUAAAAUCUUGGAUUGAUAUAUAUAUAUAUAAUCAUUAUUAGGUGCUAGUGUUCUCAUUUUUUUUUUUAAUGCAAACACCCUUUUAAGCCGUAGGGUUUAAUAACAUUAAAAACUAACUUUCAACUAGCUCUCUUAAAUUGUACGGCUUAAAAGCAUGUUAGCAUGAAAAAAUGAACGUGUCUGUACCAAAAAAGGACUAUAUAUAUUAUUUACUUUAUAUAGACAUACGUGCGCGCGCUCGCAUAUAUAUAUAUAUAUCAUUUUAAUAUAUUCCAUUACUUUAAUAAUCAAUUUAAAAUAGUUUGUGAUAUUUCCAGCUAUUUAUUUAUCUACUUUUAGUUAGUUAUUUACACCGAAUGAAGUGAUAGGGUCCAACUUUUAGUAUCCUUCUCAGCUGUUUGGGGUUAGUAAAUACUAAUUAGCUUAUUCGUCCCGAACAGCCGCGUAAAUGCUGUUAGAUUUCGGAGAGAUGCUGAGGAUGGUACAAGAUUUAUCAAAUUGUGGCGACAUUUUUAUACCUUUAGAAUUUCAAGAUUUUGAAGAAAUAAAUGGAAUCUGUUUUCCAUAAGUGAUCCACUAUCUAUCAGGAGGAAUUCUAAAAUACAUUACAGAUUAAUGAUUUUUCAUAAUAAAUAAACAUAUGUUAUAAUAUUAUUUAUUUAUCAUAUGACUGAUAUAAUACUUCUGAUAUAUUUUGAAAUUUUUAAUUCACCAAAGUUCAUUUUUAGCUUUUAAGGUUUUUAUGUGUGAGCCUCUCAGCAUGUUCCCCAACCUCCUCACGUGAAAAUAUUUCUAUGUACGGUUACAAGCUUUUCCAGAUUGUGAGUAUUCCGAAGCAAUCCAACUUGAAAAACAGCUGGUUCGUAGAAAACGACAGUUUACGAAGCUGGCCCUGCUGCCAUACAUAUGAUGAUGAAGACCAUUUUGCUUUAUGUCAAUUCCUCCAAGUUGAAAUCUUUCUCGGUCUGGGACACUUCCAACACAUAAAGUACUACUAGGCUAGAUGAUUUUAAAAAAUGUCAAGGUCCUUUAUCAAAUUUCAUUUGCAUUCAAGACCAACCCCCUUUGAUGAAAAUCAAUAAUUAAAGACUUUCCAAUGAGAAAUUAUUACGUCUUCAAAUCUCAAAAAACGCCAGAAUAUUAAUUCGCUACAUAUAAUCAAGAUAUCUCAUUGAGACGCAUUAAUAAAAAAUGUCAAAAUGCAUAGAAAGAGCAGACACACGGAUGAUGAAUUUACUCAUCUUUAUUAGUAUUUGAAUUUGAGAGACAGAAUGAAGUACAUGUCAAGAAUAUCAUAAAGAUGGAAACCGGAAGUCCUCCGCACAUAAACUUUGAAGAAACUGGAAAACGACUUUAUUCCAGAUAAUGCACACCAGAGUGACCAAAAUUCUCUUCAGUAACUAUGGAGAAAAUAUUAUUUUGCAUGCAUUUCACGUAACUGGAUCAAACUACUCCCCUGUUGGUUUGUCAGACCACAUUUUUAUGGUGCAAUAUAAACCAUCUUUUCAAAACACUUCGACAAUGUGAGAAACAAAUGAUUUUUAUAUAGUUGUUCAUAGCUAACUUUUGAUGGUUUAAUGAUCUGUAGAUUUUGUUUUAUGCUGUUCAAGGAAUGAUAUCCAAUUGUUCCUAAGAGUUCAUAGGCAGGGGCAUAUAUGCAUGAUUUGAUAUAAUUCUUGCAAUUUCUAAGUACUUGCUCUUUUCAUCCCUUCUAAGUUUUGAAAGAAAGGUCGAAAUAAACAGAGAAACAGGACAAACAGAAGAAGACUGAAUUAACAGAUCAACAAAGAUGGCAACUAACAAAUGGAAAAGUUCUCUUGUAAUCAAACUAUAGCAAACAGACAAUACCAUUGCCAUAUAUCUUAAUCAGUAGAUUGAUUCUCAACAUAUAUGUUAGGAUACAUUUGGUUGUUUAAUAGUUCGAAAUAAAGAGGAUGAGAUGGUUUCCACAUAAAAGUGCUGGGCCUUUCAAUGACAUUUUCAAGGAAUUAUAAAAUUCAAAAUAAAAAAAAAAAUAGCACAUUAUAAAGCCACACCGUCAAAAAAAUAAAUAAAUAAAUAAGUGAAGACCUUUAAUGAUAUAAAAAUAAAUAAAUAGAUAAGUCACUAAGACCUUUAAUGAUAUAAAAUAAGCAUAUAAAUCUCAUAACAAAACAUUAAAACUCAUUCUAAAAGUAAAAAUAAACUAGUGGUGUAUUCCAAACAAUUUAGAUGAAGCAAUAAAACAAGCCAAGAAAUCAAAUAAAAUGAAAUGAAAUUGAAUUAACCGGGACUUUGUUUUUCAAAUUCACAACUCGCUUGUAAUUAAAGUAAAAUGCCAAUGCCAUUAGGACACAUACAUCGUUGAAUAAGAUGAGGACCCCUCCAACAGCUGAAAGUAAAAUUUUCAUUCAUUAGUUUCAAUUAAAAUUAAAGCACACAGAGAUUUGCAGGGAAGCAAGAGAUUUAAUAAAUUUAACAGCAGCAAUUUAAUUUGACAGGACUUCCAUACAGUAAUGAAGUUAAAAACUAAUGAUUAACGAAUUUAGUUUGGUCCCAAAGCUGUUGAUCAUCUCUCUCUCCAUAGUAGAAGUUUACUCUCAGAGGCGCGUUUAAUUCUCCUUUAGUGAAAAUCUUCAUCUUGGGACAACCAAUUAUAGAUUCCUUGAAGGUGUAAUUGGCAGAGCAGAAACUUCUGAGACUGUCAGCAGAAACUUGUGAGACUACCCAAAUCAUACAGAUACAAAAUCUUCAAUUUGGUGAAAACAAUCUCUUCUUCAAAAUUUGCUGCUCCAUCUUCGUCAUUUAUCACCACCUCUCUCAUUGCUCUGCAUCCAUACACCAACAUUGAUAAGAGUCGCUGUAGAGUUUGGAGUGACAGAUUCGAUAAUGAUCAACUCCAAAUACUCGCCAAGAUCGCAAAUCAAACAACCAAGAUGCAAAAAGAAUCAAUCCAGAACAAAUCACAGAGAAACUUAAGAACCGAAAAGAAUUAAAGAAUUAGCAGCAAAGACAAAAGAUAUAACAGAUUUUGACAAUAAUGUACAUUUAGAAUUUCAAGGCAUUGAAUAAAGGAGUCCAAUUUGGAGUCUUGUUUCCACAAUUGCUUCAGAUGAUUAAAUUUGUGCAGAUCUAAAUGUUUUAUCAUUGUAAACUUCCUCACAUGUUUCUUCAAGUAUCCUCCAUUCGAAAAUACCUCUUCGCAUGAACAACGACGCCGUAUGAGAGUUUCCAGAUUAUGAAAUCUCUCAAGUAAAUCAAGUGGAAAACAAGUUGAGUCAUCAUCCACUGUUUGUAGUAGUUUAAGACUGCCAAAAAGGUGUCGUGGGAAAUCGCUCUGCAAAGUCAUCCUCGAGUCUUUUCCACUUAAUGCCAGUUGGGUAAGCUCUGAUCAUCAUCAAUCACGUAAUAACUUAUUAAGUCAAUUCAUAUUCUCUCAAAUAACUUUUAAUAAUCCAAUCAUACACAGUGACUUUAAUAUAAAUGCAUAAUAUUUUACAAAAAAGAAGAAAAAAUCGAAUUAGAGGUAAAAGUUAUUCUACGAUUUUAUUUUUUAUAUAUAUCUUGCAUGCUAUUCCCAAAAGCAAUCCCAAACGACCCUUAAAGCAAUUUUACAAAAGCGGCCCGUACAUGUAUUGCCAACUUUGUUAGGAAUGGCAAUGGAAAGGGGAGGGGAAGAGACUGAUCUCCCCGUACCCAUUCCCGAUAUUCUGCAUAUAUCCAUGUCCUCUUCCCAUUCCCGACAAAAUUACUUUAGGGAAUCCCCCUCCCCUCCCCAAAUAAUAAUAGGGGAUCCUUAAAGGUCCUCGAUUGUCGAAUAACUGAUACGUUUUUAGUUUUAAAUUUUAAUUUAAUCAUAUUAAAAUAAAAAAUAAAAAUAAAGUUUGACGAUAUAUCUUACAUUAACAUUAAUCUAUUACAAAAGUCACAUUACAAAGUAUAAAUCACCAUAAUAAUUAUCUUCGGCAAUCUUCAAAAUCAUAUAAUAAAAAAAAAAGAAAUUACUUUUAUAUCAACAAUGAGAUAAAUGAAAUGAAUAUAGAUACUUAAUCAAUAUUUCUAAUAAAAGUAUUUACCUCUUGUGUCUCCUACUCUUCUUGUUCUUCCUCGAGGAAUGUGACAAAUUGAGAGAUAGCCUCAGAUUUCAAAUUUAAAACAACAAAAAUAAUAUAAGUAAUGUAAAUUCUAAGUGAAAAUAUUAAUAAUUAUAUAAUAUAAUUACAAUGUAAAAUAAACUCAUACUGCCAUUGUAAGCUUGUAGUCAACUUUGACAACAUAUUAAAGCCUCCAAUGUGCUUGAAUAAAGCGUGUUACAGUACUCUAACACUGGUGCUAAAAGCUAAUUCAAAAGCAACAUUUGUAAUUAGAAUUGCCAAAAUAUCUCUAGCAAUUCAUAUACCCUCCUUAUGUUACUAACCACGUGACGGUAGAGAGCCAAUUGGCAUACUAUUAUUUUGACGGUAGAGUUAUAAAUUUGUUUCUAAAUAGAAAACUAUUUGCUGAAGUCAAUAUUUUCAAAACCAAAGUCCCAAAUUCUCUCUCGUGCGUGCCUGGCCAUCCUAAACCUUACUGGUAGCCGGAGAAUGGCGUAAAACGGCGGCGAUCUUCUUCUUCAUCUUAUUAUCUCUCUCAUCGUUUCAGGUAAGCUUGUGAUUAUGAGUUUCUUCUCUUUCUUAGCUUGUAAUUAUAGGUUUUGAUUUCUUUAAUUCGUAUUGUAACCAUUAAUGUCAAUUUUUGUCCCGCCGGCAAUAUUUCUUGUUCCUAGAAGUUGAAGCCCUUCUGUUCUUGUUCCAUUGGUGACUUUGCUCACUCAAAUUAAUUUUGUUCUGCGGAAUUUACAAAGUUCAAAUGGAUUCAUUUGGAUUACUAUUGAAUUUAGCUUUCAUUUCAACAUUCAUUCUAAUGUUUUACAAUCAUGUAUUUAGAUUUACUUUAAUUUUAUGUUUAAAGCUUCUACAAUGAAUAGCGGAGCUUGGGUUUUAGUUUCAUUUUCUAAUUAACUUCUUUUAGUUUAUCUUAUAUGCUCGCCAAGUGCUUGUUAUAUUGUCUGAUAAGUUAUAUAACAUUGCUGAUUCUAUAUUAGUAAUGUCAUGUUCCAUUUACGGAAAUUAUAGCACAAAAGUUUUUACAAUGGCUUGCAUCUACAAACUGAAUUGACUUGUAGAGUAAGAGCUUGGAUUAGUGUUAUGUUCUUGAAUAAAUGAAAGUUCAUAUUGUGUAAGAGCAUGUAGAUGUAAAGCAUCACUACCAUUUCUACAAAAUGCUUUCAUUCUGUUCAGAUGCUCCUCUUGAACUUUGAAAGGUGCCUCAUUCAAGUCCUAGCUAUAACUAAUAGCUCUGAUUGCUUAAGUUCCUGUGCUAGCUGAAACAGAUUUAUUUAAUUAAUUAAUUGUGUAUGUACUAAUUAUAUUGAAAGUAUAUGAAGAAAUUGUUUAACAUGAAUGACUUCUAAAUGACUUAAAAGCCUAAAGGAUAUGUCAAAUAAUGCUCAUUUCACUUGAACGAGCCUAAUACUUUUAUGUCUAUGAUUGUCAAUCUUGCUUAAGUGUUUCAGUUAAGUGGUUUACCUAACAGGGGAAAAAAUUUAAUGGAAAACUUUAGAGUUCGAACAGAAAUAUAGUUGACUGCAGAUAUAGUUAUUUUACGGUACAUAAAUCAUAUUGUCCUAUACUCAAUGUCCUACGACCUAUUUUAUUUUAUAUGGUCAUUCAUUUUUGCGAUGGUUUUUUGUGCUUAUGAGUAUGGAAAUAGUGGGAUUUGGUGUGGCAAACAAAAAUAUACAUAUAAUCAAGUUUCUUAAUCAUGUAUAUUGGUUUUGGGUAUGAAUGUUUUCCUAUUCUAGUUCUAGACAAAGUUUCUUCAUUUUGGUCUUCAGAUUUCCAGUAGGUUAAGUUAAGCAACUAUCAUAACUAGCUAGCUAGUUAUUGCCUGCCUUGUCGCCAUUACCGACGCCAUUACAUUGCAUGGCAUAAGGAAUAGUAACUAGGUGAUUAUUGGUGAUUCCUUGAGUUUAUUAUUGGCCAAACAAACAUAUUCGCCUUUACCCACAACUUAGUUUGAUUAGUUAUUAGAUAAUAAAGAGCCUUAAUCUAUGCAUUGCUUUAUUAUUUUUAUUUGGUUUUUCUUUCAACAAUAUUGUUGAUUUCUUAUAAAAAAUAUUCAUUGGUUUUUAAACACCUAAUCAUUGGCUAUAAUGAAGCUAAUUAAAACGGAGGCUUUGGAUCAAUUUCUGUUAACAACAUACAAAUGAGCAUAACCACCCCCCCCCCCCCCCCCCCAACCACCACCAAAAAAAAAAAAAACCAAAUAGGAAGACUUUGCAAGAUUCACAACCAGGUUACAUUUAAUUUAUUAAUUGUGUGUACGUACUAGUUAUUUGUUGAUAGAAUAGGAAGAAGUAUUUUAAUAUGAAUGGCUUAAAACUUAUUGCUCAGUAAACAUAAUGUGCAUCAGUGCUAGAAAAUGUAUUUAUUGUUUGUAAUUUUUUAUGGUUUUGCUUAAGAAAUGAAAUGUGAAAAAAUGCUACAUUUUAUUAGGAAUAAAUUGAAGAGAUUUAUGAUUUUUAUGUGUUAUUCAAGUUUCAGAUUCAAUUUUAAACUUUUGAUACAUGCAUUGAAAGCUUAAACUCCUUUAAGAAAUUAUUAAUAGACACAUGUUUUAUUAGUGUCAUCUUUUGGAUGAUAGUGAGGAUCUUAUGUCUAUUAAUAAUUCUUGAAUUAUCUAGGCUUGGACAGUUUGGUAAUGCAUAGAUUUCUAUGGCAGCUAGUGCCUGAAAUUUUUUUCCCACGUAAAAAUGGGUUUUUCCGCAGCUGCUCCUCAUGUUCUCUGGGUGCAUACUAGACAAAUGGGUGUCAUGUGUUGUUUUGGCAUAACACAUAAACACUCAUAUAUCUAUGUCGUGUACUUGAAGAACUAUAGGGAGAUGCUUCCGAAGUUUCUAUAAACGUAGAGGAAAACUUUAGAUACUUAAGAUUGAAGAAACUUAUGCAUUCUUGAGUGGGAUAUAUAGGACCACUUACCUUUUGUAAAUAUGAAGGGAAUGUUGGAUAUAUUGAUGGGAGUGGAGGAGCUGAGUGGGAUGAAUGUAAUCGGUUAUGAUUUUGCUGAGUUGACUUGGUUUUGAGUCUUGUAAUUUUGUUUAUAAAUGGAGUACUAUCUCCAAUGUUGGUUUAUAAAUAUGUUUCAGCUGGCUGACCUAAUUUUUUGUUUCUAGGUAACAGGCUUUAUAUAUCUGUAAUUGAUAGCCAAGUGAAGUUCUCAGCAGUGGGUGAGGAUAUUUCUUUACAGAAGGUAUUGCAAACUGUUUUUUAGAUUAAUUAUUAUUGUAUAUAUACUUUAAUUUUCACAUCUUUUUCUCUGAUUCUUGUGGCUUUGCUUGCUUCCAUAUAUAUAAAACCAUAAAAUUGUAUAAUAAUUUUUUUAUUAUAUUGCGAAACUGCGCACACAUGAAAAUAUCUUGUUUAGUAGUAGAAAUGAAGAAUUAAAGUGAUUUAUUUAACUAAUUUUUCUAGUGCAUUAAAAGGAGAUAGUCAUGGACCAGAGUUGGGUUGGUUUGCCAAAUAGAUAUCCAAUUCAUAUACUGAUGGGGUCAAAAAAUUUAUAGAUUUUGCAUUUGAGAAUGUUGUUGGUGAUAAAAGAAUUUAUUGCCCUUUAGAAGUGUCGUAAUAUCGAUAUUUCAUUAUAAGGAAAGUAGCAAGAGACCAUAUCAUUAUAAAUGGCUAUUGGUUAAAGUAUUAAAACUGGAUAUUGGAGGGUGAGCCAUCUUCAUCUUUGAAAUCUAACUAAGAAACAGGUUAGUCAUGACUCGGGUAGUGAUGCUAGUAUGCUUGGAAUGAUGCAUAAUGCAUCACGUAAUCAAAUGUUCAAGUCACACGCAGCAUUGUUAUGGACUAUCUCCGACUUUCUAGCAUAUGCCAACUUGUUUGGGUGGAGUAUUAAAGGUAAAUAAGCAUUUCUUGUUUGCCAACAAAACACUAGAUCUAAUUGGUUGAUACAUAGUAGAAAAUUGUCACGUGGGUCACCGUCGAUUUUUACCAACAAAUCAUAGGUUCCGAAAAUAUAGUGCCAUCUGAUAAAACUAGAGAGUGGGGACAAGCACCUUCUCGGUUGUCUGGAGCCGAGGUGAAAAACCAGUUCAGUAAUGUACUUAAGAUUGAAGACUUGAAAAGAGGAGAAAAGAGGAGAAUGAAUAAAAUGAAAGAAAUGAUAAGAUUACUUGGAAGAAGAAAAGCAUUUUUUAUGAACUAACGUAUUGGGAGUUCAAUUUGAUUCAUCAUAAUCUCGAUGUCAUGCACCGUUUUGAUUUUUGUUAUGAACUCAGAUCAAAAGUUUAAUGUGAUCAAAAUUUCUUAAAAAUAGUGAAAACGACUCCUCCUAAUAAUAUGGAAGAUGGCUAUAAAAGAUAAUUUCUUAAAAGUUUAAUGUGAUCAAAAUUGCUUGUGAACGCAAGGGUUUUAGUUACACUGUCAACGCUGUCAAUGUAGUGAUACAAUGAAGAUGAAGUAAAGCAUUAGUAGAAUAAUGAAGUUGACCAGUAACACAGUAAAGCAAAUUUUAUUCCAGAGCAUGAAAACUUUUAAACAGUAACACAGCUCUUAUUCCAGAGGCUGCACGCGAGUGACCUGAAUCUUCUUCAGAACUUUCAAAUUUUAUCAAGCAAAGCUUUCAAAAUCCUUUGCCUUCCUAAGUUAGGAAAGAUAGAUGUGGAGCAAACUAUUUUUUUUAGAUAUUUUCACUUUGGGCUGUCAGCCCGAGGAAGUAGGGGGGUCUGAGUUAUUCAACUGAAAAUGUCGGCCAAGUUCUUGUGUUAGUUUUAGUAUAUUGUGUACAAAUGAUACACUAACUUGAAUUUAUAUGCUUUUAUGACUAUUUGAUAAUCAAAUGGGUAAAUGACACGAAUAACUUUGAGUUUAAAAAUCUGGCCCUGAUGCCUGGUAGCCCUCCAACCUAUGAAGCACUAGAUGUUUUAAUGAUAAAACGACAAGACCAUUUAUCAAAUUUCUUGUGGAUAUAAAUACAUACACAUAGACGAGACCAACCUCCUCAAAUGAGAAUCAGAGUGAUUACAAGACCUUUCAAUGAGACAAUAAUACACCAUCAAAUCUCAAAAUACAAUAGAAAUUCAUGACAUAUAUAUAAUAAAAGACCACUCAUUGAGUCAUAUAUAUUGAGAAUAAAUUUUUUUUAAUACAUACAAAGAGCUUAGCUAGAAUGAAAUGUCUUUGGACUUGCGAUGAAAACAAAGGAAACAGACAUGUUGCAACUCACACUAUCACAGAUGUAGCGACACAAUGCAGUGAAUCACAAGAAGAUCACGAAGAUGGAAACGGGAACCCCUCAGAAUGUAAACUUUGAAUAGAGGAAAAAAGGAAAACGACCUUAUUCACAGAGGACGAGUGACUUAAAUCUUCAUCAGUAUCCAAACAUUCUGCAAUCAUAGAGUAGAGAAAUUUUAACAGGAACAGCAGAGAAAAUAUUAUGAAUAUGCACUGAUUACGUUUUUUUUUUUAAUUUUUUUAAUCCGAUUAAUGAUAUUCAGCUGUUCUUUAAUUAUGUGUUCAUAGGGAAGAACAUUUUCUAAGUACUUUCCUUGCCUUCUAACUUUCCAAGGAAAUAUAGGUGUGAAGAAAAGCAAACCCAAUGAACAAACAGAGCACAAAGUAAAAUAAAAGAACAGCAAUGAUGACGAUAAAUAAUUGGCAAAGAAAGAAAGGAAAAAGUAUGCACGUUUUCAAGGAUUUAUAAAAUACGAAGGCUUUUAAUGGAAUUUUAUCAUAAAAACGUAUGCAAGGAGUUAUAAAAUUUUAGAAGACGAGGGGAGCUCGCAAAAAAAAAAAAAAAAGACUCAAAUUAAACUAGACUAAAAAGACAUUCAAUUAUGCAAAAUCUGUCCAUAAAAGUCUGAAAGGAUCAUUAAAAUUGCAUUGCAAAUUUAACAGUAAACCGAGGGAUCCAUUCUAAAUAAUUCAGAUGAAAUUGCGAAACAAGCCAUGGGAUUAAAUAAAUGAAAUAAAAAUUAAUUACCAGUUGAGACUUUCUUCUAAAAAUUCGCAACUCCAAGUCAUAAGAAGCCUAUGAAAUUAGUCGUACUGCGUAGAGUAUGACGACGACACCGCCAACAGCUGAAAGUAAAAUUCUUAUUCAUCAAUUUAAACUUUUACUUUAUAAAAAAUAUCUUAUCUAUAUUGUAUUUAAGAAAGCAAAUUUUGUAAAAAUUUAUCAUGGGAGAUAGAGAGUAAUAUGUAUAGACGUACCUUCUCAGCAUGUAAUUGUUGUAUGGUUGUGUUUAGAUCAUUAUUAGCCCAGCGCCGUUGAUCCGCUGUCUCUCCAUAGCAGACGUUUACUCUUAGAGGCAUGAUUGAUUCUCCUGUAGUGAAAAUCUUCAUCUUGGGACAACCAAUCACACACAAAUCUUGCAAAGAUGGGAAUUUGAAGGUGUAAUUGGCAGAGCAGAAACUUGUGAGGCUAUCUAAAUCACGCAGUUCCAACGUCUUCAAUUUGCGGAAAACAAUCUCUUCUUUUUCAACUCCUUCUUUGUCAUUUAUUACCACCUCUGUCAUUGCUCUGCAUUCACGCAUACGCACUGUGACGAGUUGCACUAGAGUUUUUGCUGUGGAGGAUGUUACCAAGUGUAUCAAUUCCUUGCAACCGAAAGCUACAAUUUCGGUUAGGUUCCGAAAAGAUACCGAUGAUGAUGGCAAUAGAAUUAACAGACUUUGACAAUCAUAUACUUUUAGAAUUUCAAGAUACUGAAAAAUGGGGCCAAGUUUGGAGUCUUGUUUGCACAGCUGCUCAAGAUGAUAGUGCUGGUGCAGCUGUAAUUCUUUUAUCAUUGCCAACUUCCCCACAUGUUUCUCUAAGCAUCCUUCCAUCGAAAAUACCUCUUCGUG